rnacentral:lncRNA from 1 species
GAGAAGAUGAAGACAAGUGCAAUGCUAAACGCUCACAUUUACCAGAUAAUAUCGCCGCCAAAGUUCGCCCAAGUCAAUCCAGAUGUGUUACAUGAAAGCAGAGGUAAACUCCUCUACACUGCCAGAAAUAUCGUGGUGCAACACACGCGAAAGUCGUCGCUUGACACUUUUUUAACCGCAAAACCCGCGAGGAGAACAGCUGGAGCUCAGAGAGGACAGACAAGACAAGUCAGAACUAUAGCAGUGGCUGAAAGGAUCAAGGUAAGCACGGAUAUACUCUUUAAAGCAAUAUAAGUGAAUGGCUGAUUUUAUUAUUUCGGUAUAAUAUGACCGAAAGGGUGAAGGCAGAAGCAAUGCUCAUAAAGACCUACCCCUUACACCAUACACCAAGUACAUUGUACAGAUACACAUACAAAACACUUCAAUACUUAUUCACUCUUCAUAUCAGAUGGAGUAAUGAACAUGCUUUUCACUUUACAUUAAUAAUUUACAGUAAAUCAACAAACAUCAAUUACUCUACAAUAUUGAGAAAUAACAUAGUUCUUGAAAAGUCCCUUAAAGCUUACCAGAGUACUACAUUUUCUAAUUUAGACAGUCAUUCCAUAUUUUCACCCCUUGAUAGAGACACACAUAUUUUUUGGACUUUUGUUCACGCUUUCAGUUUUUUAAAUAAUACACAGCCUCUUAGGGAGCGCUCUAAAUAUUUCGGCUUCACUGUUGUGGAGAAUCAGCUAUCAGCUUAUGUCACUUUUUAAACAAUGAUACUUGCCCUAGAUUUCAUAGUCAUUGCAUCUGCAUCUUUUGUGCAUGCUAACCUUUUUUUUCUUGAAAGUCAAAAAACAUUUUCUGCAACAAGCAUCACAAUCCUGCCAGUAAGUAUUUCUGGCUACCAUUCUUUGUACUUUAUUGUCUCAGCAGCUACUUACACAACACAUGUCUGCCAACACAGCCCCCUGUGUUGUUUCAAUGCAGCAAAAGAAUUCUGUUGAGGUGAGAAAAAGGUCAUUGUUUUGUUUCAAUAUUGAUGAAAAGCGCUCUCUGGAUUGUAUCGCAUAGCAAGCCAGUCGUUUGUCAUUUAACAUUUGGAAAAUAUGUUCAGUUUCUACAAUCUGCCAUUUGGCAGAUUUGUUUGAUAAGAACUUUUCCCUGUUAUUUUAACAAAAUAUUAUCAGUCAGGGAAGUGUUACGCUUUAAAUUGUUGCAGCUCAACAAUCAUUUUAAAGCAAACAACUUUAGCCAAACAGCCAGUUCGAUCUCUUUACCAACCAUGUUAAUUAUCUUUCCUUUAAGCAAGUAGCUCAACAGUAAUAAUUUACGAAAGGUGUAAGUGUGAGGAAGCAUUUGUUUAUCUUUCUUAAGGCAUCAUGGAUUCAUAGACAUUAAGUGUGCAACACUCUUACAUUCUUCUGCAAUGAUCCGCCUAAUGUGGCCACUUUAUGCAAAUAAUAUGUUUCCAUAUGCAUAAUAUUUACCCAAGACUCCUGCAAAUAAACUCCAUUGUGCUCCUUUUAAGAGGCAGUGACAAAAAAAGGCUGAAUGGAUUGUGCAGAGAAGAAUGAGAGAUUACUCUGAGAGCUGAAAUUGGAACGGUGUGUCGAGUGCACGCUGGUUAUUGUUCUCUAUGUUAUUUAAAUCUCUGAACAAAAGGGAACGGAUCGCCUAGAGCUUUGACUACAGGUGUGUGCAGCCUGCUGCAGCUGGUAGAAGAAAUUGGACAUGUUUUUUUUUUUGUUGAGCCUAAGUUGUAGAAAUUGUUGGAGACAGAUUUUCUCUUCAACACAGAGGGAGAACAUGAAAUAGUGCCUGGAAUAAAGCGUUAGAACAGAAAGAGUGCACUCUGGCCAUGGUGGCGGAGAGCUGUAUCAUCGCAAAUACAUCUUCACAGAUUUCUUGUGGGUGGUUUAUGUAAUUUGUUACUCGACACCAGGAUAGUCAGCACAGCAGCGUAUAUAUCUCCAUGCUGGGACUAUUGUAGCUGUAAAACCCUCUUGUUCAGCAUACAAUAGCGGAAGAUUUGCCAACACUUGUGGCCAUGUUUGCUUGCAAGACAUCUUCGUGUGCCUUAUGUGCUAAUCAUAUUUUAUUUUAAUAAAUGCUAUUCUAAGUGUUCCCAAUAUUUUAAUUUUAGUGUAUUAGCUUCUGUGCUUCUGUGCCUGCAUUAAACUCAUGUGCAAAAGUCUCUUUUACUCUUUGGAGAGUAUUCUGACUUACCUGGCCAGCACACCCCAGUCCAGCACGGUAAUGCUUCAACAAGUCACAGAAAACCCAGGAGAGUAAAGUGCUUUUGUUUAAUGGGACCUCAUGAAGAAUAAGUAGCUCAAUGUGAGGUUUUUUCCCCCCAAAAGACUCCAACAGUGGAGGGUCUUGCUGAUACCACCAACCUUGCAGGAGAGGAGGAGGGUAGACGCCUGCUGUGGGUCCACAAAGAGAAACCAUGUGUGUUAGAAGCUCCCAUCCGUCGUCUCUUUUGGCCGCUCUCCCUGUCUCACUUGGGAGUUUGUUUUUUUCCCCCUCAAAUUCAGCAGGAAGGCUUGUAAUGAACCUACACCUCAAUUUACAAAGCAAACCAGCAUUUUUAUGAAACUGUGUAACCCAUUCAAGACGCUCCUUAAGGGAUUUGAAGGAAUGUGUUUUACAGCUUCAGCGCGGCAGUUCAUCAGGCUGAGGCAGUUACAACGGAAGAGCGAGGGUUAUCGUAACAGCAAUGAAAAUAGAGCUCGUAUUUGUUUUCGAAAACUGAUGAUCUCUCUUUAGUUACAGAACCUUGAAGUUUGGCAUCACCAGUUGAUGAUAUGAAUAAAGAAGGCUGCCAACCUGAUUGGUAUGAGAGGGGGACCGAAGAGCUUUUGGCUGCUUCAACCAAUAACAACAACUCAAAGUGUGACAUAGAAGGACGCUGCUAAGCCAUAAGCUAGUUCCAGCAUCCAGUUUUUUUGGCUUUUAGUUCAAUAUUGUUCACAGACUUUUGGCAGGACGUGGAUCGUAACCAACACCAAACGUUCCUGUAAGAAAUUUGACUUCUGUUAGUUUAUUAUUGGCUUGAUAGUUUGACACAGAACAUGCCUCAACUAUAGCAGCCAUCUUUUCUUCAUGAGUUCUCCUUCAUUCCUCAGAUUUUUGUUAAGAUACAAAAGCAAAAUGUGGCAGUUAACUAAUACAUAAAGAAAUAUGCAUAUAAUGCUACAAAACAAUAAAAAUAAUGAUGAUGAGCAUUAUUAAAGUAAGGAUAAAAUAAAAACAAAGGGGAUGAUUAAAAAAUGAAGGUAAGGAAAAUAAAAUAAAGACCUCCAAAAGGUAUUUGUCACUCUUAGAUAAAUUUACAUGCAUGUUCCCCAAAACAACAGUAUAUCUACAAAAAUAGACUGCACAAGACAAUGUACAGCACCACCACUCUAUCUCUAUGGGGGAGGUCAAAACAUCAAGCUCUCUCUCUGACUGGCUAAAGGUCACAAAGCCUACCUCCUCUUCAACAACAGAUGGGACAUGGGUAAAGCUACAAAACCAAAAUGCUUCCCAACAUGAUUUCUCUUAUGACAGUCCUAACCAACUCAGUUUAUGUACAAAUGUUCAUUUUUUCAAGGACAUUUAUCUUAAAGGGAAAUUUCGGCGUAGAAAUUGAUUUAGGGUCAAACACACCAUAACACGGAGUUAGACACCCCCUCGAGAGAUGAAUGUUGCCGACCACUUGCUUCUCUAGUUAUAUCAAAUUUAGAAAUGACUGCAUGAUAGCAAUACACACAAACCUCAACCAAAACACCACUCUUUAGCCACAAAUAAUGCUCAGAACAGCACCUAACUUCAUCAACAGUACAUAUAGAGUCCUAUAGUACUAGACACCAAACAUCUUUUUAACUUCGCCCGAUUUCUUUAGCGAAGAGACUAAACACAACUCACCCUCUCUCUUCCAGCAGCCGCUUGUUUGUAGCGAGACCUCGGGCCAGUCCAUUUUGGACUGCAGCGGGGUGGCACAGCUCAAGGAAGAACAUUUAUGACCAUUUCCUUAUGGAAAUUCAAUCAGACCAGGACGCAAAGGCAGAGAAAAUACCGCGUCUGCAGAGCAAAAUGAUGAAUAUGGUGAUUAUUAAUUCAAGGAAAUGAUGAAGAAAUGAUCAUAAAUGUUCUUCCUUGAGCUGCGUCGAGCAUUAUUUGUGGCUGCAGAGUGGAAUAUCCUUUUAAAUGAUCUAUAGUUGGAGAGAAAGGUUGUAUCUUCACGAUUGACAGUUCUGUUGUUGAAUGCUGGCCUGCUGCAUUUUUAAAAAAACAAAUAAGCAGAAGAGGGGAGCAACGGAGAGAGAGAGGUAGCAUGUAACAAGCACCAACAGCAUGUGAGCAUCAGGGACAAAAUCAGCUGGAUGCAUUUCAAAGCAGCACAAUGCAAAGUGCUGUUUUUACCUCAACUCCUAGGGUGUAGAUAGGGAUAGUGAGAGAGGCACAUCAUCCAUGUUUGUAUAGUAAAUAGAAAAAAAAUCCCACAUCAAGUGCCAUCUAACCUUUAAAAUGUAAUAUACACAGUUGUUGUGUAUAGAUAAAUACACAGAUAAAUUAAAAUCUGUCAGAAUCUGAAAGAGGUCAGACACAAUUAAAUCAAACUACAGCUGUGGUUCCUCAGGCUAAGACCACCUCCACUUCGCUAGGAUCUACUUCACUGCCAUGUUGUUGAUUCUUUUUAUUAUUCAUAUGGAAACAACCAGCAAAGACACCAAAUUGCAGCUUGUACUCACACAAGGUCUCGCAGCCUUUGUCAGAGCGAGAUGUGCUGCCUUUUGCAUAACAGGGAUUUGCUGCUAAAUGCUUUUUUGAUGCAUUUGGUUUCAGUAAUUGAGGAGACAAGAGGAGACAAGAAUUGUUCUUGCCCCCUCAUAUCAACAAAAUUUUACGCUCUAUUCAGACGAAAGCUUUUUCAGAGCAACAAUCUGCCAGUCAACAUGACAUUACAGAUUACAGCGUAAGGCCUCAAGAAUAAGGAGCAAAUAGAUAAUAAAAGCCGCAGUAUCACGAAGGGGAGAGCACUGAUUUAGAAACAAAACAAUGGAUGAAUGCACUACUGCACACAAGUUUAGAAGCAUCCCUAAAAUAUCUCCUACAAUACACUUUAAACUUAAUGUGAACAGCAACUCUAAUCCAUUUUGUAUCAGUGGCCAUUGCUAAGCAAAGACAUUGACCUUUGCAACUGCAUGUAAUGUUGCCAUAGAAAUAUGAUUAUUCAAAUGAUUUUAAUUUAACCAGUGUCCUUGUGCUGUGGUCAUGGAGGGGGGAGGUGAAUAUCUGAUCACCACAAAGACUAUUUUAGCACUCCACAAAGAUCAUUGAAAAUGAGUAAACAAAUUGCCAAUGCCAAAACUUCUAUUCAAUCAAGCAAUAAACAGAUUAUUAAAAUUUUCAAUACCAAUGUAUUUUUUUAAGUUCUCAGGAAAAUAAGGGGGACUUAGUGUUUAUUCAAUGCUAAGGCUGAGCACUCUGACUUAUAAAUAACCAUCAGUGCAAAUUUGCCAGAUUUCCUUUCAGAAAUGAGCCUUUUUGGAUUUAAUCACUUUUUUUGUCAGCAAAACUACAUCAUGGAUCUUGUUGGGCAGCGGCAUAUGAAUAUGAAUAUGAAUUUCUCCAGCAUGGCUGUACAGAGGUCUGCGGAGCAAAGCCUGUGACCAUGAAAACACAAUUGAGUAGGACACACAGAUAUAAAAAUCCCACCUUGGUUGCGCUGCAGCGCCGAGCCUUUUACACAGAAACAAAGGGUAUCACCGGGCUGGAGCAGGCAUUCAUUAAAAUUGGUAUUUGGCGUGAUUAAUGAUACUUGCAAUUUGCAGGGGAAAGCAGCAGCUCUGUUGAGGCUUGGGUAGGAAAAUUGUACUGCAUUGGAUGAAGGGGUGGGUGGUCCUCAAUCCUCUCCAUAGAAGCCUGCUAUAGCUCUGUUAGGUUGCUGCACAGCCUCUCAGGGACCAACUCCAUGGAAAACAAUGACUUGAUUCUCUUCAAUGUGUAGUCUCUUGAUUUUUUUUCUCCCUUUUUUCCUGGCCUGAUCAUUAUUUCCUCAUUUUGCAUUCGUUUCAUCAGAGAUAAUUUAUCUCUGCCUGCUUUAAUGAAGUGAUAAUUCCAUGAUAAUUAACGUAAUCCUGCACCAAAGCAAAUUUGCCUAAUGACUGUUGUUUUGAUAGUCAGAGUUGGUGCAUGGGAGAAUGUCCACACUGGGAGGAAUCCAGGCUCAGUGCCAAGCAGAGGAAAUAGGAGAAGGCAGAGUCAGGAGCCAGAGGACGGAGGAAAAGCACCAGAGGAUUUACACUGUGACCCAAACUUUCACUGCUCCCAUCCAGCAGUUCAAACAAAAGGGUGCUAAUAAUUCAACUUGGAGAAAGAAAGCCCAUUUAGUCCUUCCUCUUAUGUCCAACUACAAAUAUGACUACUGGGAGAUGAUCAGCCAGGUGAGGGAGGGCUUGGACUGAGGUAUUGUCCUUGACAUUUCAUUUGUUCAGGGGUACCAACUUUGACAUUUUAUGUGUUUGAUAUUUGUUCGACUCUCACAGCAGCAAAGUUCAACCUCUUCAGAUCUCUCCAGACAGGAUUAAACACCUAUAAACGCUCCCAUUUCCUGUAAACAUUCAUAGAUUAGCAUUAGAUAAGGGCUCAAAAUUAUACAACCUUAUAAAUCCACUCGAGCAGGUUCGUAAUGACAGCUGCUAUAAUCGAAAUGAUCGCUUACAAAGGUCCCUGGAAAACAUUUUCACUCCAAGACUGUCAUAAACUUGAGAAACUGCUACAACAAAAGUUUGCUCUGUCAAAACUUACAGCUGUGUUAAUUGACUUUUUCGUGUCAGUGUCAUUGUAGUGUUUUAUAUUCAGUGGAUGAAUCUACAGCAGCUGGAUAUAAAUAGAGACAUGGACACGAGGAGAAAGACUGUACUCCAGAUCUAAAUAUGUUCCAAAUAUACCUGCCACUUGAACCUGGCUCUUUGUUCCACUUUACAUAAACGGACAACAAUAGAGCUGGAGAGCAUAACUCAUACAUAUUCACUCUUGGCACAAUCCUGGAAUAUUAAACUGUUUUUACCAUCUUGACUUUUCCUGCUGAACCUGAUUUGGUUUGCUCCAAACAUAAAAAAAAUGCUAUUUCAAUUUUUUUGCUGCUUCUGCAUUUUGAGUCCAAAGACAGAUUUGUCUAAUUUUUUGUUUGUUUUGAACCGUUCAGCUUGAAAUGAUCAAAAGUGUUAUUUCUUAUUAUAGAAAAUGACACACUAAAUGGAGAGAUGAUUUAUGAUUGUCAUGCAUAUGCCCCACUACAAUGUGAACAGAGCGAAUAUGACGCUCAUUAAAAGUGACAGAAAUAUACACAUUUUGAGACAAUAAGCACAUUAAACAGAUUGAUAUUUUUUGUUUAUAUUUUCAUUCAAAAACAACAAAAUAAAAGCACUAAGACAGGCCUGGAUUAAUGGCUUUAAAGUGGAAGCGGACCUGGAAUAUCCAGCUGGCUUGAUCCACCCACUGGCUCGCCCUGGAUGUGAAGAAGAGUGGCAGCCAACAAAUCACCACCAUGUUUGUUUGUUUUACAUGAUUAAGCAUAUGGAGGGAGCAUUAAAUCACCCUUACCUUGCUUGACAAACUGACAGCUGCAAAACCCCCUUUACCACUCUGUGCGUGCGUUGGCAGGAAGCGUUCCCAAUCAAAAAAUGAAGAUUGAUGGUCUUAAACAAAAACAUGACCAUUACCCUGAACAACAAUGAAUUAAAAGCAUCUUUUAGUGGAGUCUCAGUCCUCUUAGUGCUGAGCUGAUCAGCUGUGUUUUCUCUGCGCGCUAAGGCUUGAUUUGAUAGUUAUCAUCACCGAAUGACAAAUUGCAUUAUAUAUACAGCUUUUAGCCUUAUACAAACCAUGCAUCAAUGUAAAGAGCUUUAUUAUUCCUCUCUCAUCAUCAUAAAUUCAUUUUAUUUGGCAAAGCAUUGCUGCUACUCAUUGCAGUUAAUAGGUAAAUGCCUUACAGGUUAGCCCUUUGUAUUGUAUCAUCCUGUUAGGGUUAGUUGUGGUUGAUAAAUGUUGAACAAACACAUCCUGUUGUAUUAUUUCAAGCAUGACGCGACAGUUUCAGCUGUUUAUUUUGAACUUCCUGCACAUGCUGCUUAUACCUGCAAACAGACAGCAGCAGACAUCCCUAAAGGUCCUUUCACACCGGGACCGUUUUUGUCACGCGAUUAUUUCGGACGUCAAUAUUUUUUUCGAACCCGUAUCCUGUCACAUCAGCGAUGUUUUCCCAUCCUGGGAUAUUGCGGCAUUUAUUUUUUUCGGAUCACGGUCGAUUUUUCCAAAUUUUCGCAUACUGUGUCUCCGCUUCUGACCAAUCAGAUUUCGUGUUGUUGCGACGUCAGAUUCACCGCUAUAUCCAACAUGGCCGACCAGCUAAUUGUUUACGUGUCGGAGAACAGAGGACUUUUUGAUAAAAGACACAAACAUUACAAAGAUAACAACCUGAAGGACAACUUGUGGAGAGUCAUAGCGUCAGAUCUCUCAUAUGACGAUAGUUUGUGUGCUUUAACAGUUCGCUAAAUGUCUUUGUUUUAACUUUCAUCUGUGCUAAGUAACUUUAGCUCGUAAGCUAACCUGCUCCGAUACAACAUACCAUAUGUAUUUUCACUGUCUCAAACUCAAUCGUGUUGCUGUCACAGCACCAUUAGGUCUCAGUUGUUACCUUAGGUUUAUUGAUUAUAGUUUAAUGUGCUUAUGUGGUACUGGCCCCGACUCAGUACAUGCUAUCAUGACAGACAGCCAUCUCAACACUAGUGUCUAAUCAGAACUGAAAAACAGUCAGUUUGCUGUUGUGUCAGUCUUCUCACUUCCACCCGGAGGGCAAAAUUGCAUCGGGCUUGACGAGUAUAGUCAAAAUCCGCCUCAGAAUAUUUUGUAAUUUCACGUUCUAUAUUUGCAUCGGCCCCGGUGUGUAAGGACCUUAAAGAGUAUAUACAAAAAUGUAAAAGCUGGGUCAUAAACUAAACAACACAAAAGUGAUUAUCUUUAAUAAAGGAUAUAUCAUUAACAGGAAAUUACACCCAGGUCAGAGGAUAAUGUGUUUUGUGUCUGCAACAGGGGUGUGCACAGACUCUUUUAAGGUGGCCCUACUCAUGCAGGGGUGACCAAAUUAUGUGUGUCCUCACACAUUUGUUCAGAUGAAAUUUAUUCUUCUAAUCGUUUAAAUCUAAAGCUUAAUUUUUCUUUUUUUCUGCCUUUAUUGAGAGGACAGCCGAAGGAGACAGGUUACUCUAGAGAGACUGAGGAGAUAUGCACCAAAUGGUAGAGGCCUGAAACAAUUGUGCCUCUGUAUCAGGUCUACCUGCUCCAUCAACUAAAGUAAACAACACCCUAAUAGGAAAAUGUUUUUAAUGUCAUCUGGCUGUUUUGAAUAUCUGUUAUCUCUGCUAUCAGGUUGGUGUUAGCUGAGAAGUUCAACAGCACACUACAGAAACACCAAAACAUUGUCAGUGAGUGAGUUUACUGUGAGAAAAGGUACAAUAUUUGUUCACAGAAACAAUACUGAAAGAUGCGCAGGACAAGAUAGGAAGGAGAGCCUUGUUACCAGGGGUCAAAUCAAUUUCAGGAAGGGCUCAUGCCCUCCAAACCUGAACCCUAACCCAAUUGUUCACAUAUACAGGAUUUAUAAAGAUGAUUGAUAUAGAUUGAGGGAUAUAAAUGUUUCUGUUCUUGACAACCGCUGCAGAAUUGUUUGGAUUUGUUUGUGUACGAGCGUAUUAUACCUGCUGCAGUGUAUUUUCCUAAGGAGACAAAAGUACCUGGUCAAUAAAUUGCUCUUUUUAAACUUACCUGACUCAUUUUGCUUAAACCAGACAAUAGCCAUGGAAGCCAUCACAACACCUCAAACAACAAUGUUCCUACUGUAAUUUUGGCUAAGGUGAGAUAUUUUCUGAGCAGUUGUCCCCUUAAAGAAAUAAAGAUUAUCUUCAAGAAAGUGCAGCUAUUAUGCUGUUAUGUUAUUACCUACGCACCACGGGGCUCACAAAUGGCAUUCUGCUCAUUGUUGCUCCGUGGCCAUUUGUCCUUCAAGCCCUUCAAAUGUUCUGAAGACAGUUCCAGUGGAAAAAGAUUGAAGUGGAAUAACAGUCUAAUGUCUGAGGCAAACAAAAUUGAUACGUUAUCGACGAGAUGAUUAUUUUGCUCAGCACAUUUGGGCUUCAGCGGAGGGGAGUCAACCUGGACAAGGGGACUACUUUUUUCUAAACAGCGACAGCUUUGGCGAAAGUAAGACAUGAAGUCAUGAUUUACAAGCGUGAAAUGUUGCAUGUGUUGAUCAGUGAUUUUGCAUUAGAGGACACAGCAGCAGACGUACAAAUUGAAAAUUACAUUGAUUAAUGCAUUUCAAAUCAGCCCUUAAAGGAACAGAUUUUUUUCUGAGUAACUGUAAAUAAUUUGAUAGAACAUCAACACGGAUUAACUCAGAGAUUUUUGAUGCAAAUGAAUUGUAAAAAGAAGUAAACUUUUAACUUGAAAAUUACUGAAAAUACUGAAAAAGGAGUUCAUUACUGCAGUUUAUCUGUUCACCAAGGAGACACAAUAAAAGGUCUUAAACAUCCUUGAGUCCAGCUGUGGAAAGCCGCGCUGCAGACAGUCUUUGAGAAACAGGGUGGUCACUCAUUAAAAACCUUCAAUUUGCUGGAAGAAGAAUGAGAGUAAGCUUCUGUAAUGCAGUGGGACCUGCACACCCAUCUGUGGCGGCACGUGUGUUUGUGUGUGAGUGUGUCAAUUAGAGAGGCUUGUUGGGUUUCUUCUCUUCAAAGUACCUAAAUAAUUUAACCAUCAGGGGUCAGAUUUUAUUAAGCAGUGUGGCAGCAGGUCUACACCGUGGCGGUGUUUUUAGAGCCACAAAUGAUGAAGGAAGCUGAGGAAGACAGACAGUGAAGAAAGUGUGACGCUACAUGAUGCAGCCAUCUGUCUGACGGAGAGAGGCCAUCACUGUUCCGACUACGAGUGCACUCGCACUCUUAGGUGGGAGCGGUGUAAAUUACCUCUGCUGAUUCUUUAACUGCUUCCAUCAAAGUGGAUUAGGAAGGUGAGCUAGAAGACGGACCUCUAAUCGUUAAUUGAGGUUUUAUUAUUGCUGCUGAAAUUUGACUGGAAAAGGAGCAGACAUGACUGCAGGGCUAGUAGGAUGCCUAUCACGUUGCAGUGUUUUAAACCAAUUAUGGGUAUUUUCUAGUGUCUUUCUCCGUACAUAGUCGGUGGAGAAACCUAUUUUAUUUGACCUUGGAUGUCCCUUUGCGGUUGUCUGCUCUGAGGAUACAGAGUAGCUCCCCAGUGAGAGUUCUAUGUAUUCUAUAAUUAAUAAUUCAGCAGCUCGUAGCUGGCAGACAGCAGUCUAGUGGAGGGACUGACACAUUAGUAGUGAGGGGUAGUCGCUUCACUCAACCUUAAUGAGGUGUUUAUACUUGAUUAUGUAACAGAACUAUAAUCAACAUUGACUUUCUAGUUUUUUUCCUUUUUGCCACUGCCAAAAUGAAGCCCCAGACCUCGUCUCUCAGAGCAUUUUACAUUUCAGUAAAUCAUUUGACUUUGCAGACCCAGAGAAAAUACUGCCAUUAAACAGAAUCUCAGUUUAUCAUUAGCUUUAAAUAAAAAAAAAAAACUAUUUUUGAGACUGAGAAACAAGCGGCCUAAAUUAGAUUAACAUUAUCUGUGAUGAAAUUGCCAAGGGUUCUUCACAAUUAUUUGUCUUUCAGUUCGGUUGAACACUGUUACAAAACAAACUACGGAGGGUAAGUUCACCUGACCCAAAUUAAAAACAAACAAGAUGAAAAGUACGGUAAUGUAUAAGGCCAUGGUGAUAUGGGAUGCUCUGAUAGGACAUAUGAUUCAAGAACACAACAAAUACAGAUUAAAAGAUCUAGUAAAAGAACAUUUAUUAGUCAAACAGCUCCUUAUUUGGAUUAAGCUACUUUGUAGAAUCAAUCAGUGUUUGUCUGAUUUACUUGAUAUACCUGAAGCCACUCUUGCUUGGCUGAAGGAUUGUAGAGAACUAGUGAAGCCCAUGUAGACCCCAAGAACUCUGAAAAAACGCUGAUACUUAUGGUGCAACAUUCAUUUUAUAUUCUAUACAUAAACUAAAGUAUGGAAAUAAAUUUCUCUAAGGGAGACCCUUUUACCUGUGAACAGCUCCAGGCCAGCUGGUCCCCCCUGCUGAUGGUCUUCAUGUUUAGCUAUGCUAGCUGUUUCCUGGCCAUAGCCUCAAAUGAGGAUUACAGGGAAUAAAUGAUCUGUUUUUUUCUCUAAUUAGAAGUUACUAUGGAAUCAGUGCAUAUAUUCUCUCUAUCUUCUCUCUUUUUUUUGUCUGUUUGUUUGUUGUUGUUGGCUCCAAUCAGAGACAUACAAAGACUCCAAAACAUGUUGAGAGAUUCACAGAUAUCCGAUCCUGUCUGUCCAGGCUUGUUCAUCAGCUGGAGAAGGACGCUCUGAUGCUGCAGUCUGUGGCUGUGUGCUAAUGUCUAUGGAUGAAUUGACACGUCCACUUCUUGGUGUUACUGGUGUCAAGUAAAUUGAAAACAGGCCGUGGUAGCUGUCAUAAAUGUGACUGUGGUGGUUACAGACACUAUUUACUGCUUUCUCAAGAUCAAGGCUCCAGGACUGGAGCUACUCCAGUUGCUCAUGUACACACAGUUUUGUCAAUUUAGUUCACUCCGCACCAGUGGGCUCCAUAAAUAUAUAUUUACACUCUCAAACUCCCUGCAGUGUGUAUGUAGCCAGUGAGAAUUCAAGCAUGGGGGUAAACCUAGCAUAUCAAUGUGAUGAAUUUUCAAGUUGGCCAUUUUUUUUUUUAUGUGUCCUGUGUAUUUCAUAAGGGACAGUGUGUGUUAUGAUCCCCUGUAGACAAGGAAAUAAGGUGUCAAAAGCACUUUGCAUGUUGAUAGAACACCCCUUCCUGCAGGAUCAGACUCUUCCGAAUAGACCCUAUUAAGGGAACCCAGAAAUCGGCGGCAGCAGCCUUUAGACUGACGACCCCCUUCUGCUCCUGCGCCUUCCAUUCUGUAUGACAUUAAUAUUCAUUUUCUUGGUUUUAACAAAGCAGGCAACAGGCAUGGGGUGCCCCGGGAGCACUGCGUUUAGCAUCAAUGGAGAUACAGUCAAACAACCAAACACAGAGGGGGAAGAUGGCUGUCUCCUUCCCCUGGGCUCCAUAUUAAUGAGAUAACGCCACACUGCAGCCAAUUACAGCCACUUCCAGACAGAUGCCUUUAGUCCAAGACAACCUCCCACCGUAGACUCUACCCCCCACCUCCUCCAAGUCACCAUGCCUGUACAGGAGCACACAUACAUCAUUUCCUCCUGACACAGAUCCAUACAGAUAUACAUUAUGCAUGUUUUUGCAGAGAAAAUAGACACCAAUGAAAGAGAAUGAAAGGAAAACUCAAGGGCUAAAAACCUUUUUUGAAGUCUCUGUAAAUAUAUCUUUAUCUUGAGAGUAUGCAUUAUUUGAUUCACUUGUCAAUUGCGCAUCCACCCAUUCUCUGAACUACUUUCUUCAGGGUCACCGAGAGGUGGAGUCAAAUCAAACACACACUUGGUAGGAGGCAGUGUACAAUCUGACGGGGCCAUUCAUUCAUCAUGGUGUCAACAUAUCCCUACUGAAAAACCACACAAGACAAUACCGAUUCUCCAAUUUACCUCACCCGUCUUCUACCUUUCUUAAUUGCAGGAGAGCCCCACAGAUAAAAAAAGAAGCACGCAACAUCAUAAUACAAAAAGGAUAUCACUGGAUGAGCUGGGUUUAAAGCCAUAACCUUCUUGCUGCGCGAUGACCGCCUUCAAUGUCGAUUACAAUUCAUCAAAAACCUUUCCAACAGUGCGUUUUAAGGGUUCAGAUCAUGACUUCCAAUGGGGAUGCUAUUAGAGAGCAGAAAUCCUGUAAAAUUUCAUUCUGUGGGUGGUCAGUCUAGCAUCAUAAAAGACUCUGGGUAAGAGUGCUGUUAAAAGGAUCUCAGUAUUUAAAAGGCCUUGUGUAACCCAUGUGAGAUGGCUCAUUAAUUGUGCAUUACAAAGCUGAGGCAGUAGAAAUAAGGCUACCUGCCUAGCAUCACAGCAGCCCUUAUAUUGGAUGGUGCAACUUCAUGGUCCUCAUGAAUUGGCUGGCUUAGUGAUACAGUUUGCCUGCACUCAGCACAAUACGAGCGGGCAGCUGGUGUUUGCUCAGUGAAGUCUGAAUUGAGGCUGAGAGCAAUAGUCAUGCCCAACUGUCAAAGAAAAAGAAAGUACAUUUACCCAGAAUGCACAGCUGCUAUAAAUUACAUCCAGCUUUAAAAGAAUAGUUCUUAUGUGACCCCGUUAUAUAAGGUUUCUCUGGACAUUAUCUUCUUAGAUUCUGCUGGCCUGUGCCAUCCAGAUAUUACUAUUCAUCUGAUAUGAAAUUGAUAAUUUUGUUAGUUUAAUGGCAGUUACGGUAAGAACAAAAAGAUAUAUAGUGAUAUAGUCUUAUGCUACAUGCUCCAGAAUAAACCACCUUUACCUGUACAUCUUUCCUUGAGGUGGUUAUGUACAUUUAUGUGCUAUUUGAUUUUUUUGUUCUCAUUUUGUCUUUACUGUUUCAUUCAAACAUAUAACCUGUAGUAUAGCAGGUAGAAUAAAGUACGAAAAAUUCUUAUACACCCGCAGGGGCUGAAUCAUUUCAAGAAAAGGAACCCUUUCCUUUUUGAUAUCCUCUGUGAGUAUUGACUUAAAAAAAGAAUAGAAAUUGCCUUCAAUCUGGCAGCUAAAACCAUGUGUAGACAAAGACUGGCCCAUUCUGAGAGAGGAGUCAGACAGAUACCAAUGGGGGCCUGGGGACCUGAAAAUCGUUGGGCUUGGCUGGUAUUCAGGGUGAGCCAGGGCCAGUAGUACGAUGCAUGGGCUCGAUACAACUCAGGGGAAGGGGAGGGAGUGGCAUGACUGGAAUUAAUUCUUUGUGAUUGAGGCAAUUGCCAAGGUUACUGCAGAGAAUCAAACAGUGGAAUGUCAUAGGAAGUGUUGUUUUUUUAGAGGCACAGUAUCCUUGGCCAGAGCUCACACAAGGAGAUGCUAAUGAUAGCUUUAUUUUGUGACUUUAUGAAACUCAGACAAACCUGAGAACAACUACUAGAGUCUUAUUUUCAAAGGGGAUCCAUUAAGCACAGACUUCUCUUCAUUGAACGAACUGAGGAGUAAAGACACAAGCAAAGAGAGUGAGACGUGUAUUAACAAAACGUGUCAGAUGCCAGAAUUUUUCAAACACGAUCUCUCUUUACAACAAAUAUGUGACGCACCUAACCAAACUGAGAAACAUUUGUGUUUUGCUAAAUUAAAAAUCCUGGUCUCUGUGAUGCUACGAUGUUGUCGUGUAACCAUGGAUAAUUAGAGUUUUCUCUAGGUUUGUAGGGAGCUCAGGGAGUGAAUGCAAUAACCAUAAACAGAGCUCAGGCGACACAAGUCAUUUCAGCCAAUACAAAUCAGAUAGUGAAUCUGUGUAAACCAACUGUAAACCUUCAGUCAACGCGAACAUGUCCCAUGAGUUUCAUACAACGGGACACUGUCUGGGCCUUACGAGAGUUGUAGUAUCUGAUUGCAAAAACAAUAUCUCUUGUAAAAGUUCUAUCAGAAUGAGAAGGUGCUUAAAUUUAACACAGAAAGGUGGUUAAAUCUGAAGAUUAAUAUGUAUCUGUGUAGAAUUUUUGUUGACAAUUUUCACUACUGCCAAGUAUUUUUUAAAAUCUGGAACCAUAUUACAUCUACACGUUUACUGUAUAGAUAUCUUGUGUUAUCUUAUUGUGAACUUUAAUAUGUCGGUAAACCAGCGCGGUUUUAGCUCUGUAAUGCAUGUUAAACUCAAUCUAAGGUGGGGUUUUCAAAUAGUUUGUUUAUUGGAAAGCUAAAAAAUCAUUUAAAGGUGACACUGUGAUAAAACUAAAAGCAGGGUCAUUUUACAAUACAUAUGGCCUCCGUAAACAAAGGCCUCCUUUAAGGGCCCUAUCAGCAUUGACAGCCUCAGUACUCUUUCUCCCUUUAGUUCUAUGCCCCUGACUAUAAGAUGGAACUUGAGCAGUCUUAUCUGCAAACUAACUUUAAUUUUACCAGGUUGUUUGUAUCUUGUAUUAAUGAUCCCACACUGCUUUUGGUCUGCAGUCUUUGCCAUUGUAAUUUUUGUGUGUGCAUGUGCAUUUUGACUCUGACAUAGUUUUGAAUAUAGAUAAAACAACAAACAAGUGAAAUCGAUGGCAUAACACAAUAAACGUGCCAGAGUGGAUGCACUGCCUGGCCACAAGGAGGCAGCACUGGGUGUCAUGCUGCGUUGCAGUCAGUGGGUGAUGAAGAAAUGGGAAGAAAAAGUUGUUUUAUCAUAUACCGAUUAAUGAGACGUCAAUGGAUGAACUUGUGCUGUGUUGGAGUAAGUCCUCCUUUUAAUAAUACAGAAGAAAUGACUUUAUAUCAAACUCUUGCUAAUAUGACAUAUGCCCUUGUUGUAUCUGUUGCUAAUUCAACAAGCAACGGUUUAAACAAGCUUCUCUUGCUAGUAACAGUUAGCUAGCCUGGCUGCAUGGUGAAUUGUGUUCUGGAAACUUUCACUUCCUACGGCAACUUCUGUUUUUGGACCAUGGGCAGCAGGUGCUUCCAGCAAUUAGUCCUUUUCUACUCUGAGCAGCAGCAAGGCCAGUGUUUAUCAGAAAUGGAAAUAAAGUAGACAGAACUUGGUCUUUAACAAUCACAAACCAACCUCAUGUUUACUUAAAACUCCUCUUUUGAUGUUAUCCAGCAAAAUAUGACAUACAAAAGGUAAGGAAGGACAUCGGCUCUAAUUACUGUUUUGUGGACAUGAAGUAGAAACAACAACAGACUUCACUGCUGUCUCAUAAAUGUCAUUUUAUUCACAGAUAUGCCUUCAGUUUUUUAUUAACUCUGCAGCUCAUAAAAAACAGUAUUAUUAUAUUUAUCUUUUUAGUCUGCUGUCUUUCAGCUUUAUGAAUGUAACCUUUUUAACAGAAAAGUACUAUUUGAAAUGUUCAUGAUUGAAAUGGAACAAAACAUUUAAACUAUUCAGAACAAAUCAAAGCACAAAACCUAAUAAGAUUUGUAAAUGUUGUAAUUUUCUGGACUGCUGAUCAUUUUAUUAUCUUUAUCAAUACGUUAUUUUCUUAUCUUGGUGUAUUUAUUUGAGCUUUCCUUUCACCCCCUGGCAUUGUCAUAAUGAUUCCAGUAUGUACACUUCAUCUAAAAGAAAAUCAAAAUGCAUAAGAGUUGAUGAGGCUAAAUGAGAAUAAGGCAAGUAGCAGCCCCAUGUGAGUAAAGAUGGUAUGAAUACGGGGGGAUGGUUUUCAGGUAUUCAAAGAGAUAAAAGAUAACACUGUUUAUUCAGAUCCCAAAGUAAGAUGAUCUUUUAUGGAACAUUUUGUACAGCAGGGCUUUCCAAUCUGUCUUUUUUUGAACAUUUUUUUCUUACCCGUGUGCCUUAAACUGUGUCAAGAGAAUUGUUGAUUUAAUUGCCUUCAGAGGGUAUUGACAAUGACUAUGCAUUUCUUUCACUGGUCCAGAUCUGACUGCUCUGCAUUGACGUUUGCUGGCCGUGGAUGGUCCAACCUGAACUUGGUGUGAUCGAUGGACUUGGGGGAUUUGAUCAGUUUGCACUCAGAAGGUCAAGAAAGAAACUCCUCUCAAGGUAAGACUGUAUCCCAUUAAGCCUGCACAAUGUGCUCCACUUUUGCUCAGUGGUUAGAUGUUUGUUUAUCUUGCAGUACUAAGAGCUUUGUUAUUAGGUGUUUAUGAUGUCUGGUUUCUGUUAGGCUUGGUUGUGCUGCUUGUGAUGCUUAAUGAACAUCAGUUCUGUUAUGGAUUCAUCUCUGUGUGACAUUGUUUUUAUAAGCAGCAGUUCAAAUAGACACAUCAGCCUGUUGUUGUGCUUGUGGUUGGUGUUAUUGCUCUUUGACAGUCUGUUACCAUUGUUGCUAUGAGUGGUGGAGUAGCUCUGUUAGUGUUGAAGUGGUGGUGGGUUUUAGCUGUUAUUCAGAAAGGUUUGCAUAUCAAACUGUAAUCAUGCAACUUCACACGAGUUAGGUGAACGUGCUCUUUUACUCUUUGGACGUUUUAGCCAAAUACUUUUUGAUAUUUAUUUUUUGGGAUAGCUUGAGAUAGAUACCAUGCAUGUAUUCAGUGCAGUGCAAACUACUUACAUGCUCAGUAAUGUGGGUGAAAUGUAGCAUUUUGAAGCAGUGUAUAAACUCUGUGUUUGAAUUUCUAAAAGCUGUGACGUAACUAGUUAUUCAAUAUCUUAAUCUAUGUAUACAUUUAGUUUGAAAAUACAGUCCUGAAAUGACUGGAGUGCAACCACCUCAAACUAGGUGGCGUCAUCUCAGUCUAAACUCUGGUGUAAGCCUAGUUUAAGACUCACAUAGUUGAGUGACACUCCGUGUUUUUUCACUCUCUGGUAAGUUACUGUUGGAGUGUAUGUAACAACGCUAAUACAGGGAUCACAGCAGCUGUUUCAUCUGACACUGAUCAAGCUGCCAGCCACAGACUGGACCGUAGUCAGUUUGGGUUGUAAACAGAUAUACAUGACAUUUUGUGCAACAUAGUGAUUCAGUGAGAGACAGAUGAGUUAAGACAGCCGCAGUAUGGUAAACUCAUUGAGGAAAGCAGCGAAGAUGUCGGGACAUGGCUUGUUGGGAAUUAAGUUGAUGGCAGCUGCACUGACAGCCUUAAGUGAGGUCCCAAUGUGUCAUUAGCAUUUGCAUACUAUUUAUUUUAUUUUAACAGUUUGAGACUUCAGUUAACCCAUCUGUCCACACUAGAAGAUAAAGUGUGAAAUGCUGAAACUGAGAUAUAAAAACAUCUUAAUCUCACUUGAGUACACUAAAUUCAGCCUUAUUAUGACUCUCUAGCCGGGGGUCGAUUGCCACUUAUCUAAACAUAGCAGUUAUACUGUCAGCAAAAAGCAGUAUCUCCCCCACAUCUGCAGGGGUUGCCCUAGUACGGUUUAACUAGAUUUUUCUGAAAUAUAAAGUACGAGUAGGGCCCCUCAAUUACAAAAUAAACAGCAGAGUGGGAAUGACUCCGUAAUAAAGUGGUACCAUGCAUUUAGAGCACAGUUCAUUUGGUCAAAGGGAAAUGGAGGUCAGGCCACUGUAAUUUUGUGGAUGCUUGACUUGCUGGGAAUUAUACUGCAGUGGAGUUGAGAUUGAGAGGUAGUGAAAAUAUGCUUUUUAUUGUAGAGAGAGCGAGAGAUAAAGAGGGCAAAAUUACCCUGCAUAAGAACUUAAUUUGUUUUAGCAAACUGUACAGUGGCAAGAGAUGAGAAAUUUGGCAGAGAGUGAUCAGGAGAGCCCCGGGAGGUCUCAGAUCUGCAUGUUCCUCUAAUUGUGUCACAUGCCUGCAAAUACUCAGUGCAGUCCAAAAUAAAACAGAGAUGCGCACUCACCGUGUUAAAGCCAUUGUGUUGUGGUUUAAACUUUGAAGAAGCCUUUGAUAGAAGUUGAGACAAUAUUUAAAAUACAUUUCAUGGACAUAAGCUCCCCUGCAAAGCUCAUUCACAUCUUAGAUCUAAUCCAGCCACCCUUGUUCUCCAGCUGGCACAUAAGCAGAGUGUGCUAAACUGAGCGGCAGUUUAACUGUCAAAUUUAUGGGGAACAAAUUUUGACUUGAAAAAAUUGCUGGCAAUGUGACAGAGCAUGAAUAAUAUCACUAAAUGAUAAGUGAUGACAACCACUAACAACCAGUUUGGACUGUAAUUGGAGAGAGACUGCAAAAAAAAAAAAAAAGAAAAAAAUCUAAAUGGAAAAAUAUUAUACCAGAGUGAUUACAAAUAGAGGCACUUUUGAAUGGCUGCAAUGAAGUGCAGAGACUGUGCCAAAGCCCAGCCACACUGAUGUUUGCCUACAAAAUAAAAUGAAGUAAAUUUAUUUGAUCUUAUUAGGUGAAUGAGACUCUGGCUUAUUGAAAAUCAACAGCAUAAAUUCAAACCAGGAUUAGACUUAAUUAUAUUAAGUGGUUUAUUAUAUUAAGCCAGAACACAAAAAGUACAAACAUAAUUCAUGAAAAGUAUUUCUAAUGACUUGUUGUAUCAAUUAUUGUGACUGGCAUUAUUACCGUAAAUAUGUGAACUAAUCCAGCCUGCCGAGAGAAAAUAUACUUCACAUUACCUAAAGCAAAAGAUAGCACCACAUAAACAGAACCAGGGCACUGCUGGAGGCAUUUUCUUUGCACCUUUUAUUUACUAGGGGAAAAAUAACCACAUCAGCUGAGAUUGUUUUUGCCCUGAGAUCAUAAACUAAACUACCAUUGGAAUCAACUCAAAGCUCCCCUUUGGCAAUGACUGUCCAACCUUGGCCAAGCUGGCUUUUUGCCUCUGUCCUGAAACAUGUCUUUGUGGCUGAGGUGUGUUUCAUAGUGACAAUUUGCCAUUAGGUCUAAUACAAUGUGGGCAGACAGAGGCACCCUUUGACCUCUCUGUUUCUUCCCACAAGGCAGAGAGAGGCUCCUGUCUUGUCAAGGUCAACUUUCUUUUCAAGCAGACAGCACUUCAAACUGUGGGGACUGCAGUCACCUCUGAACCACCUAUGGGUGCCUCACAGAGAGCCUUGGCCCUCCCACCUCUUGCAAUUACUGUCUACUACACCACACCCUUGUAUCUGUAGAGCUGUGAAGACAGAAGGGAGUGUAAACAAAGAGGUAGUUCAGAUGCACCGCUGACACUUUUGGCCAAUUACUCAUGUCUGUGGUCUGCAAUUGGCCGUCUGGUAGACAGAAAAUGGGUCUGAAGUGAAACAUCAUUGAGGUCCUAUCGCAGUCAAUCUAAUUUUGUUUAUGUUUCCCACCAUAUCGCCCUGGCAGGCAGAGGUUGUUGAAGUAUAAAGUUGGCACUCACUAUCAUUUCAGUGCAAUGAAAAGUUAAAACAUCUAUACCUUUGGAAGAUCUCACCUCCAGAGGAUUUCUUAAUCACCUGAUAGUCGUAUCAGGCCAAACUUGUUGUUCACAUUGCUCUAAAAAGAAGUGCCUUUUUUAUUUUAACAGUGUUGUACAGAAACAUUUCCCGUCUCCUGGACUCAUCACUCUAUUUGUGAGUGGGUGAAGUCUUUUCGAACUUUUCUGUAAGAAUUUAACUGAGAAUAGAAGUUAUGCAUAUCAGGAGGCGGCUUGAUUUGACUGACAGGUGGGCGCAUUGUGGCUGUUCGCAAGGAGGUGACAUCGUGGAGCUCUUUAUACUCAACAGAGUGCACUGAAAUACUUCACUAUGAUGACUAAAACUUCAAACAGACAGAAAUGUACAGCAAAAAUUACUCAUUAGCAGGAAAUGGACACGGUGUACGUUGCAUUAGUACAGAGAGGCACUGACAGUCAUAGAAGUAUAGAUCUGUGCUUUCUGAGGAGCAGGCUUCAAAAGAGUUGUGCUCUUUAUCUGUAGUGUUUUCACUUCUAUAGCGUAUUCCAGCUGAGAGGGCUUGGGAAAUGUACUUGAAGGUACGAGUAGGUCAGGGAAGGGAUGUGUAUUUAGCACACUACCUGGACAGUGCUGCAGAGGGCCUGAGAGACAGUUGAGAUGAAAACAAUGAUUUUCUUUUCCUCGGUUGAUGUACUAACAGCCGGGUGCUCCCAGACUGGAUGUUGCUGUGAAAAAAUAAUCAGUCAAGGUUAAAGAUAAAAAACGGUUAGUAGUCCUGCUGUUGGCCCCCUACAAAAAUCUGAUAUUAUCAUGUUGUGGUCUUUCUAAUAACCUCUUGAAUCAGCUCUUGCCCCUCCUGUCAAAGACAGUCAGUGGCACCUCCAGAAAAAACCCAACUCUGCACAUUGUGACAUUUUUGUGUCAAAAAUGUGUCUGCCGUGGAAAAAAAUGCAGUGUUUUUCUCUCGCUUCAGGGUUUUGUAUCACAGAUCAAACAACCAACAUAUCCUCGAAUGCUUAGCGGGCGUUUAAAAGGAUCAUGUGUGCCUUGCUUGGUGAAGCCGUACACACAGCAGUGGUGUGACGGCUCCUAAGAGCUCACACACUUGACCUAAUCUGGGCAUAUGUGGCCAGUGUAAGUGCAAAUCUUUAUCGUCCUUGAGAGAAACUCCUGAUUCCUCCUCUUUUUCCUUUUUUAUCACCUCGUAGAUCCACGGAUAAUCACUAAAAUUCCUCAUGGCAGCGUGAGGAAAGGCAAGAUUUUAUUUGUCAAUUAGUCUUUCUAAAAGCGAUCACACCGCUUGCAUCUUGAAAAUGUGAAGGUUAACAGCUUGUUUGUCCAUUGAAUAUCAAAAACCGUAAAUGAAAAAAGAAAAAUUCUAAUCUGCUAAAUGAUGUCUUCAAAUUUCUCUGUUCAACUAAUAUGUAAGACUCAAAAUGAUAUUAGAUUAAUCCCAAAUGGGACUGCUGGAAAAAGGAGUGUUUGCCUUGUGAAACACUCCUGAAUCAAAGCUGUGGUAAAAUAGUUUCUGGUUGUUUUGCUUUACUCAUUAAUAAAUUGUUUCUGUUCGAGAUCUUAAAGAAGUAGAGUUCAUGUGAUUAAGUGGUUCAGUCUUGUGAAACAUAAUCACCCUGUUGUUUUGUUUACUAUUUUACAGGCUAAAUAUGACCAUGUCCUACCUUAAAUUACAGCCAGAUCUCUAAUUUGACACUUGUUUCAUAGUGAUGUAUUAAAACCUCCCCCUAUCGUCAUACUAUAAAUGUUUUUUUUUUUUUAAAGGAAAUGCUUUUAAAAAGGGAAAUUGUAUUGUGAAAAUUAUACUGAACAGACUGAAAAGUUAAAGAAGCAAAGUAAGAGUUGACAUGAGAAAAAUAGGAAACCCAUUACUGCUCUCCUUCACGGUUUCCACCAUAUAUACCUCCUGUGUUCCUCUGAAUUAACUUUCAAGGGCACAGACUUUGAGCAAAUAUUUCAUUUCCCAAGAUGGCCAUCACUCAAGCUAUCACUUGAACAACUCAAAUCUGUCUUUUGCGAAGGAAAAAAGGGAAAAAGAUAGAGGUUAUAUAGAAAGUGGAAGAUGACUGAGAUUACUGGGGACCUUUUUUUUUUAUCAAGUGUCAAUAUCUGGAGACAGAAGUUGGAAAAGUGAAGAUUGGAAGCUUUUCCUGUUAUCAGAAGCCAUUUCAUUUUUAAACAUAUCUCUAUUCAGUCCUUAAAAUAUAGUGAACUUAAAUAAUUAUUUUUGAAGACACACCUUUGCACACUGCUUUAAAGGUGUCACGUCGGCUAAUUACGAUGAUGAGGACCUAUUUUGAGGAUGAAGAGAAAACAGCCUGACACCGUGUUAAAUGUUAUUUAUUUCUUACUUCAAAAGUAUCUAUUUUAAAUUGAUUGGGCCUUUCUUGGCUAGGUUGUCUAUUAAUCAUUUGAUGGUGUGAGCAACAUGGCAGUUACCCAGCAGCGACGUAAAUUGGGCUUCAAAGACGAGGUUUAUUUUUAAAAUCAGAGCGCCAGCUAUUCAGGCUGAAGUUGUCUACAUACAGUACAAAGGCUGGGAGAAAGGUAUCAGAGAACAAGCAGCAACAUGGGAAAUCAAUGCAUUCGAUUUCCUUUACACAUGUUGGAUUCUUUGUGUUCAAAGGGAACAUAGUGAUGAGCUUCAUUGUCGCACUUCGAAAAAUUAUGGUCUGUUUUCAUAAAGCAUAUCAGCACACUGAUAAAACAGUGUCAGCUUUUCCUUGACUGAAUUAGGUGUGAUGACAGCAAGCGCAGCUAAAACAAAACUGUCUCCUUAAAAACAGAGGGUGUGGAAACAUAUUAACUCUGUGUGAUUUUUUUUUUUCCCUUCUACGUUGACUAUUGUCUAAUUCUGUUCUAUAUUUGGAGACCGAAGUUGCGCGUUUAAAGUGUGUCCAUCAGGGGGUGUGUGUAAGGGGGGCUUCAGAGGUCAGUGUCUUACUGCUGCUGCUUUCACCAUGUUGAAACAAGAGGCAGAAGGUCAGAUUGCCCCCACCAGGAUAUGAAAAGAGAAAACAGUGCAUUAGCCCGGCUUUGUUCCUCCAACAUACUUGGACUUUUCCCACUGGUGCUGCCGCUCCUUUGUCCCCAGGGUCUCAACGGGUCACAGACUUCUGGGGCUAGCAGGGACAGGGGGUUGUCACACAGCUCUCCAAAGGUCGGUGUCUACGUUGCUUAUACCCCUAAGCCAUCAAUGGAGAAACAACUGUUGCUUUACCAUUGCAAUGCAGGAAUAUUAAAGCUAUUCAUCCUGACGCCAUGCUUCUGCUGAGACAGCUCAGAGGGGCUCUGAUGCGUGCUUAAUGCACUAAUCACACCCUCUCCCUAGGACCUCCAACCCUAAUCUCUUUGUCUCUGUCUCUCUAACUUUGAUAACCCAUACCACGCCAACACAACUAGGAAAGCUGUUCACUCUUAAAGCUACUGAUACCUCCUGCUAAACACUUAAACUUUUGCUGUUUUAGACACAGAAACACAACUUGCUGGAGCUAUAAUGGAUACGGGGUAAAUCCCAUAGUGAAUACUGAUGCUGUGUGUAUCCCAACAGAGCUGCCUAGACCAUAAAAGACCCAGGGCUGGGCGACAAAUUUACAACAAUAACCGAUGCCAUUUUGCCCAUAUCGAUAUAUUCGGUGUCAAAAGCAAUAAUUUAAGUUAGUUUUGGAUGUGUGUAAACAGGCUGUGGUCUCAUGUCACUUUAAGACGCUGUAUUACGUCUGAGACAUGACUCCACCCCAUCCAAUCUGUAACAAAGAGGGAAAGACAGGUGAGGAGAUGGAGGACGGUUCAAAAGUUGUAGCUGGAAGUUAAUGUGAGAGGGGGUAUAUAUCGUGAUAUUGAUUUGAGGCCAUAUCGCCCAGCCCUAUCAAGACCAUAACAUUUUCACACAGAUGGGGUAAUCUUUUUUUAUACUUGUAGCUCAGCUCCAUGGCUUGAAGUGUUAAAAACAAUAAAUAAGGUGCAAUAAUCAUUGACAAAUUAGCAGUUUUUUUAUGUCUGUUUCAGAAGUAAUAGUUCUUGAUGAAUUGUUGAUGUGAAAAAUUGUGCAAACUGUCACAUCACAAUUUCCUUUUGUUUUGUCUGACCAUCUGUCCAGUAUUAAAAGAUAUUAAUUUAACUGUGAUUCUUAGAAAGAAAGAAAAAACACCAAUUUAUCACAGUUGAGAGGCAGGAACAGGGAAAUAUGUGUUAAUAUGAAAAACGACAAAAAAAUGUCUCAUCAAUCAUCCAAACAGAUUAACUCAGAGUUUAUUACUGAUCAAUUCAACACAUGCUUCAACAUCAAACAUAAGAUUAUAGCCCUUGAAAGAGUAAUUAACAUGAGUGUUCGAGUUGUUGAUUUUUAAUUCAAUAUGUUACAGAAGACAAGCAUAUUGUUCUUACAGGCUAAGAAAAGAGUGGCUGUAGACUGAAGAAACUACAUGUUGUCAUACAAACACUCAAGUCUGAUAGUUAUGACCUGACAGAUGCUGUUUUUUUUGUACUGGAUUGUACAGAGGCGAAGCAUACAGCAAACUGCAGCUUGAUGGAUCAAUUGCUGUGGCCAUUUUCAUUUGAAGCCGCUCAUACUGGCUGCAAUGAAUCAAUAGCUUUUAAUGACCAUUGGGAGGGGUUGUGUCUUCUUGGUUAUUACUGUCAGUGAUCUUUUUGACCCUCUUUCCAGAACAAAAAAGUCUGACGGUUUGAUGGUUAAUUGCUACUGACUGUCUCUUGUAUGAGAGCAGAGCACCAAAACUUAUUUACGGGCAACUUGAACUCUUAAAAAUGAGUGAAAAUAUAAUGUCAACACAAGAUAUUAGCUGAACUCUUGCGUUGAGGUUUUCAGAGUUUUCUUUCCUGUUUAAAAAGUAAAAAACAACCACCUUCUUCCGUGCAACAUUCUUAUCACCUGGCUUGAUCCAAUGUUAGUGUAUAUUUUACCUGGCAUGACAAACAUUGUUGUCUACAUGUUCAUAUGGCAUUUUUUCUGAAGCUACAGGACAUAUAAUGAGAAAACUAAGAGCAAAAAAAUUGCAUUUCUGAAUAUUUCUGCAUUCAAGCCGCUGUGAACCUCUGACAGACCCAAACGGCAGGUUGAGACAGUGGGAUUUCCCAUGUCACAACUCCAAGCUCCGCCCCCAGUGCCUCACUCUGCAGGCCAGACUCAGAGAAGUGGAGGACGAUCGCAGAACAAUGCUCAUAAGAAAGCUAAUUAUGAUAUUACCUUUCGUGAUGCCCCCAAAGACAUUGGUGUCCGAGGGCUUAAAGCUCUUAUGUUACCUGCCACUUCUGCAAGUAAACUUUAUAAUCACAAUUGAAAGACGACUGAGAACACUGUAGAUCAUAAAAAAAAAAUGAUCGGAGAGCAACUGUAAUACCUGCACUGAUUAGUAGCUUUUUAUUCUGUGUGUGUCUGUGUUGCUGCAAAAAAUAUUUUCUUAUUUUUGGAUCAAUUAAGUAUUAAGUAUUAAUUAAGUAUAAUCUAAACUAAACUUAGGUGAACUUAAGAGAAUUUAACAACUCUGACUGAGGGAUGGCAAGUCUCUGGGCACACACAUGUGCUUAAUGGUUGAUUAGACUUUCCUAUAUUGCCUUACUUUUGUUGAAACGACUGCAAAAUUUAUAGAGUAAUGACAGUUGUGUGUGAGCUGAGAUGUUUACAGAGGUUUGUUGAUAGACGGUCGUUUCCUCUUUUCACCUGGCUAAAAUGUGUUAAGGUGAGAGAAAGACAUUGAGGUGAAGUGCCUUUUUGACCCACCUGUCUCAUACACAACCUGUGUGUCGGACACACUAGUGUAAAUACCUACUGAAAAUAUGUUCAGAAUUUUCUGCGUCGGAAAUGGCAUACUCAUGGGUAUUGAACAUUUUCUGUGCCAUGCCCACAAUCUCACUCUGAAAUUCAGGCCUUGCUAACAGUAUAUAAUGGGCUCUUUUUGAAUAGUCCCUUUUGGUAAGGGAGGCUCCCAACUGAGUAAAAGGACCUGGAAGGGUUUGAGCGUCAGCCAUGAACCACAUUCUCAGCCUUCAAAUGAUUCAUUCCUUUCUUUAUCAUCUCCUUUAGCACAGAAUAUACUUGAACAUUUUAACAAACGGAACAAGGUAAAAUUGUCCCACCAUAAUUAAAAUGAAUAGAUAUUAUUCUGUGACAGUGGAGUAUGUUUAUUUCAGUUAACAGUGCUCACACAAAUUAUUUACAAGCUGUUUGUAAGGCAGAGCUAGCAUUGUUCAAUUUAGCAGAUUUAAGAGAAAUUAAGAUAAAACAUCCUCUUCUAAGGUCGUAUUAAAAAUAAAACAGUAGAGGAAAAUAAGGGAGUAAAAACUGUUCCUAAAAUAUGUCAAAUUCACUGUAGAGAUAUGAAGGCUUCCAGGUGUUCUCAGGUCUUUAGAUUGUCACAGUGGCUGCCUCGUCGUGGGGAGCUGCUCCGCCUCAGAACCUGUAAAAUCCUAAAUGAGAUCACACCAAUAGCUUCUGUAGAUUUGAACCUUUCUUUAGCAGCUUUUCCUCCUAUUGUUAUCUUCAAAGUGAACAUGUCAAGGAACAAUGCUGCAGUUAUCCUCUUAUUCAUAGACACAUAUAUCACGCAGAGUGAUCAGACAUUUGAUGACUUUGAGCGAAACACUGGGGUAUUAGAUUUCUCUGUUUACCAGCUACUGGCUGAAUAGGUUUGCUUUCGCUUUGCGUCAAGGUACAUUUUAUGACCCUCAGUAAUUGGUUUGUUUUGAAAUUCAAAAUCCAAACACUGGAAACCCAUGGACAUUCAUUUUCUGCAUUUUUUUGUAUUUCAGUUGUACGAGCGGUUAAGAUAAACCUUGAGCCAGCGUUGACCACUCCUAUCAAUGCCUACAACAAAUGAGAUCAUCUCCAUCUUAUUAGCUCUGUCCUGAGGUUGAAUACAGACAUCAUGCUCAUUUAAAAUUUGAAAAGAAGUCCUUUCUAGCUAGUUAUUAGUACAUUUCACAUUUUGAAACACUAUGCUGAAGGACAUUCUAGUUUUACAUUGAAAUCCAGGCCUUGAAAGUCCAUAUCUGUAGAGAAAUAAUAAGCAGUGAUAAUUGAGUUAUUUAAAAGACAGCGUAUUUCAGUGGGAAAGAACUGAAUGUACUAAUGAUUGAGCCCAGCACUUAAUUCUUACUGAGGGAGGUUCAAGGUUACUCUGAGGCUGACAUAGCUAUUCAUCACAGCCAUAACAUAUUUACACUUUCUUACACUGUGUCAUCACUACUAUCCCACCUCAGCAGAAGAUUACUUCCGUGCCCUCUGGCUCGGCCCACUUAUCCAAAACUCCUGGUCAGGGGCCAAGAGGAAAGCGUCUGAGACUCUCUAGCUGAACAGCCCCUUACUUCACGUCCCGGUGCCUCAGUGUCUCCUGUAGACUCCUCUAACUGAACUCAAAAACCACAGCUGAAAAGACUGGUUGACACUACCAAAGAAAAAUAAAAUCUGGACAACAAUAGAUGGUGUAAUUUUAAUUCAGAGAAUUUAAUAGUAUCCUGGACAGUUAUCAUUUAAAAAUCCCUGCCCCCUUAAUCAUGUCAAAGUCAUAAUUAUCAGGCUCAACUUUUUUUUUUGUUUCCGUUCUUGCUGCGGGUUUUCUAAUGUUUCAUUUUUCACACUAUCAUCAGAUUUGAUUCGCAUUGCCAAGCAGAAAUUUCUGAGGACACUUAACUUUGAGGGAAAAUAUGCUCAGUCACAAGUAUGUUUUAUUAACAGAGCUAAAAAAAAUGGAAUACAGCAGUAUAAUACAGAAACACUUAAUUCACCUAAUGAAUAUAUUAUACUCGUGUGUGGCUUUCUAAAAAAAACUUUGCUGCUUUAACGUAUGAUUCAAAGAAUAUUAUCCAAUUAGCUUUUUUUUCUCAUGAUUACACCAAAAUAACAGCUGAUCCAAAACCAGACUACAUUCACAGUAUACUGCACAUUUAAAAACUAGAGAUAAGCUACAUACUGCCAAUAAAUCUGUGAUAAAAUUCUGCUAAAGAAAAGGCUCAAUAGAUCAAGAUAAAUUAGUUUCUCCUGAAUGUCAAUGAUGUCAGGUGAACAAAUUAAGAGUUGUAUGUACAUGCACAAUUAAGAAAUAAAUACACAAAGAUUAAAAAGUGUAAAUUAACACAAAAGAUAAAUUGGUGCAGUAGGAUUAACUUAUUGUAAGCCAAAGUAUUUACUGUAGAAAUUUCCUGGGAGGACCCCCAGACUCUAAGCCUGGCUGGGCCAUCCAGUUGCGUGAAUCACUUGCUGUCCCUUCCCACAACAGUCUGGACUUCGGCCAAUUUGGAGCCCUAAAAGUGGGCGGGAGUACUUUCCUUGAUAGACAGACUACUGUAACCAAUCACCGUAACCAAACAUCUGACGUCAUCACAGUGCGCAACUGUGUUCCCUGCUGGGCUCUCAAGCAUCAAGUAAAGGUUUGGUAAUAUUUCAACGUGUGCGAGCAAAUAAUGUCUUUUACGUCUUCUUCUUUGCAAAGUCAACUGCAGAUUUAAUGGCGUUCUGAAUGAACGGGGCUUUGAAAGGUCUCGCAGCAUGUGUUAGACGUCACCAUCUACACAUGGACCAAUCAGGGGCUGCCUUUCCCUGUUGUCCGGGGAACAGUGGAAACACAGUCACUGAUUGGUCCGGUUAUUUUCUGAUUUCUAAUACACGCUCCCAAUUGGCCGAAGUCCAGACUGUUGUGGGAAGGAACAGCAAGUGAUUCACGCAACUGGAUGGCCCAGCCAGGCUACCAGACUCUCACUUAUUGAACAUUCUCUGUGUAUGGGACCUGUAGUUCAACUUAAACCAAUUAUUCAUUGGCAGAUGGAGUUUUAGAUGCAGAAAUUGUUAUACUUCACCAUAACUUGCAUAAUUGGCAUGUGUAAGUCACAGAAAGUUACUUUUUGAAUUUAAAUAAAUCUUGAUUUUGCUAAGUUGUGUGUCCUAAUAUCCCUUGACUAAAAACAUACACAUUUCCAUCGCCUCUAAUAUUCUUUGAACUUUCUUCACAUGAACAAAACUGAAAUUAACAUUUUAGCUUUGAAGCAUGUGUGGUCCUUGGAAAAAAAAAAGAAGGUCAGCAUCAAGCCCUGACUCACAAAGUUUUCAUUCCAGAGCCAAAAAGAUCCCAACUUUUAAAGUCUCUCCAAAAACUAAUCUGGGGUUAUUGCUGUAUCAGAAAGUUACACUUUUGCAACCAGAGAUCAUUGCCAAUUUGCCAACAUCUUUCAACUAAUUUUCGCCCUUGCCAAUGUAGUUUUAACUGAUACAAACUUUCUGCCACUUUACUGCCAGAACCAUUAAUCACCAUUUUAUAGAUGCAUUUUUCAGCCAAAUCUAUUAAAGAUAUGCAUUAGUACUUGCAAGUCUGUUUGAUGAGGACAAGAUAUAAAAAGAUAUAAGCGAGUGGUUUUAUGAGUCAUGCACCCCCCUACAAAAGAAUGCACCCUCUGUGAAAAUAGGGUGCUCAUGGUCAGUGCCGUUGUCUCACAAUGAGAAGGUUUCUGACUCAAAUCCUCGGUGGAGCAGAAGCCUGUGUGGAGUCUGCAUGUUCUCUCCGAGCAUUUUCUGUCUUUGUAGGUUCUCUCCUGCAAAGCCAAAGACAUUCUCGUCAGGUUAAUUGGUCACUUUAAAUUGCGUGUAGGUGUGCUUGAGUCGUUGUUUGUCUCUGAGUGUUAGCUCUGUGAUAGACUGGCAGCCUGUCCAGGGUCAAGGAAAAGCUGCAUAAAAGUGGACAGAGUUUAGGAAAUAUAAAAAGUUUCAACUUUAGAUGGAAAUCAUUGCAUGUCUUUUAUGUGCCCAUCAAAGCCAAAAUAGAUAACCAGAAAUAGUAGUUAUUUUGUGUUCUAAUAGUAUAAAUUGUUCCUAUGCUGAAGUGGGCUCUUAAAGAUUAAGACAGUGUGUCGUGGUGUUUUGUAACAUCUUUUGACACAGUGUGUUUUUGGUAUCUGUUUGUUCUUGAUGAAUAAAGAUUUAGUUGAAAGCAUUUCUGACGGGCAGAAAAUGAUUACAUUGCACACUGGUUGUUAAGUUUUUCUCAGUCAUAUUCCUACCUCUCAUGAAUUUUGCUUUACAUCUUCCCUUGACCUUGCAGCAUUCUAUCCAGAUGAAGGGGAAACGAAUUGAAAAACACAUUUAUAUGUCAGACCAGCUCAGGCAAAGAAAACAGCGCCCUGAUACUGCUGCAAUUUUAAAUCUUUACCAUGUAGAGAAAGUGACAUCGAUUUCAAAAUCUGAUAACCUAGUGAAUAAAUAUGCAGAUGUAUUCACCACCAGCAAUGGAGCUCUACUUAAGGCUUUGCCAAUAAAAUAGCUAAUAGUCGACACAGACACAGACCAGAAAGUGCUGUGUGCCAUUAUGGUUAAUUGUCUCUCAUUAAUAUUACAUUACUUAGUUAGCUAAGGCUUGAUACCAUCAGUUAGAUUUACAGGGCAAUGUCCUCAUUUAGUGUGGAGCCAAGGAAAGAAACCACAUGGUCCUCAUUCAGCAAUGAAAUUUCAAUAAAACUUUAAAGUAGGAAAAAAAAUCAUAUUUUCUUUCAGUGGGUUUGUGAAUAAUCAAUUGAAAAUAGUCCAAUCAGAGAUGAGAACAUUCUCAUAUACAAAAGUAGUACUUGGCUCUUACAUACAUGCUGAUUGUUUCCUUGUUGUUGGUGAUUUUUACCCCCUGAUUAAAUAGUAUUCUGCAUAGAUAGACACAGAAACCCAAUCAGAGACUCCCAACACUUAUUAGUACAUGACUGAUAUGCUUGAGAGGUUUGACUGUAGAAGAUGAUUAGAAAAAAUAAUCUAGACCCUUUUUCUUUCCUUGAGAGCUCAUUUAUUUGCAAAAUGGAGAUGAUUAAUCCAUAUGCAUUCUUAAACCUUUGUAAACAAAAACAGCAUUUUUGGCAGACUUCUAUUCAUAUUUAUUUUGAAUCUGAACAGUCAUUUUAUUUUUUUCACGCUUGUCUUUCUCUGUGUGGCCAUAUGCUGCUUCAAAAUAUAUGAAUUUAUAUCCCCAGCAACAAACACAUCUUUGUUAACAUUAGGGAACAGUUUGAACUUUACAAUCCCACAGCAGCUGACUUACAACUCAAUGCUAAAAACCCCUGAGGUUGGCUCUUGAAGGAAUGUUUUUUGGGGGCUUUAUGCACCACUAAAGAAGGGUAACAGCAGCAUGCCAGGAGAAAUUGAUACGACACAAAAGAAACUCCGGCUCCGAGAGAUGUUCCCUCUGGCUCUUUAUGUUCUUAAAAUGGCCCUUUUUCAAAACACCACUGGGCAAAACAUUCCAGAAAUAUUGUACUUCACUUUUGUUGAAGCCAUCAAAUCUGCCCAGCUAGGGCAAUUCUAACAGCUGAACAUACAGCAAAUAAAACAAUGAUACUUCUCUGAAUAUUUCAUCUUUUCUUAAGUACAUUUUAAGCUAAUUACACAAAACCUUUCAAACAGCCUGAUCUUGUCACUUGAGAAUAACCAUCACAGAAUAAUCACACAGCAGUGAUUGUAUUUUAUUUAUUGAUGGGAGUAAAUCAAAGUAUAACACCACAAAGCAUUCACAAUGAGUCUUAAUGAGCUCCUCAAUUUACAUUAGUGGAUUGCCAAAGAGAAAAGCAGUGCUUUGCUGCACUCCUCAAUUGAUCAUCAAAAUUGUUCCCUAAACGUGCACAAUAAACAAACAAUAAACUAAGUUUGUGGUAAUUCUCUGACAAAGCCCAUAAUGCGCUGCUGUCUACAAGAUAUUCUCCACAUUCAUAUAACUCCGUAACAAGCAUUUUGAUGAAGCAAGCCAUAAAUGAUACUCGAAGAUAGACAUGCAGUUCAUAAUUCGGCUUCAGCUGGCACAGAAAUGUUGAGCUGAAUUCAUGUCAGAAAAAAAAGGACUGUAAGUUAACAUCUAGUCUCACCCACUGUGAGCCAAUUGCAUGCUGCAGAUUUUCUGAACACUGUGUCCCACCUACUGAGGCAGUACUACUGACACUACAGCUUUCAAUCAGUGGACUCAAAUCACCCACUAAUCACCACACAGCAAAGUGACUGCCUAGAGUCUGAGCACAGAAAUGUUGAAAAGCCGAAAACAGAGCUGCUUACUGCAGUGUUUCUAAAUUGGUGACUGCAACACUAGAUUUAAUAACUUCUUAGACCUUCUUGGUGACUGUGUUUCCUAGGAGCUGACAGUGACAAAUUUUUCAAAGUAUUUGGGGAAAAACUGGUACAGUGUACAUUUUAAAAUGUUUUUCUACAAGUGACACAUCUGUUCGAACAAAAGUAGCUCUCAGCCGUUUGCCUGCCAGAGGCAUAGCCCUGCUGUGACCCUGAGAGAGAGAGAGUGGAGCAGGUGGGUUCUUGAUCUUUGAUGACCUUGCCACUGGUCUCAGGUGAGCUGAACAUUUUUGCUACUGAGAGAGCUCUAGGGCCUUGGAAGAAGGGAAAAGAUGAAAAAAGAUGUCAGCAACUGGCUAUAGAAACAGCAACAGGCAAGUGGGAGAAAAAUUUUUAACCAGCAGUUUCGAAAUAAUUAGCAGAUUCAGUACAGAGGGGUAUUGUCUGAAUCUUCUGCCCAGUGAAGUUAAACACUGCAGCACUGGGAAUGAUCCAGUGCUCCAUUUUCCCCUUAAAAUUUAGUACCUAUGUUUGAAUAAAGGUCAGUGUGUCAGUCUACCCAGGUAUAUUUACGCCCGCUCAAGUAUAUAUGCUGACCUUUUUUUGUUUUAUUAUCACCUAUUUACAAUCACCAAUUAAACUAUCUUUUAAAAUGUGUUGACCUGCAAAAAAUUACUGUCAGUUAUUUUUUACUCUUUUAGUUUUGCUACAUAAAGACAAUAGAAUCAAGAGUUGAACUUUUUUAAAGUUGUGUCGUUUAGGGCAGUAGUUCUCAACUGGCCUCACUCUGGGCCCCACAACUUCCCAUGGUCCUUAAAUCACAACCCACUUUUAUAAAAUUCAAACCAAGCAAAUGUAUUUUUUAAUAAAAAAAAAAGGAGACUCUAAUCUUUAACAGAAAUUCAUUUGUUUUAUUAACUAAAGUGCAUUUCAGAGCACAUGAAGGGGGCAACAUGAGGACCACAGCUACUGAAGUUGCAUAUACAGAAAAUAUCAAAUAUAUAAUAAAUAUCGCAUUAAAUAUUUUACUUUUUUGACCUGCUGUUUGUGACCCAUGCAGAAUGUGUCCGCGACCCACUUUUGGGUUGGGGCCCACCAGUUGAGAACCACUGGUUUAGGGGACUUUACAAUACUGUUAAUUUCCUUUUAAGGAAGGAAGAAGAAAACCUUCAAGAAGUAGAAAUAGCUCUAUUUAUUAUACCAGCUGAUAUGAUGCUUUCACAUCAGCGAGAGAGUACAACAAACAUUAGUUAGAUGGUAAACUCUGAUCUAAAUUCUCUUAUUUACUCUAUUAUUACAUACUGUAUAUUGUUCAUUGAUUACAUUUACUGUCAUUCAGUUCCUAAGGUGCCUAAGGUCUUUUACAAACGCCCUGUAUUCUGCAUAAUGAAUCACAUAAUUACCAUUGCGACAACUGAGCCAGCAGCUCUUAUUUCUUCAAAGUUAUCUUGUUACCCUUGAUUUCCUGUAAUUCCACAGAUGCCACUUUGUCUGGGCUUUUCCCCUGAGACAGCAGCCAUGAGGGAUUGGCCUAGAUGGCUGAAACUAAAGCUGGGAGAAAGGGACCGGGUCCCUUGUGAACGGAUGCUGUAUCAGGGUUUAGGACCCUUGCGACGGUGCUACAGCUCAGUAAGAAUGCUAAUUCUGGAAAGCAUCAAUGGGAGGAGGAAAGAGAGGGAGACAGACAGAUGUUGAUGUUACAGUGACUACAUCUAUCCAUCCUUUUUCUAUAAGCAUUUAUUUUGUUCAGUGACAUGGAGGGCUGGAACCUAUCCCAGCAUGCAGUGAGCAAAAGGCAGGGGGACAACCUUGACUGGUUCUCAGGUUUAUCACAAGGCAAACAUCUCGAGAGAAACACAUAUUUGGAGUUCCCAGAGCAUCUUGACCUAAAAGCAUGAAUGCGAGAAUAAAGUCAGAUUUUGGUGACGCACUUAUUUGCACCGAUGACUUUAUUUGUACUAUUUAUUAGACUGAGGUAACUAGUAUUCUUUCCACUGCUUUUCUCAAGCAUAAAAAGAAUAGUGUGUAUAUAAUAUACAGCCAAAAAAGUUGUUUAGAUUUUCAUCAGUAUGCAAAUAAAUAAAUUAGGAUACUCAUCCUUCAUAGCAUCUUGGAUCAAAAUAGCUUCUCGUUAAGAACUACAUCACCCAGAUAAAACGGAAAACAAACCAAGUGUCUAUAAACUGCAGUGAACCCAGCGCUUGGCUUCAGACUGUUAUGCACUCCAAGUAUCACACAAAUGGGUCACAGAUUGCAAGAGUCUCCAGAGGAACCCCCACAUGAAACCCCCCCUAUGUCUUAGUCUUUACUAUUUGUUGUACUUCCGUCCUCAGAAGCUCAAAUUCCAACUCAGGAAGCAGGCUGUUCCUAAUCCUAAUGACGACUCUCCUAUUACUUCAUUGGACUGAUAAGGCACUAGUCUGUGACACUCAAUUUUCAAGACCCAGACCCUAUCAAGGAACUAUCAAGUGAUAGGAUAGCUGCAGGACCAUUAAGUGAAUGUCUAAUUAACUUAUUAUAAGGCCUUUCUGCGCUGGCUAUCAAAUCCCUCCUUGAGGCACGAUGCAUCCAUCUGACCUGGUUUGAUUGCACAGUCACAUUAAUGAGCUCUGUGAUGUCCCACAUACAGGCUCACCUCGCUUUCCAGCUGCAGCCAACAGCAAAGGGCUGUUUGGGGUAGGGGGUUGAUUGUGUGUGAGACAGCGAGAGACCGUCGUUCUAAUAGACAGAAAAUGAGAGUAACCGACACUUAAAUGCCCCUACUGGUAUUUAAAGGUUAAUUUGUUUGUUCCUGUGAUUAAAUAGCUCUCCAUUAACUUUGUGCGUCAUGGUGUUCAGAAAAUGUUCGAUAAGUUUUUUUUAAACGUUGAGAAUAACUGAGUGUCGGCUCUUUGUGGGCUUGCUGAAUGGGGGCAGGGAAGAGAGAGAGUGUCAGGGAGCAGGGAUGUCCUCAAACACUUAAUUUAUAGACACAUGACCCGCCCUCGCAGCUUUAGAGCACUGUGUGUGGAAUCAGAUCCCAUUUUCUAUCUAUGGGUGUCAUGUGUCUGCGCUGGUGGGAGAGAAGAAAAGAAAAGGAGAAUUUAUUUUCAUGCAAAAUGAAAACAUUUGCAUAACACGCGUGAAACUCAUUUGCAAGACUCCCCUCAAACUUUGCAUUAAAACAACAUGGAAAACAUGCAGACAAAGGAAGCAGGGAGUCGAUCAUUCAGUGAACCUGCUAGGAACUGUGUGAAAUUUCAGAUGGUGUUAAAUCAGCUACGACUUUUCUUUUUCACUUUUUUAAGCUGCAGAUUUGACCCUUACCUAUUGAUUAAGUUGCUUGUUUUACACGUCCUUGACAGUAGAGUAUGUGACCGAAAGUAUAUCUAAAGGUCGUCUCCUUAAGUUGAUUGUCAAGGAUAGUGGAGGGAGAUUUUGUCUGGAUUACAGUCUCUGUGUGCAUAAGCCCUGGGUUUAAACUUUCACUUUAUCCAUGCUUUUCUCUCUGAAUCCCUGUGCUGGCUGAAGGCAGAGAGGUUCACUGCACUGCCCCCUCCUGUAUGGGAACGACUAUGAAUAUAAAUAGGUGAGCUCCUCAAGGUAUUACAACUCAUCCAUGCCUGGCAGCUGGUUGAGAAUGUCAAUACCUGCAUAAUACAGGAAUUGUAAUUUCCCUCUGUUUCUAAAGGUUAUAAUGGCUGGAGUUUUCACCGACAUAUUAAUUCAUGUUGGCAGCAUGAUGUGCCACAGUACAGGUCAAGGAUAUGGCUAAUUCUAUAUUUCUAUCCACCUGAAAUAGUAACAGUUAAACAAAUCUAGUGUUUAAUAUCUUUAACCAUCGCUGUGCUGUAAGGAAAAUUCCCUCAACAUGAUACAGUGUCUGCGAAGGAGAUAUGGUGUUGUGUUAUGUCAAGUGCACAGCUGUGUUAAAGUAUCUGUUUAUUGAUUAUUUUAUCUGUAGUAUGUUGAUACCAGUGCCACCAUACUGAUAUUCAUAUCAGAUGAAUAUACCAAUCAGAGAUCGACCAAACACAGUCUUUUACUGGCCAGCGCUCAUACUGAGUAUGAGCAGUUCGGCUGAUUGCUAAUACAUGAUGCUGAUUUCACAUUGUAUUAUUUUGCUUCUUUUUUUUUGGGGCAUUUUACAAAAACUAGAAUUAAAUAGUACUAACCAUUGGAAUACAAAUUGCUAAACUUGAUAAUAAAACAGGCCUGGAUUGAAAAACAUUUGGCUGUGUUAGAGGACUUUGAUUUCUGUCAAGCGAUCGAAAACUGUUAAGAAAGAAAAAUUUUAUGAGGUAAAUAUUUGGGUUAAAAUAUAAAAAAGAAAGUCAUGCACAUUUUUAUAAUUAAAUACAUAUUAAAGUCUGAUUAUACAUGGUUGUCUUUGCGAGUAAUAUGGUUUAAAUUGAUUUUUUAAUGAAACAAUUAGGGCUGCACAAUUUGACCAAAAAUGAAAUCCAGAUUUUUUUCUCUGAAAACUUGAUUUUUGAUUUCGAGUUUUUAUUCAGUGACAACUUCAGCAAACUUCAAUUUAAUAAGUUUCACUAUCAUCUCUCAAAAUGAAACCACUGAAAACAAUGUUGUGCAUAUGCCAAGCCAGUAAGUAGUGCUGUAACGCUGCUGAGGAAAUGCACAAAAGACAGAAGAAGAGUACAGAGCAUGCGUAUAAAGGUUGUUUUGGCCGGAGAUACACCGGCGCCAUAAAGGAGUUACACACGGUUUAAAAUUUUUUAACAUCAUCAUAAUCAAAUAAUCAAAAUAAAAUUUAAAAUCGAUUAAUCGUGCAGCCCUAGCAACAAUGGAAAGACACAGAUGUUGGGUUAUGCUAGAGAUUGCUAAACAUGGCCGAUAUUGCUGUCAUUUCUAAACAUUAUAACAUGGUAUCAUAUUAAAACACUAGUCAGUGACUGUUUGAGGCUUGAUAUGCUGUUCAUGGAAGAUAAGAAAGAUGUCUUAUGAUUUAGAGACAAAAAUGCUGGUAUCAGCCUUCUGAGGGCUGAUGCUGUUAUGAUCAUAUCACAAUGUUGUUAAUUGGCCAAAUUAAUCAGCCAAGUGAUUAAUCAGUCUGUCCCUUUGAUCAAUAAAGUAACCAGUCUGUCCAGUGCUAAACAACCAGUUUCAAGUAGAUUACUGUGUGGCAAUAACAAACAGCUGGUGGGUGCAGAAAGUGUCAUGUUAGUCAGUGCAAGAAAAAAGUACUUGUAUCACACUGUAUCAGCCAAGCCUUUUUAAUUGAAUUGAGUAUUGGGGGAGAAAAUUGACAGUAUCUCUAGCUCUAAUAAUCAAUGAAAUGAACAACCUACAAGGGAAAUAAAAUCACUUUGGUAUAGCAGAACUGAUCGACCCUCUACCAUGGAUAGUAGAAUUUGCAAAUACAGAAUAGGCUGCUUCUAGGUUAAUGGGUCAAAAGCUGAAAAGCACAGUAAGAUUCCUGAGACUACGAGGAUCAUUCUUAAACUCUGUAAGCAGACCACCGACAUACCUGAGUCGAAACGGCUCAGCAAACACUGAAAUGAACACAAAGAGCAUUAUCAGGCGGGAGACAAACCCAGAGACAAAUAGGAGGAGACAAUGAUACAGUUUUAGCAAAGUAUGCCAUUAAAAUUCCAUUUGAAUCAUAGUGGUCUGGAAGAGUGAAAAACAGCAAAGCCGGGUAACACAUCGUGCCUGAUGCUGGGACUGUGUGACUCAAUCCUCCCCUGAAUUCAAAAAUGUUGCUCCUUCCUGUGAUCAGUCAGCCCGGGGCAAAACUGGCACUGCUGGACUGUGCCUGAACGAGGGAAAGAGAGAGAGAGAGAGAGAGAGAGAGAGAGAGAGAGAGAGAGAGAGAGAGAGAGAGAGAGAGAGAGAGAGAGAGAGAGAGAGAGAGAGAGAGAGAGAGAGAGAGAGAGAGAGAGAGAGAGAGAGAGAGAGAGAGAGAGAGAGAGAGAGAGAGAGAGAGAGAGAGAGAGAGAGAGAGAGAGAGAGAGAGAGAGAGAGAGAGAGAGAGAGAGAGAGAGAGAGAGAGAGAGAGCGCAAGACAGAGUGAGAAAAAAGAGAAGGAGAGAGAUGUUGCUGUGUGUGUGUGCUUGUGUGUGUGAGUCGGGCUCCGGGCCAUGAUAGCAAACUUCCUUUGAACCGAGCAGCUGUGGGCUGCAGGACUGAUAUAAUAUUUAAUGAAAUAAUUACAUAUACAGAAAGAAAUGCAUUGGUAAGGGAGUGUACCUUUCAUGCUGGGGAUCUAGGGAAAUGCGCUCCUAAUAGACAUCAUUUGGCUACUUGCCCUUAUUGCUCUCUUCCCUCCUCUCUCUGUAUAAUGCACAUGCAGCCCAACUCUGAUAUUAAAAUUUGUGCAUUAAUCCAGAAUUUAAAAUGUUGGCAAUAUAUGCUGGCAGUAAUUUCUUUAUUUCUCUAGGCAAAGUCACAUUGUCAGCAGCAUUGCAGAAGAAUCAUUAAAUCCAGUGUGUUUGCAUUCAUAUUUAUAUUACAGAAGACUCAACUUUUUAAUUUAAAACUCGAUUCCAUAUCAGUUCUAAAAUAAACACGAUAAAAUCACGUUAUGUUUAUUUGGAAGUUGGGUUUUGCCAAUUGGUUGGAGUUUAGAUACAACAGCAUUAAGUGCUGUUGCUCAUUUUCUUCCUUCAUUGUAGAUUCUGGUAAGUAAAAUGGAUUUUUAAAGUGCACAGAAAUGUUCAUAACAGGGAUAUGGGGAGCUGCUGUGUAGUGUGGAAUUAAUGAAAAAAUACAUUAUGCUUAAUGUUAUUAAAUCGUUUUGUUUUUCUCAUGAAUAACAUUUUCUAUAAUAGCUUUAAAGUAGGCAUUUAAUUUGUAAUAGAUUCUGCGGGCUGUUACAACUUUCCAUGUGAUGUAUGCCAAUGUGUCAACACUCUCAUCAUUUCUGCUUACACUGCAUCCCCUGCCAAGCGGUGCAUACAUCAAAUCCUUACAGAAACCCAUAGCUCAUCUUUCCUUUAGCAAACUACAACACACUAUGCACUGUUACCUGGAAUUUCACAUAAGAUUAAUCUCUUGAAUCGGAAGCGGCGGACAAUUUAGGAGCCCCCUGAUAAAUCUGUGCUCCCUCAAAAUGUGAUGUUUUCUCAUAGCUUUCAGUUUUAUGUGGAGACUCUCAUAUUAUCAUGUUUCUUCUUAUUGGAAAUGUAUUUACAGGCUCGGAUCUUACUCCGUCUGAGGCGAUCAAUUUCAACCUGUGCAAGAAUAAAUCAGACCUCACAUCCUGUUUUUUUCACACAAGUGCACCACCUUAUCUGAAGUGCAGAGAUUACCAGUGAUUUAUACAUAUAAUAGCUAUACCCACAACAAGUUUGCUCAAUAACACGUAGAUGGUGUUGCUUAGCAACUGCUGAGUGCCAUAACAGCGACUAGUACCUGCUCCUGGAGGCAGACUCCAUCUUGUAGGUUUCUCUGUCCUCUAAUUGGCCAGGUGGGUAAACACUGAUCCCUUGCUCCUCCAUCCUCCCAUUUUCAGCCAGGGUCUUAAGUGUCAGAUGGCCACAGCUUUAUGCUAACCUCCCGGCUGUGGGAAUGUGCACAAAUGCACCGGUGCUGCCACUGGCACGAAUAGAACUGACAGCAUGAAAUAUGGAGGACAUUUACUCCACAUAUAUUCACUACCCAAAAGAACACCAUAUCCCACAAUCAGUCGAUGCGAUUUUGUUUUCCUCAUUCCCAAUCAAUCAGAAAUUAUUCAAGAGGUAAAUUGUGUGGAUUCUGCUUGUGGCACUUGAAGCAGUGGGAUCUCAACAUGCUGCAGGAGGAGUUAAGCAAUUAUGAACAAAUAAACAGACCUACAGAGGUAGAUACAAAACCUCAUAUCUGUUUUUUCACACUUUGUUUUUAUUUCUUUAAUGAUAGAUAUUGUUAUUCUUGUGUGGCACUACCACACAACAAUCAUAAAAAACAGGAAAAUGAUCUGCAUGAUCCAGCAAUUCUCUCACUCAGUAUGUUAUGUCUUGUCUUUUGAUUUAGUGCCUGCAGGGCUUGACAGUGUGACCGUUUCACUCACUUUUGCGACUAAAAAUAGAUGUGUGCAAAUUUCAUGUAAACACCGCAGUGAAGUUAGUUUUAGGUCAGAUAUCCUACGGACAUUCACCGAAGAUCUACCAGUGUCUUCUCACUCUCCAUCACCGGGAAUAGCGACAGCAGCGUGGUCAAAUCUACUCAGCACCCUCGCUGUCAACAUUGGGUGUUGAAUAAAAAAACCAUCAAUUAAUUACCGGGUUGAUGUUCUCAAAAAAAGCUGUUUUCCUUCAAUAGCUUCCAUGUCAUGUCACCAAAAGACCUAAAAUUGAUUUCAAAUAAUAAUACUUAUGUCGACCAAUAACCAAUAAGACACACAUUAUUUGAUCAAUUUUCAUUGUGACCCUAAAGUUCCUUGUGUGCUCCUUACUUUUUCAGCUUAGGAGCACAUGUGCUCCUUGUGGAAAAAAGUUAGUGUCAAGCCCUGGCCUGGAUAUGUCAGCCUUGUUUUUAUAACAAUUUAAAGCAGCACGACAAAGCCCAAGCUCUCUCUCAACUAGUUGCCAAUUUAGUGAUAAUGAAAAGUUUGGUGAUUGAGGGCAGAUGCAGGUUUUUUUUUUUACCCCAAAAAUGUUCCUCCGUUUUACUUUGUUUCUGAAACUGCACUCAGUAGUUAGCCUUUUAUUAAAGUUUGUAGCACCCUUCUUCUUCUUAAUAAGUGUGUGCUACCUGGUUUGACCUUUGUUUUCAGGUAAAUGCAUGGCAAACAUAUAUUAUCCAAAAGUUAGAAGGUAAUGUAGCUUAAACUGAAGAGGCCUCCUCAUUUCCUGUUUCUAAAUCCCUUUUUAAAACACACUUUUAUUCAUUGGCUUUUGAUACAUUGUAGUGUUAAUUUUUUUAUUUUUAUUUUUAUUUAUUAAUUUUUUUAUUAUUAUUAUUAUUUUUUUUAUUUUUUUUUUUUAUUUUUUAUCAUCUUAGCACUUGCUGUGAGCCUCCGUAUUUAUACAUUUAUUUAUUCUUUUGCAUUGAUGUAUUUCUGCUCGCUUUAUCUUGUUCUUUGAUUGUUUUAUUUGUUUUUAUGUGUCACUGUACAGCACUUUGGCUACCCUUGUGGUUCUUUUAAAUGUGCUAUAGAAAUAAAGUUGAUUGAUUGACUGAGUAAAAAAACUUACAGUAUAGGGGACAUGAAGGUAAAAAUCAAAUGACCAAAUAAGUUCCACUUGCUCGUCACUGCAGCAGGUAAAAGUUUUGGUCAUUUGAUUUGUUAUGAUACUAGAAUAAAGCAUACUGUAUUGUUUGAGUUGAAUUUCAAGUUGUCAUUCGUUUGUGUUAGUUUUGCAUUGAGUACUUGUCUUGAGAUUAUUUGUCAGGCUCAUGUCUAAUUAAUAGCACAUGUCAAGUUAACAGCUGUCCCAAGCUGAGUCUGAGCAUGGGUAUCGAGGGCAUGUUUUAAUGGAUCAUAUUGCCUAAAACAACGUCAAUCAAAGUCUAAUCUUCUGUUUAUUGUACCCGACUGGUUUGUCCAACUCCAUCUGCUCGUGUUGAAGCAGGUGAGAAUUGUUUUGUUUUGAUACGAGAGAAAGCUUCGCAAAAAAUGUUCAAAACACAUAUCCUCUAAACUCUGAUGCUAAUUAUCAUUAGCAAAGAGCAGCGUACAAAACAUUGGGGUAACAGCUUCUCAUUUAUAGCCCAGUGAUGACAGUUGUUUUCACUGGCUGAAAUGACAAACGUCGCCUGCAGCGGAUCAUAUCCUCUGUUGCUAAUGAAUGCUAAUCCUGUGAGCAACUUGGUGGUAAAAUUGAGCUGUUGUCUGCUUGGAGUGUUCUCCGCAGCUGGUGUCUGAGCUCAUCAAAGAUUGUUUGUGAUAGAAGAACAUCCUAUCUGUUACAGUACUGUACAAACUCAAGUGCUUCUGUAGUUACAACAACUUUCUCUGUGGCUGAUUGCAAAACAUAGAGUUGUAUUCCUAGUUAAACAUUCCUAUCGAAUCAGUAAUGCGGGUCUCUCGUUUCACUUUUGUUUCUCUAAUAUUUUAAUGAAGUAACUUGUGGGAAAACAAGAUGUACAAAAAUUGGUUGUUAAGAGUUAUUUCACUGUUUGAUUCAUUUGUAGUGUAUUAUGCAGUCACCAUAGAACCAGUUUGGACUCUUUAUGAGAGGGUUUUCAUCAUUAAAGGGGUAUAGUUUGAUUUGGGAAACAAACUUGUAAGGAUGCCUAGCCCAUGUUCACACUGUAACCUAUCAAGACCUGAACCCUGUCUGAGACACGCCUCUGAAAUCUUGAGGACAAUUUUGAGAAGGGCCCCCAGAUCCUGAGGUUUUCUAAAGUGUUGAGGUUUGCAAAAAAGAUGAUAUCUCGGCCUCUGUUGCAGAUAGAAACAAAAUUCAAAAAGUAUUUGAGAGCUUAUACAUGUGGCUUUCAAGAUGACUAUCUUUUAUUUUUCCAAACCUGCAUCACCUUAUUGAAAACCUCGAACAAACAAACUCAAAUGAAAUAAAGCGGCUGUAUAAAUAAAAGUAAAGACUCUGCACUGGAGAAUAAGAAACUAUUUGCUUUCUGUAAAACAAGUGGCAGUCAUGAUAAAGGCUGACAUGACCGGCUAAAGAAAAUCACCCUUACAAAACUGCAAUAUAUGACCAACCUAAACGCUGCAAUUUUGCAUCAGCUGAACACACAUGUUGAUAUCCAGCCUGGCUUACCGUAGUCAAACACCAAAUGAUAAAUUGCUACACAAACUUAAGGAUAACUCUGUUAGAUGAGCAAUAAUACUUAAAAUUUACAGGAUAGUUUAGUAUUUCGUAAACUUAUUUUUUUUGUAGAGAUAAAUCAUUGAGGUCUUUAAUGCUGAGCUCAAGCAAAAGACUGAAUGAAAUAUUCAGUAGUUUCAAACCUGAAAUCACAGCGUUACUGAAUACCCUUAUAAAAGAGCAGAAGAGCAGUGUUCCCCUUUGAAAGCAUGGCAGGCCCAUUUAACCCCUUUCUGCACUGAACAAUGAACGUGUUGAUCAAACUUCUUCUGAAAGCUUUCUAAUUUAAUGGAAUCCCCAUUGCUUUGUGGAGAAAGUAUCAAAACCUAUGCACUGAGUACAUAAAUAGCCUGUGAGACUGAACCGUAGACUCCAAGGGGACUCUUGAAGUACACUGUACAACCUAAUACCAUAUCUGCGACAGUAAUGAGUUUCUUUUCUGGUGGCGCGUGUGGUUGCCUUGAAAAGGUGUGUCACCACACUUCUUAUCAAUACUCACAUCACUGUUUAAUUAGGCACAAUUAAGUCUGGAACAAGAUACAAAUAGUCGAGCAAAAUAGAACACUUAAUUAUCUAUCUCUUCAAGCUGUUUCCAGACCUGGAAGGAAAAUGCAAUGCUAAUUAGCUACUCCUUAAAAUAGCUCACAAUUUUUGAUUAACCUGUCUUAUCAACAGGUUCUGCCCAACAGUCUGCUGUCAGCCGCCCCUCCAAAAACGCUAGAUACGAGGUACAGAAGUGUAUGAUUAUUGUAUGUUGGUGUUGUGGUAAACAGUCUUUGCUGCACUUCUGCAUCCCCUCUCCAAGUGAAAGCUCUAUUUAAUCAAUAAUUCAAAAUACUCGUGAAAAUGUGGCGGAUCCUUACACUGAGAAGCCGAGCUGCUUAUUGGACCCAACGACCAUCUCCUGUGUUUACAUGUUUGCCAGAAAGCUUGUUACUACCAGAUGAGACUUCAGUGAUAAUUGGCCACUAAUGAGCACAGUCCUACUAGAGGUGCACAUCUACAGGUACACUAAUUAACCAAAUAAAUUACAUCCGCACUUAUUUGAUAAGCAUUUUUAUUUGUGAGCGAGUGGUCCAAUGCUGUGAUGUUUGCGUCAUAUCGAUGGCUGCUAACAGGGAAGAAGUGCAUGAAAGAUGUAUGGUAGAGUCACAGACGUUAUAGUUCAUCACAUAAGCAGUGAUUCACCAACAUGUCCGAUGGCGCACACAUGACAUUUACCUCCAAUCAGUCCUCCUUUAAAUCUGCAACACAUGCAGUAAUUGCUUCAGCCGGCCUUUGAGGCUUUCACAUCCUUGCUGAUUCUUGCAGUGAGUGUCACAGUCUCUGUCCACAUUCAUAAUAAGUCAUGCCUCGCCCUUUAUCGUUGGCCCUGUGGCAUGCAUCAGUGUAAGUGAGAAGGACUUAGAUCGCCAUGUGUCAUCGUAAAGACAAGAAGGAGUCGGCCAUCUCAGGAGACGUGGCAGGAAGUAAAUUCAUUUGCUGCUGUACUGACGAUAACGCAGGGUCAUCAGUACACACGGGCUGGAUGGCAGUUCCCCCAGGAGAGAGGAGCAAGGGAGAGGAAAAGGGGGAGAAAUGGAGCAUGGGAAAAGGGGUUGUGAGGGGGUGUGAGGGGUGCAUCUAAGCCCUUCUCUCAUACUGAGCUGGGAGGCGAAAAAAGGAGAAAAAGCCGUGGUGGCUGAUAAAAGAGCCAUUCAGCUGAGAACACCAAGGGCCUAAUCGCCAAAAACAGCCGCAAGAUUGAGCCAGAUCCCAGAGGAGUGAAGAAUGGGUAGAUAGAGGGAUUUCUGUAACCCCGUUAUUAACAGCUCUUAUUUAUAUAUUUAUUUAUUCACAUGACUUGUGUCGAAAGAUAUUAGAAAUCAAAUUCAAUUAUCUGAGUGAGGAAAUAUUUCAGGAAGAGUUAAGGGGCAAGAGCGAGACUAGGAAAACAGGGGAGAGGAACUUGUGCAACUAGUUAAACCUAAUAGGGAUUAGAUGGUGUCUGUUGACAUGUCAUGAGUUGCAACAUUGCUGCGGUUUCUGUGGCGGAACAAAGUGUGUUUACAUUUUAAAUCAAAUCCAGAUGGAAAUGGGGUUUUUGGCCUUCGGUGCUGUUAGCCACUCUGAGCAGCUUUAACUCUUCACAUUUGACUGCCUCUAAACAGCAACCUGGAAAAAGGCUUUUUACUGCACUUUUGUUGCUAGCAAGAGAUUACUAUUGUAUUUUAGCCUUCAUAUAUUAUUCCUGUGCCUCAGAGUAGUGCUGUAUUGGGAAACAUUUACCUUGCUCAUCCUCUAAAACAAAGUAAAUACAAGUAUUUUUAGUAGUUUUGUUUACCUGUGAUUAAAAGUUUAUUCUUAAGGCUAACAGAGAGGAAGUGUACGGCCACAGAGAAAGGGAACAAAGGAUGAAUAUGUGUUGAUGUGCUUGUAUGGGGUGGGAUGUGUUGUAAUCUUCAUACAUUUGGAAGACAAAAUUCUUAAAUACAUGUGUUUCAAUCACCAACACCUCAGUGCAAUUCAUGUUUAAAUGAGUAUUCGUCUCUUCAUGGAAAUGCAAUCACACUGAGACGCUAAGGCAGAAGAACUACUGCGUCUGCAGUGCAAAAUGAUUAAUAUGGUGAUUAUUACUUCAAGGAAAUGAUAAAGUAAUGAUUAUAAAUGUUCUUUCUUGAGCUGCGUCACCCCGCUGUAGUCUGUAAUAGACUGGCCUGAGGUCUCGCUACAAACAAGCGGCUGCUGGAAGAGAGUAGGUGAGUUGUGUUUAGUCUCUUUGCUAUCGGGCAAAGCUGAAAAGAUGUUUGGUGGCUAGUGCUGUGGCUAGGACCCUAUAAAUACUGUAGAUGAAGUUAGGUGCUGUUCUGAGCAUUAUUUGUGGCUGUAGAGUGGCGUUUUGGUUGAGGUUUGUUUAUGGCUCCUCAGACCGCUGUGUAUUGCUAUCCUGCGGUCGUUACUAAAGUUGGUAGAACUAGAGAAGCAAGCGGUCGGCAACAUUCAUCUCUCUAGGUUGUGCCUAACUAGGUGUUAUGGUGUUUAACCCUAAAUUAAUUGUAUGCCGGGAUAUCCCUUUAAAUCAAGAUAUAGAGAAGCUGUCUUUGUCAUGAAUUCACAUACUACUGUAUGUCUUUUGAAUCCCCUCAGAGCAGUUCCCUAAAACAGCUCAUAUUGACAGUAACCGCACCCAGUGCAGCUCUUUUCACUAAUAUCUAUUGAACACUGGAGUCUGGUCUCACCCUCACUCACAGGCAGAGCAUGUGGUGGUGGAGCUGACACACACAGACAGAUAUCGCUCUGAUGCUUGAAUCGAUUUGGAGUGCAGUCAAGUGCUUCAAAAAUGCACAAAAAGAUCAUGUUGCAGCCUGAAUUUGAAAGUGUUUUAUUAGAAUCAACAAUAGAAAAAGUGGUAAUUAGCAAAUAAGUGACUAGUUGGCUGUUUGGCCAGUGAAAAGCACUUAUUAAAAGUCCUUUUGGGAGGGAGCUUGAUUUGGUGUGCAUAAGCCUUUGUUAAGAAAUGUGAAAAGAGAGAAGGUGAUGGUCAGACAACAACAUGUAUCUUUGGUUGUAAGACUUAACACUUGUUUUGUUAAGGACCCAGUUCCCCAAAAUGUAAAAUCCAAAAUUGAUCUUAACAAUUAAAGAUUGAAAUCAAGCCCUUCUGAUGAUUAACAUUAGCAUUGUAACAGUGGUGAUAUUGGCAAGGCUGAUAUUAACAGUCAUAGCAGCUAGAGUCUGGUAGGUCCACAGGAGCAGGCUGUCUUCAGUAAUGGUCCAGAAGAACCUACGGGACAAGGGAGCUUCGGGACGCUCCGAAAGAUUUGUGGUUUUUAACUUUACUGGGCUGUGAAGAUUAAAGGUUAAAUGACACACAGAUGAAGAAGAGAAAAAGGAAAGACAAGAGCUCAGUGUGCCAGUUGCCUCGGCAAUCUAAGUGUGUGGCACCAUAACUAAGAGCCUGAACCAGUGCUAACCGUAAGAUUUAUCAAAAAGUUUUCAGCCUUUUCUUAAAAAGAAAGAGGGUGUCUCCUGGACCUUGACUGGUAGAUUAUUCUAAAGGAGAGGGGCCUGAUAACUAAAGGCUUGACCACCCAUACCACUUUUAGAGACUGUAGUUCUUUCCUAGAUAUCAGUGUAGAGAAGCUAAUACAGGAGAGAUGUGCUCUCUUUUGUUGGUUCGAGUCAGCACUUGAGCUGCACCUAAAGGGUCUUUAACAACUUAUUAAGGCAGCCUGAUAGAGGGGAGUUACAGUAAUCCAACCUAGAGGUACCAAAUGCAUAAACUAGUUUAAAUAAAUGAGCAUUAAAUGAAUGGGAGCAAUUACUUUUGUGCUGCAUAUAAGCUCAGACACAGAUGUGCAUUUUAGAGCAUAUUGUACUUUACUGUUUUAUUAGAUGUAAAUUAAAGAAUAAUUCAAUAGUGAAAUUCAUUUUAGAGCCAUUUUUUCUUAAACCAAUACAAAUAAUACACAAUUAUUGGAAGGCACUUUAUACAAAUAACCAAGUUAUUUACUUAUCUAUGCAUAUAAUUAAAUCAAUGUUGAGGCAUAUUGGUCAGUUUCAAAUCAAAUUGAUAUCAAAUGAAAUUGUGACUCAGAAAAUAGAAAUAAGAUUAAAUCAUGAGGGUCUUGACAUUACCCAGCUUUAGACAGUUUCCCUUUUUUCUUUUGGAUUCCUAUUUUUUUCCCCACUUUUAUUAGAAGAUGCUGAAUCAGUGCUGAAAACAAUAUAUACCUAAUACAAUCCUUAAAGCACAGAUUGUCAACUUUCAGAACCCAAAACUUGAUGUUGUAAAAACGUUAUCUAAAACUUAUUUUAUGAAGACAAGCUGAACUCCAUAACAGGACUCUAAGCUCUUCUAUCUGACCUGUUAGUAAGCACAUGUUUAACCAAAUAGUAUUACAUCUCAUCUCUCCUGAUUAAAGUCAUUGAUUCUGUUACCCAGACUACAGCAAAUAAUGGAAAUGCAAAGAGCUUGUUAAAGGACUUUCUGUAUGUAUAUGGAACUAGAGUUGUGACACAUAAAGGCUGCUGUAUUUCUUACAAUUUUUGGCCUCUAAUGAGGUUGUUAAGGCUGAGAGAAGUCUGAUAACUGUCUUGUAACAUUCUGUCUCUACGCGCUCUAUGAGCUUCAAUUCAGUGCUACUCUCAGGUCAAAUGAUCAACGUCAUACACAGUUAUAUAAAAAAAAACACAGAAUUUUUUUGUGUUAAGCAGUUUAAAAUAGGGGUGUCUCUAUACAACUUUUUGACUUCCGAUAAGACACCGAUAUUGUAGCCUUGAGGAAUGGUCAUUACCAAUAUUAGCACAAACUUGUGCAUAACAAAUUUUGCAAUCAGCUGCAACUUUUUUUUUUGGGACUUCCAUGAAAAAAACUGCCACAUGGCUGACAUCACUCCAACUCCCUGCUAUUUUGUUAGUACCUUAGCACACACUGUUGAUGCUUGAAUACGAGUGCUGAUAUUGGAGAUUUUAGAUGCAAGCCAGUAUAGGCUGAUAUUUGUAUUUUUGCAGAUAUUAGACUGAUAUCCGAUAUCAAUACAGAAUCGGGACAUCCCUCGUUCAAAAGCUUGAAAUAGUAAUGCACUAAGUUUGUGUAGGGCUGAGCGAUAAACCAAAAAUUUAGCAAUACUGAAAUUUACGACAAUAACCAAUGUCAUUUUGCUCAUGUUAGUAUUUUCUGUGUCAAAAAAAUUAAUGAAUAGAAGUUGGUUUUGGACGUUUGUGGGUAGACUAUGGUCUCAUGUCCCUUUAAGACACUGUCCUACAUUGGAGACGUGACUCCACCCCAUCCAGUCCAUAACAAAGAGGGAAAGACAGGUGAGGAGAUGGAGGACUGUUCAUAGUUGUAGCGGCUGGAGCGGCGGCUGAAGUAGACGAAGUUAAUGUGGGAGGGGGUGAGCAGCUCGUGGCGUAGUUAUCGUCCAUUAAUCGUUAGGUGAACUGCUCAAUUUAUUCUGAUAUUAGUUUGAGGCCAUAUCGCCCAGCCCGAAGUUUGUGGACCAAACUGUUUCUAUGGGGCAACAUUUUAAGUUGUCAGCACAAGUUAUAGAGUAUACACUUCAGAAGACAGCGUUUCAAAAAUCAAACAUGUUGCUUUUAAAAAAAAUGGAUCAUUCUUUCACUUUUUGGAAACAGCUGGUCAUAAAUCUGUUUAUAAUUAUAUAUCUAUUUAUUUAUAGAUAUGUUCAUUAACUCUGUAGCCUCCCUACAAUGAGCCAAGACAGCUGUUAUUAUUCAUUAAACUAAACACUCACACUAAUGCUGAGGUAAUACGAGGUGAAUGUGACUGCAUGGAUCAUCUAGUUUUCCAUCACACCUCUGUUUCAUAUUUUCAGUGUUUACCUCAUGCACAUCUUCAGUUUCUGUAAUUGACUCUGUUGUAGCCUACACUCUUUGUGUCUUGAACCUCUCCUGCCUUUUCCUCUUCUGUUUUCAUCUGUGUAAACAAAUAGAAAUUAAAAUUAACUGGUCUUUGUUUUGGGAAUUGAUAUGAUUACAAUUAGUUAACCAGAGCCUGUGAUUAGUGUAGCAUCCUGAGCAAACAGUGUGUUCUUCACAACAACAUCUGCUAUUAAGAAAUAACACAGAUCAGGUACUUCACACAGCUGAGGGGAUACUUGCUGGAAUGUGCUCCUGAAAAAACAAACUUCUGAAACAGAGAAAAGUUUCUGUUUAUGAUGUUUUUUUUUUUUUGAGACAACGUGGAAAGAUGUGUUUUCUACCUGCAGCCUCUAAUUUGAAAUUGCAGCCAAACAGCAGUGGCACCACGACGUAAAAUGAUUCAUUAUAAGUCUUUGAUUGAGGCUGCGUCUGCAUGUAUACAAAUAUUCUCUCUGUUUUGAAAAGAUACCUUGUCCACAGCAGCAUCAUUGUUAACAGUGAACAGAAUGGCAGAUAAAAAUACUGAGUGUGAUAUUUAUUCACCCAUGUACCAUUAUAUAAUGCUGAAGUAAAGCUAGGUUUCCUUGUAAAUAUGCAACAGUACCAAGCUGGCAACUACCAGUGGACUGACAUAUUGGUGCACGUGCAGUUCAUGGUAAUGUGCAAGGUAAUGACAUUAGCAUUUCUCUUAAAUGUUCGGCGCUUAGGACAAAAAGCAUCGGUCAAAUGACAUUUCUACAUCAGCGUUUCCAAGAACUUUCAAUGUUACUAGGACUGGGAUGAUAUGAUUUUUAGUUUGCAUUUUUAACACCAGUGAAACAGCUGAAUGAUAAUUUUUGUCUACUGACUAUUCCAGGAACCAUAUUUCCCCAAAAAAUACACAUCACAUGUAAGUCAGUUUUUAAGAUUUAUUCUUAGAUUUGGAAAAAAUAAAGAUUUUUGAACAUAAAAAUCGAUUCAAAAACAAUAGAACAAUGAAUGGCGAUAUUCCUGUGAAGUGAUUUUUUUUCUUCCACAAUUAUUUUUCACUAUUCACUGGUUGUGACUGUGGCUGUGACUGGUUCUAUGAUAACAUUCAUAUAGGUUGCUUGUUGCCUGCCGGAAGUGCAGCUUUCAGCCUGGAAAUAAAACUUUGAAUAUCUAUUACUUGAAUGUCCUAGCUCUUAAAUAUUUCUUUACACAAAAGGGUUAAGAAGCAUGUGAUCUAGUGUAAAUUCUGAUAAAUACUAAUGAAAUAAACUCAGAUCAGGCCUUUACUUUUAAAUACUGCCAUCAUAUACUUUUACAUUUAGCAUGUACAAAACAGCUCAUAACUUACUUUCUGUUUUCUUGGCUGAGAUCAGCAUUGGCAUGUGGAAAAAAUAGGCCAACUUUCUAUUCUAUUUAAACAUUGAUACCCAAAGAAGAUAAACACGAGCUGACCAAAAAGUAGAAAUUUUCAGUCUGUAAAGUCUGUUGCAAAAACUAAAAUGCACUGUCUUUGAGCUGUGAUUACAUAACUUAUUCUGAUAUAUCUAAGACAAGAAACCAAAUAUUCUUUGCAGACGCUCAUGUAAAUAAAAGUCUGAACAGUUUUGCAGUUUGGGCGAGCAUGUCAUCCACAUCAUGUUCUGUUUCUUAUGUUGUUGUUUUUUUUUUUUUUUUUUUUCGCAUUGCCUUGACUCUGAAAUCGGUGUGCUUGUUUAAAACUUCCUUGAGCAGAAGCGUGAAUUGUCUUAGGUUGUUGUCUCUCUGGGCUGAGAAUGAUUUAUUUGCCUCCCAAAUGCCUGAACUCUGACAACUUGUCAAUUAAAGUCAGAAUCAUGGCUAGUGACACAUGACACUUCUCAUUUCAUUCACUGCCAGGCUGGGGCACCUCUUCAUAUUUAAUUACACUCGUCCGCGGGAACCUUGGGAUGUUUUCUGAUUGUCCUGUGCUCUUGCAUACCAUGCCAUUUUUUAAAUAUACAGAUGUCCUUUUUAAAGCCUCAAAUCCAAAGCUGGACUUUGCCGUUUUAACACAAUUUUAUCCCUUUAAUCAAACUAAGUUUGUAUUUUUUUUCCAUGGCUUACUGUUUAGAUGUCUUUCUUUGCAAUGAAUGGCCACUUGAAGAGGAAGCAUCACCAACCACUCACUUCUGGCUUCCUAUUUUCCAGUGCUGUUAGAGCUAACUUGCUCUCGAAGCAAGUGGAUGAUAAAUGCAUAUAAGACCAGUCUUUUGUGUAAUAUACAGUAUGAGAUUCAGACCUCUAACAAGAUCGUGCAUCAUCAAAGCAGAAGCUUUAUGCUGCUAUUUUUCCAGAGCUUACAUAGCUUGUUAUCUGUUAAGAUGAAAUGUAACCAGCACAUAGAGAACAAAUAACUUUCUUUCAGGUGAAAUUCAGGGGAAAUAUAAAGGUGCAGCAGGUGCAUCAUUUUAUGUGUUCAAUCAGCCAACAAUGAAAAGCAAACGCUGAAAAAAAAGAAAAUUAAUGUUGACCCAUUUGUGCACCUAGCUUACUCAGAGGCCGAGUUCAUUGUCAAGGGUAAACUCUGCACACAGCACCUACAUUUGAAUUAUGCAGGAAGUAGGAGAGGGGGAUCAUUAUGGGACAUCUGCAGUGCCACCAAGUGCUGGCAAAAUUAUAGCCUGGAGAACUGUGUGAUUGGCACUUAAUGAGCAAAUGUGAGUGACAAUGAGCUUUAGCCUGGAGGGCAACAACAGCAUGGGGCGGUGGUAGGUCAUGAAUCUGGAAUAAUGAAACAGUAAAUGGUCUCCAUCACUGCUAUUGAUUUUUCCUGAGCCUUGGCCUAUGUUUUAUGUCUGUGAUCGUCCACCAACAUCGCCGCUAAAGCAAGCAGCACUUACAGGCACUAUGCAUGUUGUAAAAGAGGGAAUGCACACAAGGAUGGAUGACCUUUUUCCUCCCCUUAAGGACCCUUUUAGCCCAUAUCUCCCACUAUCUCUUGGUAUAGACUUUAUUAAACUGUGCUUAUUUGAUAUGUAGCAGUACCGUACAGCAGCUAAGGCUUUACAAAGUCCUGAUAGAGGUCUUCUGUCAUCACUUUUAAAUGGGGAGGAAAAAGGGUUGCAAGAGUGAUGCCUCAGCAGAGGACUCGCUCUUGACUCCUGCUCUGUUGUCUUAUCAAGUCUUUCAUUAGCAUGCUGCCGCUGCCUAAGCGCUUCAUAAAUAUAGCUGGUAAUUCACAGGAAGCCACCCCCUCCCCACAUCACCACCCACCCGCUGAGGCCUUCUCCUCCUCGUCCCCAGCCAUUAUGCAAUUCCGCAUGCUUGUGUGACUUUUCUCCACACCCACUUGUCUGCCAGUCUACUUCCCUACAUCUAUCCGCCACUCACAUUUCCAUCUCCAACCUUCUUCUCUCCUCACAGCUGCUUUUACUUUUUCAUUUCAAGUCUCAGUGCAGCCUUAGCUUUUAAAGCACGAGGAGAGAUGUUUACAGUAAGAGAGCCGCCGCAUUCGGAUUUUUAUGUUUCAUCAUCAAAUUAGCAGUGUGCCACAUUCAGAUGAUCUAUUUUUACCACUAAGUGAUGUUAACAGGGUGAUGUGAUAUUCUCACCAAUACAUUAAGGUUAUGUAUGCAUGCAUCAUUACCAAGCUUUGAAUACUAAAAUAGCGGCUGCCUGCUGGGAAAGAGGAAAAUAUACUCCAGCUUUUCAAAUGUGUCGUAUUUAUCAAAAUAUAAAAUAACCCAGUUUGAAACAACAGAUGUAGUGCAGCGUAGACACUUCUUUUUUACUUAAAUGUUAACUGUUUCAAAUUUAUUCAAAUAAGCAGAGUAUUCCGCAUCUUUUUUUAAACGUGGCACAUCACCCUGACAGCAUGUUUUUUUUUUUUUUUAGGUAUGUAAGUAAUUAAUUCACUAUAUAAUGAAAUGUGCUCUAGAGAAAAAAAUAGUUGUUUAGAUAUUUUUUAAGGUAGAAGAAAACAGGUACAGUAAAGAAUGAGGCAUUGUGCCGAAUGAAAAUCUGUGGCAUUAUGUGCACUAGGCAACACAGCGGCCAUUUGGGAGCCACCCCGGUGUCCUGAGGUGUACUAUUGUUAGCUUUGCAUUCACCCAAACACAGAAAAAUAUCCCUGACCUUCUGUGCUGCAUAGCAAGCCAAACUAUUAACCUGAAGUUUGUCAACCUAAAAAAGAAAAGAAAAAAAAGGAGGUUUUCUUUUGCUUUUUAACCGUCAGUUCUCACUCAGAAAUGUGCACAACACGGUUUCUCAGGUUGAGAAAUUUAAACGCAUAUAACCUUGCUGUUUUCAAAGAGUGUUUUCAGUUGGAAACUCUUCACCUUUUUUUUUUUUUUUUUUUUUUAUGGCAAAUGAACUUUGUAUGUUAUAAUUUUUUCUCAUACACUCAUCUUUUCUUUGAGCUGAAUAUUAAGGGUUUCCCUGAAGACUCAAGGAUAGUAUACACAUAACUCAAAGCUCCUGUGAGCUUGCCUGGUUAUUGAACAUACUGAAAUUCAUUUUGAUGCCUUUAUCAGCCUCAAAAGCAGUCAGGACCAUCAGCACUAUAACUACGUUUGUAUUUUCAUAUUACCAUUUUUAAUGACCGCAACCAUUGCUGCAGGGACUUUUUAAAACAAAGUAAUUAAGUGCAUGAUGCUGAAACAUAUUUUUUAAACUCAUUUGUAUAUUUUCCACAAAAGUUUCUCAAUUGGUGAUGGAUUUGAGUGACAAGAAAGCAGGGUAAGGCCUUUUUGGAAAAAAUAAAAGCUUGGUAUACAUGUACUCAACAAAAUUAACAAAGAUUAGAUUAGAUUUUCCUUUAUUCAUCCCUCAGUCGGGAAAUAAAGUCGUUAACAGCAGCAGUUAACACAACAUACACAUUCAUAACGGGUACAAAAAACAAAUAAAUAAGAAAAAGAACUGCGGUAAAAAAAGGAAAGAUCAGUGCCAACAAAAAACAGGUAUGGAUGUGAUGAUGAUAUAGAUAUUGCACAUAAUAAAUAAAUAAUUAGGGGUGUAGUGGGUGUAGUAUUGCACUUUUAUUGUUUUUGGUGGUGUUAGUCUGCUAGGAGAGGGCUUGGUUAUAGAGUCUGAGAGCAGCGGGAAGCAGAGAUGGGAGUUGCUACUUUGUUGAUAAAAAACAAAGUAGCAAAAAAAUAGAAGAAAAAAUCGACAACAAAUUAUAUGGGAUGAAUAUAAAAGCUGAUAUUUACUCAGUGAUGUCCUUCUAGUGUGCGCAGACGAAACCUUAGCUGAAGUGCAGGACAGCACAUUAUCUUACAUCUUUAUUGUUUUUGCUGAAAUUGGUGCAUUCAAAGCAUAGACUGUAUAUACUAUGGACAACUUGGUUUCGCCUUCCGCCAGUACACAGAUUUGAGGCCAAAAAGCUCUCGGUAAUUUCGCAUUUUUCUCCACUUCCUGAAACCGGGAGAGUUGCCAUGAGUCGCUGUGAUGACACUCAGCUCAAGCAGCGUAUCCCCCCGGUGAGCUAUGCAAUCUUCAUACACCCAUUGGCUGUAUCAAAUGUCAAUCAUAGAAAACAUGAACCCCCUAAUAACUUUUAAAAAUGGAGCUGUACAGAAAAAAAGAGGACUUGAGCACAAACCAGUCUUACAGAAACUAAACUAAACUAAACAUCGCAAGCAUGGGCGAGAAAAAAUUAUAUUCUGUGUCACAAUUUUUCUAAAGUUUGUCCACAACUCCAUAAUCUUUGCUGGAGGAGGUGGGAUUUAUGACCUAUACUGCAGCCCGUCACCAGAGGGUGCUGUUCUCAGGGUGGCUUCACCCAGCAAGGAGGCUGAUGCUGUCCAUUAUAUAUACAGUCUAUGAUUCAAAACAAUAUGAAUGGAGAGCAACAAGUUGCCAAAACAAAGCUAAUGAAGUUACAGAGGAGAGAGACAUUUCACAUCUUUACUAUCUCUGCUAAGUAUGGUGGUAACCAUGCCGCGACAAGUUAACAAAACAUAGCAACGUGGCAGCAGGAGAUGCAACAACACUGCACCAUAAAAUUCACAAGUCUUGAAUAAAUUUUUUCUCUAAAUUUGCAAAUAAAAAACGCUGCCUACAAGAUCAGCAAACUGUAACUUGUUUACCACGGGAGACUAUCAGUAAUGCAGUGGCACUUAAAGAGAGGUUGUGUUAUAUCAGCAUUUAACCUUAAAUUAGAUCCUUGUUGUGUCGGCUUUGCAUGUUCAGUCUUUUAAUUUAAACAAUCUGAACCUAUUUCCAUCUUUUCCACUUGGUACACUAAAUCUAAUUUAGCCAUCAAUUUAAAAGCUGUGUUUAGAGUUCAAAAUAGUAAUACUAUAUCAAAAGCAGAUAAUAAGAAUCGUUUUAAGUAGUUAAGUUCAGUAUUUAUACACAGGGUUUUUCCUGGCUCAAAUUGAGGCAGAGGUGGCACCAUCCUGACCAUGCGCCAUGACGUGCAUGUAUUUGUAAAUUCAACCGAUUCACUUUCUUUUACAGGCAACAUACUUUAAGUUAAGAGUUCAAAAAAGAGUGUGACCAUUAUUAUGUUAAAGCAUUCAUUUAUUAAAACUAUAUACAUACACAAAUCAGCUGGCAACUUUAAAUUGAAAGUACACUUCAUCCACACAUCUCGCAACCAGACAGAACAUUUUAGCCUCCUCUUUUUCAUUCUGUAGAAACUCCUCAUGCUCAUCCUUGUAGUCCAAGGCCUCCUGGUCUGGUCCAUCAACGGCCACCUUACAACAGACAUCCAAGUGCCUCUCCUUCAGUCUGCUCCACAGAGGUGUCUUCACCUUAAACAAAACAAUUCAUCAUGCAUUAAGUAUUUUUGUUUUUAUUCUGAUACAGACAUGAAGAGUGAUAGUGUUUUCAAUCAUAUAUAUGUAUACGCUGCAGUGUCCUCCCUAAAAAAAAAAAACGACAACCAAUUAUUUCUUAAACUAUCUAAACUAUGUUAUUUAUUUUUUGUAACUUUAUUAGUUGAGUGUUUUUAGGUACUACCAUCUUUAAUAUACUUCUUCUCUUCUGCUGCUUUGUGAACGGCUAUCACCUCAUGUCUUUUUAAUGUGUCCAGCCUGUAGUUGGUUGAUGGCUGUCUCACUAAGGAGGCAGCAAUUGCCUGCUGUGUUGGGGCACAGUGCUUUUGGCAUAAACAGCAGUGCAUGCCUUCCUCAGUAUGCCUGAGCCAGGUAAAUUGAUUGAGCCACUGCUUGUCAAAGCCACUGGCUCUGUGUUUUUGAGAAGAUCUAGAAAGAGAAAUAAAAACCACGUACACGUUGGCUUUGCGUUGUUAUGCUCCUAAUUGGAAACUAAUUACCCUCGCCUCGCCGACUCGUCCUGUCCUGCAUUCUGACCCUCGCGAUCACCAGUCCCUUGUGAAGUACUUUCAGACCUGACACAAGUUUCCACGUUGUCACCACUAUGAAUUAUAGCAUUUUAACUGCCUGUUACGUUUUUUCUCUGCUGUGUUUCACCUGGACUCUUGACUUUCCUCCUCGCGAGGUCGCUUUUUAAAGUACUGGCUGAUUUUGCCUGUCAUAACUGCAACGCUAAAAACGGAGUAAACUUUUUUUUUAAAAAUAAACACGACAUGCUUGGAUGCAAAAAAGAGAAGCAGUAUUUACCUGUUUGUACCACCCGCCAGGGAAAAUCAGGACGCCGACAGCACCAACUAGCGGGAAAAAAACUUGAAAAAACAUGAUUCGAUCCGUUUCUUCUUCGGUAGAUGCUUCAGGUCUUUCCGGUGCACUGCUGUUGAUAUAGCGCCUCUAUAGUGGCGCAACGCUGCAACUGCAGUUAAAAUACGUUGCUGCUGCAUCGGGACAUCAAUCGCUCAAUCAACACAGCUGGAGCUUUACGCUGUGUUGAGCGAAAUCAAUCGCUCUGGCUGGGGGCGGCACAAAAUUAGGUGGAGGCGGCCGCCACGCAAUUUUGAACGCAGGAAAAACCCUGAUACAGUCUCUUGAUAAUUUCUAACUGUGAAAAUAGUUGUUAGUGGUAGCCUUACUCAGGCUAAUCAUGUUAGCACUGCAAUUCAGUAAUUUCAGUUCUGUUUGGCUUGUAAUGUAGCUUCCCUUUUCUGGUUAUUAUGCAAGCCUCCCAAGUAUCAGCUUGAUGUUUUUCUUCCAGAAGCUAACCAGGUAUUUGAGGUAAAUAUUAAACCCAUUUUUUCUUGGAGGUACUAUGUACACGAAGUCUGACAAAAAAAUAUAUAUCUUCUAAAAAGGUUUGACGUAGGACGAGUGUUGAAGCUUAAAUGUAUUUCUUCGGAUAAAAUAAUAUUGAGAAAAGUGGCAUUAUUCUUCUUAAUUAUUAUUUUGAGAAUACUUUAUCAAAUAACUGGCAGACAGGAUGCAAGAAUAAUUGGCAUCAAUAUAUGGUUUAUCCACAAAGAAAGUUUUGACAACUCUGAGAUUAAAAAUUCUCAUUAAAAAUCUUAAAUAUUAAAAGAAUAAAAUGGAGAGUGACCGUGAGCAUAGAAAUUAGUCAGACAGGUUGAAUGAUAGUUGAACAGUUUAUAUUUUGAUCGUGUUACUUUAGUAGAUGCAGUGCUUUACGCAGCUUUUCGACUAUCUUAUGAUGGAAGAGAAAAAAAAGUUAGUGUCUGCUGCCAACAGAAAGUAGAGGACAGAGACAGAAGUCUGACCUGGUCUCCUUGUCCCUGAGGAAUAUUGACAAGGAGCCUCACAGCUCUGCACAAGGACUGAUGCCUCUUAUAAUGACCAACUUAGUCAGGAAAUUACAGACAAGAGAGCACACUCUGCAGAGACAAACACCACACACCUUAUGAUUAUGUAGAAUAAUCCAGAGGAAACAUUUACUUUUGAGAAACAUCCUUUGCAGGGAAAACUCUGAUGUAUUUUUCCUUUCAUUGCUAUUAAGAGUAUGUCAUAUUAGACUGUAUUCAGUGACUUUGUGCAGGUUGGAAAUCAAAAGUAACAAAACUAAACAAUUCGUGUGCCAGUGAGUUCAUUCUUUUGUUUUUCCUCUAUUGACACAGCAGGGGCUGAAAUCAUUUGAUUGAUACUAAAAUGAAUUUCAGAGUUUUGGUAUUGUGACAACUCUGCUGGCAAAUAAAAUCACCUGUUCUCUCAGUGGAGAUGAGUAUCCCUGACAUCAAAUGAUUUACAGUGAUGUUAUGGAUCACACAAUUUGUUAUCUCACUAUGGUGCUGGUGGUGUUUUUAGACGAAGACGAGGGUGUUCAAUUUGAAUGAGACAAACAUCAGAGUACUGACUCUAGUUCCAAUCUUUUGUAAAAGAAAGUCAGAUUUUUCUCUGCAAAUCAUUCAUACAUACUAGAGUGAGCAGAAAUAUUAAUGAAACUGUCGAAAAAGCAAAACGGAAAAACUUUGAAGUCAAGCUGAAAUAAUGUCAGAAAUUACAGCAAGUGCUGGGAAAGGCCAUUGUUGGCGAGAAACAGGGUAAGGAAUUACUUUAUGAAUCAUAUUCAUAUGUUGAUGUAAAAACAACUUCAAAAUAACUGCAAAAAGUCAGACGAAAAGACAGAUAAUUUCUGAGUUACAACAAAUCUAAAACACUGAAAUGCCAGAUAAAAAGAAACUGUGAAAACUGUGAAAAUGUCCUUAAAUGUGUAAUGCUCUUUAGCUGAAUGUUUCUCUCGGUGGCAGUGAAUAAAAACGUAAAAGAGUUAUGAACUUUCUGAGUGCCUUUGCGGCUUGGGUAGGACUUGUGAUGUAUUAUUCUUUCAAAACCAUUAGGCCGAGAGCAACAAGUGAACCCAGUAGUAUUGAAAGUUUUCCAGAUGUCUGUGACAAGUUUUUUUUUUUUAAAGAGCGAAAUUACAAAUUUUGCCUUUCAGCCACAGUUUUUCUCUGGAAACAUGCUAAUUACAAACUACCCAGUAACAUUAAUAGUUGACUGGAGAGCAACUAUGGCAGAUGUUCAAUGUUUAUGUGGUGUCUCAGGGGUAUGAGUUGUCACUGCCUGAGGUCUUUCAUUCAGUUAAUGUGUAAGGAAUCUACAGAUGGACUUCAUCCAGGCUAAAAACAAAACCCUUUGAAAUGGCCUAUUGAUCUUUUACUCAGUUGUCUCUCCCUCUCUUUCUCUCUCUUUUUUGUGUGUAUGUGUGCAUCAGUGUUGGGCUAUUGUAACUAGAUAUGACUUACUGUCCUUGGUUUAGCCCAGCAAAGUCACUCAUACACCUAUGUACACACAUAGACACACACACAAUUCACACGCAUGCAAACAUGGUCUGGUCUACAUGCGUGGGCCCUGGGAGUGGGAUAUGAAUGCAGUGGGCUGUGAGGAUGGGUAAUGGAGGACAGUAUGUGUCCUGGGAUCAUGGCGGAUGGAUCCUCCAUUGCGAAGGCGAUGAGACCUGAAGGGCGACAGGGAGAUGGAGGCAUUGAGGGAGAGAGCAGCCGCAGCCCAACGCUCUGUUAGGCGCCUAAUGGAGAGACAGCGAGGAAGCAGUGAGCACUACAGGGCCCACUGCUCACAGAGGAACGCUAGAAAGGCACAGGCUCACAGACAAAAAAGAAAAGUCAGGCUGCAGGGGCUGCUGCAACACCAAGGCACGACACAAAAUUAGCUAAUUUUGGAUUCUAAGGGUCUUCAUAGGUGAAUCUGUGCAGAUGAAGUGCAACCAUAUGUGUUGAUCAAUAAACAUAUUUUGUCUUAAUCAAUGCCAGAUUACUUAACAGGGUCACGGAGCAGCAAAGGUGGCGUGAGUGAAAGCCCUUGUGGACAGCAGUGAGCAUGAAUGAUGGUGCAUGUUACGUAACUCAUUGUUGUUUUUAGUAAAGCUUUGGCUUUUAGUGAAGUCAGAUACUGGACAGAUGGCGGAGCUUGAAAGGAGCAAAGAAUGAGCAAAGGUUGUUGCUCGCUUUGUUAGAAAAGUGCACCUAUUGAUCACAGUAAGUGCCAUAUCAAUCAGGAUCAGAAGUUGUGUUACAUGAUCACUCAGCAGUAAGUUUUAGAAAUUGCAAGAUUUGUUUUUCCCCUUUCUACCAGCUAUUAACAAAAAGACGCUUUCUCAUUUGCUGAUACUGCACCAGAUCAAUAUAUGGACUGCUGCUGCUUAAACUCCUUUGCCAGAUAAAAUAAAAUGUCACAAUCUAGCAUGAUUACAUUUAAUAACACUCCACAGCAUAAGACAGGUAUGUUUUUGUAUUUUUUAAAGUUUAUUCUGUCCUUAGACGUCAUUCCAGGGCAGAUAAAGGGACACAAGGUCAGUCCUGUUUGCGAAUCAGCCUGCCAAAAAAACAAGGUAGCUUUUAGGAUUUAACCCAGAGCUCCAUCCCAAUUCUUGUUUUUGUCUUUUAAGGUCACCGCCUUCAUCUUCCACUCCUUAUUUGUCUGAUCUGGUAAGGCAGUGGCUGGCUGGUUGGGGGAUCACUGAUUUACAGGAAAUAAAGCCUCUUUGAAUGUUAGUGCUAAUGUUCCAGCUUCAAUUUCCCAAACAAGCCAGUAGUCACUCCACCUAAUGUGUAAGAGCAACAAAAUUGCACCUUUAAUGUCUACUUCACUUUGCAGGGAACAUGUAUUUAAGCUAGGUAAAUACAUUUGCUUUUAAUGGAUUUAUUUCAGGCUGUUCCUGAACCAGUUUUUAUUAUUUUUUUAUUUUUUUUUAUUAAAAAAACAUGCAUUACCAUUCCCAAAAUGUUUAUCUUCUAAGAUGAAAAAGCACUACACUUUAUUCAGACACCAGAGCUGCAUAUAUAAAAUUUCCUUUGAUCCCUGGGUCUGGGACAAAUACAGAUGGUGGAACCCAUUUUUUCAUUUUCUUCAAUUUAUGAGAAAGAGAGACUGGAUUUUCAGAUAGAGCGCACAACUCCGUCUACCUUCAGCUGCUGAUAUCAUGCUUAAUUGGAUCAAAGUCUUCCACUGCAACAAGACUUACAAUUAUUCUUCCACAGUGGUGCAGCCAUUUUAAUGAGCUUCUUUUCAAACAAUCUCACCUUGCGAGCAACUAAUCUACAUCAUUGCUGUUAUUGUGAGAACCGAAAGCUUGGGAAGAAACAGAGCUUUUUAUAAAUGGGAUUAUUUUGUCCCACAAAAUUUGAGCAUCAGUUAAUUGCACUUAAUUUUGGGGAACAAAACCUGCACACACCUUGCAUCUCGCUAUGGCUGCCUUGUUAGCAGGUUUAUUCAUUAAUAUUCAGGAUUCACGGAGGCUUCUGCAACACUUUAAAUCUUUGAGAAAAACACUCGCAAGUAACUGGAGUAAAACUGAAAUGAAUAAUUGCAAUAAAGACCCAACAGCUAAAAGAAAAGAUGAGAGCAUUAGUUGGUUAAGUUAAGGCUAUGAGUAGGUUGUUCAAGUGUGAUCAGCUCAGUAAAGUAGGUUUUUGUGCAUUUGAGGAGGUGGGGAGGAGCACAGAUUGUGGACGGUAAUACAACGUGAAGCCUCUACAUUCUUCUGUGUAGCGGACAGCACAUUUCACGUUACUCUCAGCAUGCUGCAUGUUCAAAGCUAUGAUAGUCACUGACACACCAAUUACGGAAGCACACUUAGAUUAGGCCUUUACAGCCCGUUAUGUCUCCUUCUGUUUUAAAAUGCAUUUGUUAUGUGUAAUUUAUUUUGACUGGAACCAUGACAACAAACAGAGAUUCCCAAUUACAGUUACCUUCAUCCGUGGGAGGUAUGCUAAAGCAAGUAAACAACUCUGUCAAGAAUGGCAUGAGAGUCUCAAAACAAACAGAUUCUUCUGUUUUACAAAACUAACACACCAGAUCUUCAUUCAUAUGUAUAUUGUGUAUAUGUAUUAUUAGUACUUUUGUAUAUGCAUAAAAAAAAUAUUUAUUUAGAAGUCAAAAAGUACCAAAGAGGUGUCAACUUUAACCCUCCUCCUGUUUUAGGGUCUGUACCAACUGUUUUUUGAUUUUAAAGGCUUAAAAGAAAUACUUAAAUUAGCUUUUUUGCAUCAAGACUUUUCGACUUUGUCAGGAACCUCUAUUUCAACAAAAUAAAAACUAAAAAAUAAUAAUUUGACUCAAUUAUAAAUCGCUCUUAUUAAAAUUAUGGCACUUGUUGUGUUAGGGUUGCUGUUGACCUGUUUAGAUCAAUAUCUAAUAAUAAGAGCAAAAACUGAAAUCAUAAGUGCACUGUCAGGCACCACACUGACACUCAGAUCCUCUUCCAAUCAUGUGAGAUUUAGGAAAUUCUCAUUUUGCCAUGUUUUUCUCUGCACAAAAACGUCGGGCAUGUCCAGACAUGUGAAAUCAAUUCAGAUGUCUGUAUGAGGGGGUUUACUGACAAAGAAAGGCCCAGAGGACCACUACAAAAACUAUUAUAAGCAAUAUUUUAACGGAUAAUGAAGCUGAAUUGUUUUUAGUGUAAUUUACAGCUGAUUUAAGACAUGGGUCAAAACUGACCCUUAACAUGGUAGGUGCGUAGUAUAAGCUUACACAGGAGGAAGGUUAAAACUUUAAUUUGUUUUUAAUUUGACAUGGUAAGUUGCAUGUUAGAAAUUUAAAAAAAAAACGAGGUUGUUUUUUUUCUGUCGGAAAUAAUGGCGUAUUUUUCGGACAAUAAGGCGCACCAGAUUAUAUGGCGCACUGUGAAUUAACUUGUCUAUGUUCACACAUAAGGCGCACUGGAUUGUACGGUGCAUUAAGCAUUGAUUGGUUUAUUGUUGCUAGCGCAUACUCUGGGCCCGGGCUGCCUUACAUGAAUGCACUUCUAGUUUAGACAUUACCGUCAGGCAGAGUUGUAGACUGCUCAGGGGUCCUGUUACGGGGUUGAUCAGGUAGUGACACAGCGUACUGUAAUGCUCGAAUAUCCAUUGAGCGGAGCGGCUUCGUUACUGGCCAAAGUCGUACUUAGACAUUUCAGGUUUUUGAGUGUAUUGUACCACACAAAGUUGGUCAGUUAGCACAACAAGUAAUCACACAUAAGGCGCGCUGGAUUAUUAAGCGCACUGUCAAUUUUUGAGAAAAUUUAAGGAUUUUAGGUGCGCCUUAUAGUCCAAAAAAAAAACAAAAACGUAACUUUAGGUGCAAGAUAAAAGUUGUAUGGCUUUAUUCUAGUGAUGCAUGAUAUGAAAAAUUUCAACCGAUACCGAUAACCGAUAAUUUUCUUCUUCUCAUGGCCGAUACCGAUACCGAUAACCGAUAAAUUCAUAUUUUUACAUUUAUUAUAAUCUUCAUAUAAUCUGCAGUUUGUGCAGGAUGCAGCGAUUGAAAACUGAUGUUUUUGUUGCUCUGGCCUAUCUAGAACAACAAACAAAAGUUUUUGGCUCUUCAAAUGUGGUCAUUUGCUAUAAAUAAUAACAGAGCAAAAAGCAGAACUUCAUUUGAUCCCCUGAACUGUUCAACAGAACUGUAGACUGUAAAGGAGCCAUUAUGAGACGUUAGGAUUAGCAUGCUGACCGGACUAACAUCUGACGUCCAUAUGUCUGUGGUAAAACUCACGUGUAGUCCGUUCUUGUCGAUCAGGUUGUGAAUGUAUGUGGCGACAAUAUCAUAGAGUGCAGGAAGGGACACAUCCGAGAAGAAGCGGCGGCUUGGGAGAGUGUAACGUGGCUCCAGGUGUGCUAAUAACUUACGAAAACCCGGGUUCUCAACGACGGAAAAAGGCUGGUCGUCGACCGCUAUGAACUCCAUCACUUUGUCGUUAAUGGCUUUAGCCUUUUCACUGUCUCUUGAGAAGCUUUUGCAGUUUUUAAACGCCUGCUGAAUGGGGACAUCGAUCCUCCGUAGUGUUGUUGUCUUAGCUUUAGUACCGCUAGCAGCUUCGGCGGCUGUCUCAUAUUCUUUUACUACCGCUUCGCCGCGAUGGCGACUUUUCAGAUGAGCUAUCAGAUUCGCUGUGUUAAUACUUGACGUCUUCUUUCCUCCUCUCGGAAUCCUCGCUGAACAGGUUUUGCAUAUAGCAAUGCUGUUGUCAUCUUCUGCCACUGAGAGAAACGACCAUGCUGGUGAAGACAUUUUAUUAUCAGUCAGGUAGUGACAGGGGUCAGGCUUGGGACCUGCGAGUAAGGCGCGAUAGAUGACGUAACCAGCGCGUCUCGGACGGGCGGCUACUCCGCCUGCAAACGUUACUCGUAAUUUCAUUAAUAUAUCGGAUCUUUCUAUCGGAAAAAUGCACCUAUCGGACCGAUAAAAAAUGACGUAAUUUCCCCCCAAAUCGGCCGAUAUUUUAUCGGUCCGAUAAAUAUCAUGCAUCCCUACUUUAUUCAUAAGAGCUGCAACGGCAACACAAAAUGAAAGUUCUUUCAGGGGACCUUCAUAGGGAAAGAUACCAACAAGACUUUGUAAAAAGUAUGAAAAAAAUCAGUCCUUAUCACCUGUUUUGGCCCCUGAUCAGAGAUUUUUGAUAUUGACUAUCUGCCAAUACUGAGUCACAAUCUGUUACUUGUGUUUGUCCAGGUAAUGGAGCGGCAACACUGAGCUGGACGUGUUGCUUUUGGCUGAAGUCUGUCUCACUGAUAUAGAUACACCAGAGUUGUCUUACUUAUUUUGCUGACAAUAGAAGCAGGUAUGGAGUUACGUUUUUUAUUCACAAACACAGCUCUUUGAUUCCCAAAUAAUAAAAAGGAUUUUACAGCAUUUUACAGACAUAAAAACAUACAGCAUGGCAAGAUAGGGUACGUGUUGUGCCAUCUCUUUCAUGAAUAAGAUCAUGGAGGAAUAUUCAUACCUAAUUAAUCUCAGUCUCCUCCGUCGUUGGCUUUUGUGCUAUUUAUUUGGAGCGAGCACAUGUAUUCACAAGUGGUAAGGGGAUCAUUGAAAAGACACAGAGGGGGGAACUAGGUUAGAGAGCUGCAGCCUCACAAGGACUCCACUACACUCCACUCAAUAAGAAAAGCCCUAAACGGAUUUCAGUGAGGGAACUGCUCAGGGAGAACUGAACAGAUUGAUGGAUACACGUUCUGCAUGCUAUUGCCGGUGGAACAGCAACACCAAAAGCUUCUCAUCGACAAUUACAGCAGAGAGAGCAAAGAGACAGAGAGGAGGGGGGAGAUAAGACCAGGGGAGACGAUGCAUUUCAGGAAGAUAUUAGGUUUGGGCAGGAGAAAAUAUAUCCACACACUGCCUUCUUAUUCAGCCGCUUUCCAGCACAGUGCGUCGAGAAUCCUUGGCAGUAUUACAAGGGUGUGCGCAAUUCAAAUCCUCUCAUUGUAUUUCUGCAGAUUCAAUACAUUUCAAGGUCACUCAUAGUCACCUGUAAUUGAUUAUUACAAGCAAGCAGCACCAGACUGAUAAGCUCCUUUCACCAUCUUAACGCUGAGCCUGUUCGACAAAGACUGUAUUCAUCUCUACUGUUGACUGUCUACAAAGGAGGUGUAGCCCAUUAAUAGCACUGGCAAUGGCAAUACGGCGAUACGACGACCGACAUUUGCAGUAGGAUCUCGAGGUGUAGAUAACAGGGUACACUGAUAGAAAUGCAGAGACAUUUUUGCCCCUGAGACAACAAUGCAUCACAAACCAAUACCUUUUAAUAGGGUCAGUGGAGCGUUAUAUGACACAAAACAUGUCAGCAUUUCACAGGCCAGGAGAUCAUGUGCAGAGUAAUUCAGAAAAACCACAUGUUGCAUCAGGUAUUGAUUCAUUACAUCUGAAUAGCAGACAAAAAGAUAUCUCUGUAAGAUGCUAACCUAUGCAAACUGACAGCUUGGCACAAUAUCACUGUAGGAGAAAAAACACAAUUAAAGGGCCAUCUCAGGUUCUGUUCUGUGUAUAUGGAAGGGAGAAAAAAAAAUCCUCAGCUUCUCUUGGUUGCUUUGAUAAGAAAUCUCUCUCUACUUCCCUCCUUUUUUUUCACCACUGCUGUCUCAUGCGCAGCAGGAAGCAUGUGGCUUGGCACAACUUUUGAAGUCUCACUUGGACGCGCGGCAAAGGAAAAGGGUUGCAGGUGUUGAUUAGACGUCAGCUUCACUUUGGGAGAUAAGUUGCUGCACGAAUGGGCCAUUCUUGAUUUUCAAGGGCACAGGAUGCAUUUGAGAGUGUGCCAAAGGUCUCCCUUCAUGCUGCUGUUUUCACCAAAAGCAACCAAUAAGGAGAGUGAUACUGUGGUUUUAAUGCAGGCUUUUUGAAUACAGAGAACGCACUGAAAGAUACUUUUUUUUUUUAUCGUUUGGUCGUAGAAUUUUGGGUCUCACCAAAAAAGGAGGCACAAAUAAGGUCCUAAUUUGGGUAUGCUGAUCGAAUUUAAUACUUAAAACUGGAUUUUAAAAAAGGCUUCAUCUUUUAGUCUUUUUUAUUUCAUAGUAAUACUUGAACACUGGAUGACUGCAAGAUGCAGUAUUAUCACUCUGUCAAGAAAAUUUCUAUUUCGAUUCAUGAUCUUAAUUGUCUGAUUUUUAUGUCUGGACUAUUUGAGUUCACCUCUGAGAAUUGAGUUGGUUGGAAUUUUCAGCAAGAAUAGUAUCACAUAUUUUUUAUUACUUUCCUGAAGCUUAAAAACACACUUGGCUGCAGGCAGUCGUACCUGUCGAAGACCAAAGAAAAUCACUUGUACAUGGACCUUCGCUUUCUACUUGGCGCUAUGGGACUCAGAGCCCAGUAGCCUAUCAUUCAAUGUGUUAAAACAACGCAGGUAGUGAUGCUGUGGUUGCUAGGCAACACUAACUACUUGAUUAUUUAUUGAAUAAAGGAGGUACGCUUGGGUGUGUGUGUGUGUGUGUGUGUGUGUGUGUGUGUGUGUGUGUGUGUGUGUGUGUGUGUGUGUGUGUGUGUGUGUGUGUGUGUAGAGGGGGGCAUAGUCUAUUAUUCAUGGAAAUGAGUGUUAUUUUUCGUAUUUUGGCAAUUCUUUCUCUGGAGAGGAGAGGGGCCAUGUUGAUAGCAGCGUUCCUCUGCUUAUCAACAUGAUGUGCUGCAGGGCUGACAGAGCUCAAGGCCAGAUUGAGAAGUACUGAAUGAGUUUUUGUGUGUGUGGGUGUGUGUGUCUUUGCAUGCAUAGCUUGUCUGAUGGACAAAAAGAACGGGCUAAAUUAGUGAAAAAACAGUAACAACUAAUAACAUCACCUAUAUGGUGGAAAAAGCUGAUCACUGUGGCAUUAAAGGUGGCGUUGCAGUUAAUCCAAACAAACUGAAAACAGUCUGUUUCCCUUUUCUUGUAAUUCUGCAAAAUUAGUGCAGACUGAAUCCUCCUUACAGGACACUUUUAUUUCUGGAGGCAGCAACAUUAUAGACAUCGCCCAUGUCCUAAGUCCCUGCAUUACAACCGGUUUAGGAGAAAUGUAGGUCAUCAUAGAAAACCCACCUCCAAACCCCCCUCCAGCUCAAAUCCUACACAUCUUUGAGGUAAGAGAAGUCUGGGGCUGCACACUGAUCCGUCCGGUCAUACUGAGUUUCAAAUUCAAUCUCGCUUUUCUCAUUAUAGGUUUUAGGAGAUACUGAGACCCCAUAUUGGUCAAGAGAUAGUUCAGCUAAUCUGAUAGGGUUCUGUAGUUAGGCCUGCAGAAACCAGUGAUCCUGGAUCCAUGGGUGAGGGAUAAUAACAGCGCAGAGCUGGUGCUGAAAACUCAAGGGGUAAGACAGAGGGUGGGUGCUGGGCAUGGUGAAUGCAACUCACUCGCUGUUAUUUGAGUGGAGAGGUAGACAAAUACACGGAUGCUUGAUUUGUACAGUUUGUUUUUUAAAGGGCACACUGAGGUGCAGGAAGGAUGUACAGUAUGUAAAGGGGAAUACAAAAAAAAACUGUAUGCAGCAUUGAUGUCACCUACAGCUUGAAUGAAGUGGAUUUGAAAUGAAAAAUUGUUUGCCAGGGCUGGCACAGAAGUUCACUCGGCAAAUGUGACCUUUGAAUUGUGUCCUGGGAACAGAAAAACAGUUUAUGAAUGACUAGAUAUAAACUGUAAGGCAGCUUGUAUAAGCACAAGAAAAUAAUCACACAUACAGGCAUCUUUUAUUACUACACUGCUUUCCAGUGUUUUCUGUUUGUCAUAUCACUGUAAAGAAAUCUUGUCCUUUUUUAAUUUCUUUUUUGGCGAUACAAAAGCCAGAUUUCUUUUCUUUAUCCCUGUGAAAUAGCCUUGAAUGUCUGAGGAAAGUCGCAGUAUUCGUACUUCAGUUUGACAAGAAUCUAAUUCCAUCUCAUAACAGACUAAAAUCCUCCUCAUUGGGCUGAGCAGGAAGAUCAAUACUGUUGACAUGGUAGAAAAUAGGUCAGGAUGUGUGUGAGUCAAAGCAGCACAGGAAAUCAACAUAUCCAGUACACUGCUGUCUUGUGAGACACUGCAGCCGUACAAGAAAAAGAGAAAAAAAUGUUGUGUUUGGACCAAACCCAAGGAUAAAACAGUGAGUAAUAAAAUGUUGACAUGCACAAACCUCUAGCUACACAAUCCAAGAUAAUGUGAUCCGUCUGGCCAAUGUUAGUAAUGUUUGGUAACUCACACCGCCUGCAUCCGGUUAAUACUUUUUUCCAAGCAUCACCGGAGGAAAUUUACCACACAUAAGCACAGACUCUUGUAAAAGACUGCUUCCAUCUGCACACAUGCACACAUACACGCAACUCUGGGAAAAUGACCGUGGAAAGCUGGUCUGAUGCUUUUGUUGCGCAACCGUUCACUAUUCAAAAAACAUGUAGCAGUUGCUCAAUUUCAUUUGUUUUUUGAGGCAUUAAAAGACCCCAGAGUGUUGGUUUUAUUCUCACUACAUUCUCUGGGACUAUCAAGUUGUUGGUCCUAUGAAGGAUUUCUGUUUCCCUCUGUAGUUCCAGCUGUUUGUGGCUCAUCUCCUGCAGGCUUCUGACCCAUUUACACUGCUUUAUGUAAGGCAAAUUUAGGGGGAGGCAUGUUGGAGUCGGUAGGAUGUUGAGCUCAGGCUGACGGGCCAAAUUUUUUCCCAAAAUAGGAUGACAAGUCAAACAUCUAGGUUUUUCAGCUGGAGCUGAUUUAAGUUAUGUCCCAGGCAGUAAGAAGCAGAAAGUUGUGUAGCACAGUUGGCAAUUUGGCACUGUGCUGCUGGGUACCAGACCUUGCCAUGGACCUGUGUGGGCAGAUGUGCUGCUCUGAUUUGGCUGUAGGCUCACAGUGGUAAUGUGGUCUGCAGGGUGGAGAUUGGACAUGGAAACAGAUCAGACGUGCUCUCUGUGUGGCUCAUGGAGACAUUCGGGAAGAACAUAUAAAUGAGAGGACGGUAACAUGUUAGGACGCUUUGAAAAGCUGUUUUUGAAAAGGAUGCAUGACUUGUGGUUGUUUAAGUAAAGACAAUAUAGCUAUGAACUUUGACCCCCUGAAGUGGGCUUAUAAUCAGUCAUCAGCUGGUGCUGUCAUGUUAAAAUUAUUUUCCUCAUUUAGAAAUAAAGCUGUCAUCACACACAUCUCAAAAUCAAAACGCUUUAAGCUAAAUAAUAGUUUACAUUUAUCUUAAACUUCCUUUAAUUUGAAUCAAACAUGGAAUUUGAUAAUAUAUCCAUUAGUGUUGUCACAAAAUAAAAUUUGAUCUUCAAUACCAAUACAAUAAGUUUAAUACCACAGUAUUUGAUACUGAAAUGAUAUUCUAAACUGGUUCAAUACUUGACAUCUACUGGAUCAUAAGCAGGUUGUUUAUAAGGAUAGGUCACAUUUGAACUUAAGAUCAGAUCAAAUUUAUAAUCCCAGUGGGAAAUUUGUCCUGGACUUUACAGUGUUCUAACAGCAACAAAAUGUACUACAAUGCAUUCAUACAAAAAAAUGACUGCUUACAUUACAAUAUGAUGUAACACUAUUUAAAUAAAGUAUAAAUAUACAUAUAAACACCUGUUUUUGUCACCUGUCAAAACUUGAUGUCUGUCAAGUCUAAGUAAGGUACAGUAUUAGGUAAAGGCACUACUGUGUUUUCAAAAUGUAUGCAGAAGUGUGUCUUGUUAACUGGUCACAGUAGACUCCAGAUAACUUAAGCUUCAUACAUCUGUUGUUAUUGAACUCAGAUGUUUUAAUGAGCUUGUCAUGUUAAUUCUUGUGCACCUUGGAGAGGUCUUUGCAUCUGUCACUGAGGUGCUUGGUAAGGUUUGAAGUAUUUUCUCUGUUUUGUUGCAUUAUUAAUUUGGUAAGUCAGUGGAUUUGCCACUACGGUCAGACCUGUUGUUAAAGUAGUCCCACAGGAGGUAUUCUUCGGGGAGAUGACUAGCUGUUGUUGUAGGUAGUGGACAUACUGUUUGGUUGGAAUAAAAAGUAUUAUAAAAUAAAGAAAUUUGAGUAAGCUGUGCAAUAUUGGUUCCUAUCCCUCAUUUGUUGGCAACAGUAUUAUGCAGUUCCUAUAUACUUCAUGCAUAGCUAUCACAUAUUUACUUGUGUAUCUCUGCAUCACACUCGAUCACCAAUGCAGCACAUAUAUAAAAACAUGCUGAUAGUUGCUGAUUUCCACAAGUGGUUGCCAAUGACAACCUGGUGACUGAGACUGUAUAUUUUACCUAUGAACCUUUUAUUAGUGUAAAUGACAAAAUAUAAAGAGCUUCCUUCAUAUAUAUAUAUAUAUAUAUAUAUAUAUAUAUGUAUAUAUAUAUAUAUAGCAAUUCGACAAUAAGUGAAGUAAUUUAUCCAAGAACUUCUGUCUGACAUACAGCCUUCCUGUUCAGAAGGAUCCCUCUCCUUAUUCCCUGAUGUGCUUUUCCAAUAUUCUUUGAACAGUAAGUGGAUCCUGCAUAUCACUGCUUUAAGCAAGGUUCCGUCUUCCCUAUUAUUAAAGCAAUAAAUGUCCAAGUCCUCACACAAAAGGCUUGCCCUGUUUGUGAUGUGCUGAGUGAAGUUAAUAUCAUCAAAGCCGACUUAUCUCCAGGAGGACGGCUCGCUGAUUAAAGGUGGCUUUUAAGACGAGUCUUUGCUGACAUUCACCUGUAUUGGAGGCUAAUACUGUGUUUAUAAGCUUCCUGAGUGACAGCUGGUGUUUCGCGAUGGGGAUCAUCUUUAAACACAUGCACAAAUACACGCACACACAUGCACACACACUCUGACUCCCACACAGGAUGUUAAUACUCAGAGGUCCUGGGUUUAGACCCAGACCAUGGGCACGCAUUGAACUGCACUCCAUGGCUCCCUGGCACGGUUAAGUGCACAGCUAUGGAUUAGCGGUUAGCCCAGCGGUACCCUCUGAUUAUGCACUUUGUGGUGACAACCUAAGCACUUCUCCAUUAUAAUUGACCUCCUGUUAAACCAAGCCAGCUCACACUUCCUCACAAUGGAGACUUUGAAUAAACCUGUAGGUUCUUUACCUGAUGCGUAGCCAAGUCACAUGGCAUUUCACUCUUCAAUUACCGGAUAGAGGCAGACUGAUUCCUCAGGCUUUAUUAACGCCACAUGCUCUUUGGGUCUCCCAAAUGGCAAUUAUCUCACCAUGUUCACAGGUGAUUCAGCAUGAGUUCCAUUAGUCUCUUAGCAGAAUGCUGUUAGAUAAGUUCAUGGCCUCUGGUCUCUUGUUAGUUUCCAGGCCACUGGGAUGACAAAUUGAAGCAGACUGUGAAUCAAAAUCUUUAGAUUAAGCAACACCGUUUCAUUUUAAAGUCACAUUUUAUUCAAGCUGUGGUGCUAAAACGUAGUGAUACAGUGUCGCUGCGUGCCUAGAGCCCUGUGAUUUCCCAGGAUUCCAGAGAACAAAAGACAACAUUGCAGAAAUGAAUCAUACACAGUAAGGUUCACCAAGGUUCGCAUGACUUUGACCCUUUUCAAUACCAAGUGCUUUACAAUCAUACAGUCUCAUUUUUAGCUUAAAGCAACCAUAAGCAAGAGAGAGAGAGAGAGAGAGAGAGAGAGAGAGAGAACUAGAGAGGGAGCAGUGGUCAGUAAACAUAGAGAUAUAGAGAAAAAGUACACAGAUGUGUAUGAUGUGACGUUACAUUAUGAUAUGAGCAAGGUCAGGUCAGUAAAAUGACAGUUAGGUGAAGCUGUUAUUGCAAAGAGAGAGCAAAUGACAUGUUACAAGUAGUUCUUUUAAACUGGUCGGAUGAAAUUAUGCUCAGCUGUUCAAAGAACAAUAAAAUGUAAACAUAAAUACUGUUUAACCAGAGGAGAACCUUUUCAUUUUUAAAUUGGAGCUCCAUAAGGUACACAUUUAAAUGAAAAAUAUAUCUUCAAUAAAAAUAGGCCAAUCUUUUUCUUCAAUAAAUUUAUUUAUAUGAGAGAAGCAUCAACAUUUUGACAACUAUAAAUGGCCUAUUAAAAUCAAAUAGCAGAUUUUCUUCUCCUCUUUAACAAAUCCACAGAUGCAAACAACGAACACUACAAAAGAAUUAAAUAUGACUAACCCUAGUAAGGGCAGCAUUUACAUCUAUAAAGACAGAACAAAAUCAAGUGCUCAGUUUAAGAAAAUUGUUUUUAAACAUCAUUUUGAGAUUUCUUAUCUGUCUUUCUUAUCUUCGUAACGGUCUCAACCAGUUGCACAAGACUAUGAACUCAGUAAACGUUUCCCCCUCUUUCCUUUUUACUUUUAUAAACAGUUAGUGCUGUCUUGAGGUAGACAUCAGAAGACAGACAAGUGCGUCCUUCUUUGUUUGAAGAUUUUGUGCGAGAAACAGCAGCCUGUCAACAACAGCAUCUGAUAUCUGUAUAUCGAUACAUGCGAUAUGGUCCAAUUCCAUACCUCAUUUAAAAAUAUAUUGAUAUAUUUCUUAUAUCAAUGUAUCGCCCAGUCCUAUACGUUUGGCAAUUUUUUUUAACUUUACCUAUGUUUGAACAGCCAAUCAGCUUGAAGAAAGGCAGGCUGGCCAGUCUGUAACUAACUGUCAGUUGGUCACGAUGACAGCCAAAUAUGAGGAAAUCAACAAUGCUUUGAAAGUGGAGCAGUGCACAAACAAUUACUAAGAGCCUGAAGGAUAAAGAAUGAGAUGACUUGUGUUGUAGCUAUUGCUGGAGUUUGCUUUAAAAGAGCGAAACAAAAUAAAAAAAAAUGCAUGUAAUAAUUGAGUUGUUGAAAAUCCUAUUAAUCACUCUCAUAAUAAGACAUCUUCAAAUAUCUGAAAGAAGUUGUUGAAAACUGGGUUAUGGAAAAAAAAAACUCAAACAGGAUGAGUAAUAGAAGGAUAAUCUGUGGUCAUAAAAGAAAUACAGAUCUGUUGGUAAUGGAGUCUGCUAAGUGAUAAUCAACCAGCUUUUCCCUGCAUGUAACAUCCCUAUCAGAAGAAUUCAGACCUCUGGCCAUCAUUAGAAACAGGUUCCUGUGGUGUGUGCUGCUCGUGUGUGAUUGAUGAUCGGGCCUUGCUCUCUGUGGUCUAUGACAGAGCCUCAGUGGACUCGUCCCGUAGCAACUACUCAAAUGUGACAAGCUGGCAAGCACUGGCCAAGGUGAAAGCGGGACAGAUGGGAAGCUUUUCUCCAGAGUGUCAUCCACAAGGCAGAACCAAACAAACUGCUUAAGGAUUCACUUUAGAUUCCCCUCUUCUCCCUUCCCAUCAUGUAGGGCCUGGCCCUCUUCUUGCUCCUCCAACAGGUCUUUUUCAUUUACGUUUCGACACUGGUGUUCUUCACGCUCCCUUGCUGCACUGAGCUCCGGGUCUUCAAGGUUAAUCAGUGUGGUUGGUUGUAUUUGCCAGGAUGCAUCUGUAAUCUCAUGGAGUUGUCCAUACAUCACACGGGGAAUGUAAGGGGAAAGUAGGAGCACAGCCUCUCUCUCUCUCUCUGAUAACCCAGACAGAGGACUCGUAAUGCGUUUGGACAGAUGACGCUCCCCUGUGAUUUGCUGUCAAAAUUUACAACAAUGGAGGGAAAGGGAGGGGCGUAAGAACUCAUGGGAGUCACCUGAGGGUAGGGCAAUGCUCACACCAGCAGUCAACCAGGGCCCAGCUCCUCCUGUUCACGCUUGAACAGCAUCCUAAACAUGGCUGUGCUGACCUUGCGAGCAGCCAUUAAACACCUGGAGGAAUUCUCUCCAUCUAAUUACAUUUGCUGCUGCCAGCCCUUCAGUGAAAACAGGGACUGCUCCCCAUAGUGGUGUUUCAGAAAAAGUGAAGUGUGGAGUUAAGUUCAUUUUUAAUUAUUCCAUGAUGAAUUGGAGUCCCAGGCAAAGUGUGUUGGCAUAAUUUUGGAUGAUAACAGACAGUAAGAAGCUUUGGAUGUGUAAAGACAUGACUUGCCCAGAAUUCGCCUGCCAGAAAGAUGAAUGGUGUGGGCAAUGAGUCCAACAAAUAAACAUUCAAAGAAGGAGUUCUGCAUCUGAUAUCAACAAAUUCUUACUACCAACAAAGAAUUAUUCACAGAUUGUUCCCACAAUCAAUCACUCUAUAUUAUGUGUGAGAAAAUAGUUUAAAAGGAUGAUCCGUAUAUCCCUAGCACUAAAAGAAAUGAUUGUUUGUUUUGUCAGAUCAAGGAUCUAAAACCUAGAGGUAUUCAGCCAGGAACUGAUUCCUACACAAGGAAGCAGCAAAACAAAUACCAAAUUGCUUCAUUUAUUUCUAAUCAGGAUGUCCUGACUUGCUGGUGAGCCAAAAGUCUGUUGUUUGAAAACAGCAUGGUUCUGUGUCUGCAAAGUUUUGCGCAACUGCAAUUAUUUUUCAGAAAGUUGAAUCACAAAAACUGUCUGAAAACAAUGUCAUUUGCCUUUUGUUGCACUGCUUUGCUGAUGAAAGGUGUUUGGACAGUCGAUUCCGCUUUGUUCCCUGUACUUGUCUUUGUUGCUUUACACAAAGGAGGAAGUGUGAUAUCACAUUAGUCAAAGAAAAGCAAAGCCUGAUCCAAAAGGGGUCUGGACUUGGUUCUUGAAGAUGCUUCGCUUUCAGUUCCAAAAAAUUGACUGGAGGCAGAAAUACAAUAUAAGCCUCUGUAGAGCAGAAGUAUGCCAAUGAUCCAUGAUGCAUUGUUUGUCUGGGAUGAGGGGUGUCUCUAGCCUUGACUCUAUUCAGUUUUUAAAUAUUGACAUUGACAGCAUGUUUUGCAUUUUCUUAAAUCAGCGGUCUUUUCUGGCCAGUAUGCAAAUGUCCUGCAUCCUGGAGAUGAAAGUGAACUGCUGAGUCUUGACCUGAGGAGUUGUCUCUUUUAGUGGGCCAAACAUUUAUGUAGAAGUCCAGACUUUCCUCUUUGCACUAUAUAACAUAAACCAUGCUGCUUAGUUUGUGUCUGGGUGCUUAUCCUCAGGAUGGGCUGGCUUCUGCCUAAGGGUAUUGGAAAGUUAAAAUGAACCAGAAUGUUGUGUUUAUAAAAGAUCCCUGGAGUUUUCUGAUACUCAAGAUAAGUAAGGAAAAACAACGCUGUGACACUUGUUUUCUUUUCUCCCCUGUUAGUGCUCUGCUCCUAGGAGGGUCUUGAUAAGGGCCCAGUUUUUGUAUCUGCAUGUACUCAGUGCUUUCCUCAGACAUUACAGUUCCCUCUCCCUCACUUCUGUCCCAGGUUUUAGUCUUUUUCUACUGCACUGCACAGCCAGGGAAGGUCAGACCGUCAUCCUUUACGUCCUCUUCUUUACGGCUUCUACUUUAUCAGUUUUAAACUUGACUCAGGUGUGUUCUGUGUAUCUGAGGAGUAACUCCUGGAAAAGAGGGAAGGAGGGAGAGACCCUGCGCCCUCGGAAGACACCGGUGAACCCAUGGCACAUGCAUGCUUUUCUCUCUAGAAGCUCUUGUUGUAUUGUCUUGAAUUGUUUUGAAUUAAAGGUGGGGUAGGCAGGAAUCCUUUAAAGAAGCAUCUUUUUGUGUGGUGUAUAUACAAAAAAGCUUUUAAUAUCAGCCAAUAGCUGUUAGUUAUUGAUGACAUUUGGGAAUAUCACGAUAUCGAAAAUGACCGGUCAACAUCAAUGAAGCAGAAACAAUGGAGGAUUCUUCUGGAUCUUACAGACAUGUAACCUUUCUGCUGGACAGGUAAACCACUAAGUUUAACUCACCUAUAAUGUGUCACAUUUUAGUCGCAGAGGAGCUGAAAGCAUUAUGUUCAUAGUUAGCCCGUUAGCAUGCUGCUACAUUAGCACUGGUGCUAUUGACAUUUACUUUGACUGGGCCCUAAUUUAACAAAGUAAGCUAAAUGUCUGUAACAGAAGUGUUUCUUGUCAAACGGGACCUGCUGCUUGUUGUAGCGCUACUAAACUGUUUACUUGUCACUAUACUAUUGGUAUACUAUCCUACUAUACCACUUUACUGUAUCACUUUAUCCUAGUUGUAGAAGUCCUGCAAACAUUGUGUUUGCUGGUAGUCUGUUGGCAUCUACAGUAGCACCAGUGCUUUUUAUUUUCACCUUGACUGGGCCCCAUUUGUAAUUAUGAAGUAUUUAUCUGAAUUUAAUUGGAAGCACCAUUGUUGUUUUUAAAAAAGGCUACGUUUAGUGGUGUUGUUGACUGAUAAAGCAGCUUGGAAAGUUUACAGAAAUAAAAUAAAUCAGUAGAACAGAUAUUUUAGACAGAAAAAUAUCUCAAUACCACACUCUCCUUCUCUUUUAUUUUAGUUACCACAAGCUGUAUGACAGAAAUUCCAGAGCAUGGAGUUUGUACACCAUAAAGGCCCAACAAGAUGUACAGCUGACCAAGAGGACUUAUUGUUUGGAUAUUAGUUUUCCAAUAAAUUUACGUUAUAUUUUAUCUUAUGUGUCAUUUUUUAUGCCCCAUUACACCUGCUGACUCUGUUGUGACAAAGGUUGUGAAGUCUUUGCUGAUGUGAUUUUGUGAGGUCUUAAAAUUUAUUGAUGAUACUUACAAAUAAAGAUUGAUUUGAAGUAAUGUAAAAUCAGGUUUCCCUUCAUGUCUUUUGGACUUUUUUUUUUUUUUUUGCCAGUAUGGAUGUAAAAUGGGUCUUACAAAUUGUAUUCAUUACAGUCUUAAAAAAGUCUAAAAAAGUCCCAAAUUUGACUUGUUGAAACCUGCAGAGACACUGAAAUAAUAUUUUUUAUUAUUACUUAAGAACUAUUUAUUAAUAAUGCAGACUUUAUUUGAGGUUAAAUGAAUAUCACAACCCUUCAGUAUAGAUAUGUUAUGUUUUCCACUUUAUUAGUCAAUUAAUCAUCUUAUUUUUAAACUGUAAUUCCUACAUUUGAAACUGAUGAUGUCUUUACAUUUAGUUAGUAAAAAACAAACAAACAAAAGUAGUGUGAACAGGUGUCUGAGCUGAUGUGUUCAUAUUCCAGCUGUCGAUUUUGGAAUUACAAAAGCCAGAAUUAUUGUUAUUUACAUAUCUUUUUUUGUUGUGUGAAAAAUCAAACAUGAAACAAUCUAAUUUGAACAUUGAUGCGCAUCUUGCCACACUCAAUAUGUGCCUCUUUGAUUACACCAAAAAGCAGACCUUGUUCAUCUGGAGCCAUGCUGAAAAAACUGCUGUGGGCCUGUCAGUGGUGGAGAAAUUCCAAAUAGGCCUCAUGGUUGAGUGAACGAAAGGCGUCAGUCAGUAAUAGCACUUCAUUGUAGAUGGUAGAUUGACAGGAUGCUGAGAAGAGUGAGGUGGGUGGGGAGAGCCUUGGUAUUUUGAUAUCAUUCAAAAGCUCAGCUGUGACUUCUCAAAGCAAUUACUAUACUGUCAUUGUUGAAAAUGGGGUGUCAAAUUCAGACCACAAAAAUGAACACAAUUACACUCAGACCUGACAGGAAUGAAAAUACCUUCUAUUGUUAACAAAUAGUUUGACCGAUGACUUAUGCACUUCAAAACACAGUCAUAUGUAUUGUGGUUUGAACAAGUGAACAAAAACUCUGCAAAAUAUGAAGGUUAUACCUCUCAACUAGAAAAGCAUUGUUAGGGAGUAUAAACUCAAAGUGGACAAUGUGUCGACUACACUAAGACAUUUUGCCUGUGAUAUUCACCUCUUAAAACUAGAAUGGGACUUGACAGCACUGUCCUGGAUAAGCUUAGGUUAGUUGCAUGGUAGGCUUCGGCAGGAAUACUGACAUACGGUAUCCCACAGAGUUUUAAAAUAGCAGAGGUAUGAGUUUUACUUAUGUCAAACACGCUGCUGCAUAAUACAUACAAUAAAUGUCUAAAUAAAAGUGUAUGUUCAGCUCCUCCGUUUUUAGUUUAUCUCUCUGAUAGUGUAAUGUCUUCAUUAAUCAGUGGUUUAGGAGAUGUCAUAAGACCAUACCUUCUCAUGACAGCUGCCAGUCACAGGAGAAAAAAAGGAGACACAAGAUGGGGUUGUGAGUUGUUCCCCCCCAAAAAUACCAUCUUUACUUUUGCAGCAUUUAAGGUUUUGACCAAAUUACAGAGGAGAGCAAAUCUAGGUAAGGCUGUGUGCAUAAUUUCCAUGAAGACAAUGACAGCGAAAGAUGAAACACUUCAAAUUUAACAGCCUAUCUCAGGAUCAGUCACCCAGUGAUUACGGCAAGGAUUCUACAGAGCCCUCUGUGCCGGGUUAAAAAGUAAAGUAACACCUGUGAUUAUCCAGCCAAUGGGAUUUUAGUCAAACAAGAGCUCAUCGAACAAUGUGUGCCGGUUGUGCACGCAGCCUGUUACAGUCGCUCUGGCUCAUUUUCAUACUUUCUGCCUUAUUUUUCUAUCUUGUAUACACUCUUCUGCUUGUUCAAAGCUUAUUUCUUAAACACUCUGCGCUUUGUAAGUAGCUUUAUCUAAUAUCCUGUGCUCCUUACUAACUGUUUUAAUUUCUUAUUUAUUCUUACGAAUUCCUAUUCUUAUUCUCUUCUAGUAAUAUUUGAAUUUUCAAGGACAAGUGUUAUACUGUAAUGACCGAAUGUCCCUGUGGGCAUAAAUAAAGUAUUCUGAUUCUGAUUCUGACUCAUAGAGGAAGGCUGAACUGGAGGGCCUCAGCUCUCAUGUACAUGGAUGUGUUUGCAUUUAUUAUAGCACCAGUGCUUAUAUAUUGAUUGUAAUUCUGAGGUACAUGGUGAUCAUACUAAUCAAACACCAUUCACUAUACAAUAAUAUCAAUUUAUUUUUCUGGUACCAAGUACACCUGAGGUGGAAAUAUGAAUAGAGUAAAAAAGCCCAGUGCUUAUUUCAGCCUCUUGUCCAAUCAGACAUUUGUUUAGAGCUAACUGUUUUAUAAUCAGAUAGAUUAUCAUAGCUGUGAAUAAAUAUUUUUCUAAAGUCAUAUACGUAUCUGUUUGCCUGGGGAAGGAAUAAAUCAUCUUGCCAGGACUGCAGUUUUGCAAAAACACAGAGGGAAGAUGAAAAAGAACACCUACAGUUUAUUGUAAUCUUAUCUAAUGCCAGAGUGCUGGAAUGAGCUCUACUUUUUUGUACAGCUUCUAACGUUCAUGCUGUGUUGAGUCAUAAAAGUGUUGAUUCAACCUGGGCAUGUUUUAAGCUUCAGUUAAGUUUGUGUCAGUGUUGUAUUAGAUUGCAUUACAUUGAAACAUUUCUCCCUCGCCUACAUUCAGCACCCGUCUGCCGCUUUCACUAACCGCCUUUACUUUUUGAAGCAUGUGUCAAAGUGCUAACCAUUUGUAGUUUUCUCCUCAUUUGUCACGCAUACAUUUGCAUUUCAGAUGCAACUUUAGGUGUAUGGACUCAUACUCUGGGAGGCACUGUUAUGCUUAAACUCUGAGCUUCAAAACAAGUGAUGAAUAAGAUUUGAUUUCAAAUAUCUGUUGUUUACACUCACAUUAGCUACUUUAAGCUCCUCAAAACAUGAGCAGUGACAGGGAGACCCCAACAUGGCGAUUUUUUGUUUCCACAUGACUUCUGGAGGAACUUUGCCCUCUGAAAGUUACCACUUCAUGACUGUGACAUUAAUGAGGUUGAACCAGAUUAAAGUUGCCAAUGAAGAGUUGACAGUUAUGAAAUAGCAGAAGACAACAGUUAUAAUGUCAGACAGCAGUGUAAGAAGUUCAGAGACAUGCUAGCGGUUUGGUCAUGUUAGGGUGCUCUUGUUCUCCAGUUAAUCAAUUAUCAUGGUAUAUCAAUACAUGUUUUGUGUAUCUUGUGUCGUCCGUUGAAUUUUAUUAGAUCACUGAGAAAUUUCCACUCCUGAUGCGUUAUGUAACCAAUAAAUGAAUAAGCGAUUUAUUUUUUAUCUAGGUUUUUGUGAUUGAUAAACAAACAAACAAAAAACAAUUAAUAGUGGGGUUUAUCUACCCAAUUAUGCAGCUUUACACUUUUACAGUUUGGAAUUGUAAAGUUUACCAUUUUAUAACAAAAAAAUUGGCAAAUAUACGUCAAGUAGCUUAUUUUCUAUUUGAGUUAUCACAAACUUUUUUAAGGGAUUCUUCAAAGACGCUUUUUUACACACUUAUUGUUCAUAGUUGUGAUGAUAUAUAUGUAUUUUCUGUUAUGUAAUUCACUUAACUCUUAGUUUAUGAAUUCACCAUAACAGCAUUAAUCCACUAACAGACAGCCUGGCACCCUGAAAGCCUUUUUUUUUUUUUUUUUUUUUUAGAAAGAUAAAACUCAGUCUGAGGCUGCAAUGUUUUAGUCAAAACUUAAUUUGUUAAUUUCCCACUUGGCAAAACUGACCAGCAUAUCAGCAACUCAGAGUUUGUUCUACAACUGCAAUUUAAAAGCCUGAAAUGAAAAUAUUUUGAACAGGACAAAAAUUUAUCAGGAGCUUUGUAGUAUUCCACAAGGACUGAAAAUGAAUGUGAAGAACCAGACAAAAGAGAGAAUGAGAAAAGUGAGCUUACAAAGAGAGUGACCCCUUCACAAAUGGAUACAAACUGACAAUAUAGAGUUGGUGCCUAAAUGAAUAAUUCAAAUCAUUUACAACAUUUAGUCAACCUGCUGCUUUGAGUGGGCUCACCAAACCCCUUUUAAUACAGACAACAUCACACAAAAUAUCAGGUGACUUAACUGAGGAAGACUGUAGAAAGUUGGUAGUCAAAGAAAAACUCAGAAAAACUGGUCUAAUUCCAAGAAAGAAUAGAGUAACAGAAAGGGUACUAUAAGAUAGAUCACUUCAAUGUCUUACUGCAUUCAAAAUAGACCUGUCUCUGGGAAUCACUGCAUGGUCUUUAAUUCAGUUCCAAAACUAUUGUCUUUUGACUGUGGUAUGAACAAAGUUGGUCACUGCAUCCAUAAAAUGGGUUUAAUAUUGUACUAUAUUAACCGGGAACUGUAUGUAAAUAUGAUCCAGAAACAUGAGCAACUUCUGUCAGGGCCAGUUAAAGGUGGAAUGAGGUGAAGCAGGAAACUGUCCUGUGGUCUGACAAUUCAGACUUUGAUAUUCUUCUCGGAAAUCAUGAACACUGUUCCCGCUGCUCUGAUAAGAUAAGAGGUGAAACUCUUAUCAGCGCACAGUUCAAAAGCCGCUGUCCCUGAUGGUAAAAGGAUGCAUAAGUACCUAAAGUAUGGGUAGCUGACACAUCUGCGACGGCACCAUUUGUGCUGAACAGUGUAUACAAGUGUGAAGGCAACACAUGCUGCCGUCCAGAAAAUGUCUUUUUCAGAAGAGACCUUGCAUAUUUUGUCAAGGCAAUGCCAAACCUCAUUCUGCACAUACUACAAGGACAUAGCUCUGUAGAUGAAGAGUCCAGGUGCUAAACUGGCCUGCCUUUAGUCCCAGCUUGUCACCCGCGGAAAACAUUUAAUACAUCAUAAAAAGACAUACAAUAAAGGGGAUCCCAGACUGUAGAGCAGCAUAAAUCCUACUCCAUGCAGGACUGAGACAAUGUUAAACUUCAGCUCCAGAAACUCGUCUCCCUGGUUUCCAAACAUUAGCAGUGUUAUUAAAAAGAAUAUAUGAUGCAGAAUAAUAUCCCAAGAUGUGUCCUAACUUUUUUGAAACACAUUGCCAGCAGCAAAUUUAAAAUGAUCACAUAUUUUUCCAUAAAACAACCAACUUUCAGUUUCAACUUUUGAUACUUUUUCUCUACAGUGCUGCCAAUCAAAUAUGGGAUUAUAGACAUUUGAAAUUUAUGAAAAUCUGCUUUUGUCAAAAUUUUACAGUGUCCCAAAUUUUUUCUAAUUGGAGUUGUUCUUCAUCUGUCUGUAAAAACAAUGUAACUGCUUAUCAGUGUAUGUAGCUGAGCAUACCAUUCAUUCAUCAUGAUCGUGUAACUGCUUAUGCAUGAGUAAAACUAAAAGAAAAGCGAGAGAAGUAACUGUAAAAGGAGUAAAAUGACAAGAAGUUAAUUUUAUUCUUAUUCACAAUUGUUUUCUCCCUUUUCAAGAAAGUGUGUGGUCUUCUGCUGCUGUAGCUCAUCUUCUUCAAGGUUUAAUGUGUUGUGUAUUCAGAGAUGCUAUUCUGCAAACCUUGGUUAUAAUGAGCGGUUAUGUGACUCACUGUUACCCCUCUAUCUUCUUGAACCAGUCUGCCCAUUCUCCUCUGACCUCUAACAUCAACAAGGUCUUUACAUCCACACAACUGCUACACACUGGAUAUUUUCUCUUUUUCAGACUGUUCUCUGUAAACCCUAGACAUGGUUGUGUGUAUAAAUCUUAGUAGAUUAUCAGUUUGUAAAAUACUCAGAUCAGACUGUCUGACACCAACAACCAUGCCACAUUGAAAUCCCCUUUCUUCCCCAUUGUGAUGCUCACUUUAAACUUCAACAAGUCGUCUUGUACACCUCUACAUGCCUAAAUGCGUUAAGUUGCUACCAUGUGAUUGGCUUAUUAGCUGUUUGUGUUAACAAGCAAUUGAACAGUUGUACCUUUUAAAGUGGCCACUGAGUGUAAAUAGAGAAUGAAUUCCUUUCACUGUUAUUGUUGCAUUGUAAAUCGACUGUUUCUUUCCAGCUUUGCAACUAAGAAGUGUUGUGUCUUUGAAAGCUGUCUAUGUCAGUGUUCAAAGGAGAAAAUGCUGAACCUGUAAGAGGUAUUUCAGUGUCAAUUUCGAUCUUACUACUCCUUCCACUGCUACAAAAAAAGACUAGAAUUUUAUAAAGUCAUGAGUUUUCCACUAAAGUUAGCAUUGAGUUACAAGACUAGUAAGAAAAUCACAAUGGGGGGGAAGAUGAUUGUGGUCAGCAAAACACCUAUAAGGAACAAAGCUCUAAAUCAGUGGUCCCCAACCUGUGGGCUUUAAACUAGUGCCUAUAAACCAGCCUAUAAAAGCCCAGCUAAAAUCAAGAGGGUGCAUGUAAUUGCCUUCCAGGUUUGUACUGCAGUGUGUCAUGUUAUUUAUUUUCCCAACCUUAUACUACAAAUAAUAAGAAAUUUUUUUAAUUAAAAUUUUUGUUUUUUAAUUCAAUUGAAGUGAAACAAAAUUUUAAAAUAAAAACCAAAAGUUUUAUCAGUCCUGGGCCUGAGUGGGUUGAAACUGUGCAUGUAGUGCAUGCAAGGUGAGGGGUCGUUAUCUGUUAAUGAGUGGGUGAGGAGACAUCAUAAAGUAACAUAUGACACUGGCAAGUUUUUAUUUACUUGGUUCUGCUAAACAAUGAUCUACAGAUUUGGGUCAGUGUAUCUGUAAGGAUUUGACCCUGAGGACACUGUCACCCGCACACUAAUGUUUGCCAGUCAGAUUACGCUGACCCUGAGUCAACCUAAAAUGAACAGUAGUUUAGUAGUAACAAUACCGGUGCGUAUCAAGUAUUAUACUGAUGUUUGUGUUGUGAUGGCCAUGAUUUAUCAAUCUAGUAGUAAUGUAGGGUCUAUCUAAAGCAAUCAAACAGACAGUAUUAUAGUAUAGAGAUGUGUUGUUUAAUGAAAACAUUACUGUGUAUUCCUUUAUUCUACCAGUCCAGUACACAGUAUGUUUGCUCUGAUGUUUAUUUAGAAGUUAAGUAUUAACUUGCAGUUAAAGGAAGUGAUUCAAGGCUGUUAAUCGUUGACGAGUCAAGGUCAGCUCAGGUCUACCCUGUGCUGCAUUAGGCUCUCAUGCAGACUCAAAGGUACCUACUCAUUUUUCAUUUUUGUCUUGAGUCAUUUUUAUUUUGCAUUAUAAAAAAAACCUCAACACCUAGUUCAGGGUCAAUAGACCUAUAAAUUCACUCAGAUUUGGCCCUGCUAAGCAUUGUUAUUGUGGCUGCUGCACACUGACUAACAAAGACUUAUUUUGGAUGCUUCUCAAGCAUCUUAAUGCCUCGAGCUAGCUUCUGCAAAGCAGGGACAUCAAACACCGGCCUCAUAGACGGAUCCAUGUGGGUGUUUGAGAAAUAGGACCUAUAAGAUACUGCGGUAGACUCAGUAAAGAAAAAGGGUGGUAUAGGAACAACAAUGAAAUAAUGUGACAAUGUUAAAAGCACAAAGGGCAAAGAGUGGAAGAAAAUAUGAUAUGUGGCUUAUGACAGCGAACUCGUCAUACAGUCAGAAUGACUCAUGUGAUCGGGGUUAUUCUCCCUCUAAGGAGGCGACCAAAGGGGAUAUGACCAAUUCACUUGCAAUUUGGAGUUACUGAUGCAUUGAUGUAAAACAGCUUUUUCCCCGAAGAUAGGCCGUCGUCAUACCUCAGUCUGUACAGCAGAAGAGUAUGAGUAAUGAGGAUGGAUGAGGAGUCGUGCCCUUACUUAGUCUUUUCUUAUAACUGCUGCAUCUAUUUGUGAAACCAUGAUAGCUUAACAUGAAAUUAAUAUAGUUUGUUAUUACAGUGAAAUAUGAUCAGUGCACCAGUAGAGUAUGAUUAAUAUAGGUUUGACGUUGAUGGAAGGAAGAUGUUUUAAGCAUCUGGAGCUGUCCGGAUGUAUACACUUUACUGGUUUGCCCAAGCACAUGUUGGAUGGAAGUUCAGUUUACACAGGCUGUUAUUUCUUCUAUCACUUUGAAUCAUCUCAGCUGGACAAACACUCUGAUCUUGGAGUUGUUCUAACAUCUGCUUCAUCACCAAGAGAGCAGGAAUGUUUAUGAUCUUUGACAGGAUCUUAAUGAGUGUGCAGACAUUUGCAGCUUGUUGCUGUAAAUAAAAUGUGCUAGGAUCUAACUACAUGUAAAAUGAGGGUUAAUCCAUCUUAAUGAAGGCUAAACCAGCAGAAAUAAAUGUAUUGAUUCUGUUGAGAAAUGUCAGAAUGCUGCAAAGUGUGUCCAACUCCAUAAUAAAACCCUGUAGGAGGCAGGGUUAACUUCCAGAACGCUUGCAGGACAGAGAUAAUGGAGGCACUUAUUCAUUCAUUCAUUCCAAACCUUGACCUUUAAUCGAAUUGGCACAUUACCAUGUGCUGAUAGCAACCGUUUCUAACAUGACCUUAUGUUGAUAAAUAUUUGCCAUGAAAACUAACACUGUGGUGAAAGUUUCUAGUCCAAGUUUUAGGAGUAUUGAGGUCUAAAAUAAGUACAUUUUAUCAUGGUGUGCUUCAUGCAUAUGUUGCAUAUUUUUUAGAAAUGUGUUUCAUUAUUAGAGUAUUUGUUAGCUUGUCUCCUAUAAUUGCUUAGUGAUUCAUGGUAUACUAAAUGUCAUUAGAAUACUAUGACGGCUUGUCUGUGACAGAUAAAACCAUUUCAAUAUUGCACAUACUGUAUGUUAGUGAUAAUUAAAAACCACACAGCCUUGGGUGGCUUCAGCAGCUUCCAGACUGUCCAAAAAUCCAACAUUAUGAUGACUUGUCUCUUUUAUCCAGCCUGUGUUGUUGAGUGAAGGCUGAACACCCUUCCAGGUGUCAUAAAAAGGCUGAAUGGACCAGCGGCUUUGUGCAAUGACAUGGUAGCAGUUUCAUGCCACUCCCCAGUGGUCAAUGACUCUGCUUCAUCAUUGUUCCAUGCCAUUGUGCAGCUUUUAAUAGGCCCAGCUGCCACCUGUCCUCCAUACAGUGUUAUCCAGCAUGGGAAUGGCAUCUUUAGACUGUUACUGUUAAUGGCUACAAUUGACAAGCUUUUGAAAAGCCAUUUCAAACACAACAACUUUUAAAAUAGACUCAGCCUGUGUGUGACAUAAGCAGCAGGCGGAUAAACAUAUACUGUGUGUUGUAAAGGAAAUCUGGAAGAGGAGCAGACUGACUCAGAAAUCGUACAGUUCCAUACAUCUGUUGUGGAUUUUGAAAUUAACUUGCUGUUCAUUUCAUGCAGCGCGAGCCUCAGCCCUCGACACCCUCCCUGCAUGCAAGCCCAUAAUGCCUGCAUAUUAACUGCUGAGUCAAAUCAGACAUUUACAGACAAAGGGCAAGACAUUUGUAUUAACGGUUAAUUGACAUUGCAUUAGUUUUAUGCAGAAUACAACACCCACCCCGGUCAAUAGUCACUUAUCUCUGCUGAAGCUCAGCUCUCUUAAAAAAUAAAGGGCACACCAAUUUUUUGUUCUCUUCAAUUUGGAAUCAAUUUUGUGGUUUCCUCGGGGGUACUGUACGUUGUCUUUGUGAAUAUUCAAUUUUUCCCAUUCAGAGCAGAUUUCUUGGAUUAUUAGCGAUACUAGCCAAAACACUUAAAAACGACAUAAAGAGUAGUGCGGUUGCAUAGAGAGUUAUCUAGAAUAACAGAAAGCGUUUUGUUCAGUCAGCUGGAUGCAAAACAUAUGACAUUUGAAUAUGUCUGUACUUCUCAAUUAAAUCGCACUGCUGAGUGGUUUUAUCCUUGAGAGUCAUGAUGAGAUUUCCCCGAGUUGAGAAAUUGCUAAUUACGUGAGCAUAUAGCAAAGUAAAACUCAUCUGGCACUGGAAACCAUGCUGCUUCAGUAGUCCUCCAGCAGUGCAAAAUGCCUACCUCUUCAUAUGCUUGGUAUCCUAUGAGAUUGGAGUUCUUAAUACAACCCAACUGCAUUUCCACCACUCUUUGCUUAUGUCAGCAGGUGAUUAUAUUGCUCUCAUUAUAGAGUUUUUUCAAUUCAGCAGUCAAUUAGAACAGCUUCACCUGCUGCCUUGAUUCUCCAAAGGCUAAACUUUGCACCAGCAUUUACCUUUACCUUCUCUCAUCAUGUAUUUUGCAUUGCUUGCAUGUCCGCUCAUGCACAGUUGUCACCACACAAACUUCUUCACCUAAAGGAUAUGUAGGUGUCGCAGUGGCAAAUGUUAAUUAAAUCCAGUUUCACCUGCAUUAAUGAACAUUUACUGUCAGUCUGAUAACAGAUUAAAAAAAAAAAAAAAACUACUGGGCAAACCUGUCACUCCUUCAACUUGAACUAUACGCUACAGAAAACGUUCAGAUGUUGCGUCUGAAUGACCUAAAUAAACAAACUGCUUGAACAGCAUUUUACAGGUGGAGGGAGUGUAGAAUUAAUGAAUGCUGUUGUUGCAUUUUAAGGUAUCAUAUAUGUUAGACAUGGUAAACAGCUUGUCUAGUUACUGAUAAUGAAAAAAAGACAAUAACAAUAUUUGGGUUUGUAGUGCAGUUAGUAUAUCUCACUGGUAGUCCAGCAAAUUUUAGAGGUAAAAUCAGACUUAAUGAUCAGACAGUUUUAUCUUGAACAUCCCUAAAGCUGCUCGUAUGACCUGGUUACUUCAGAGCGGGUCUGUUUUUAUCUGCCAUGAAGCUGGAUUAUUAUCAGGGCUAUUCAAGGUGAAUAAUCUUAGCUUAAAUUUGCAGAUGAAGCUGGAAAGUCAUCUUAGUAGGUUGCAUUACUUAUACAUCAGAGUUAAUUGCAUGCGUUAAUGCACUGAUGGGUUAAUACUGAGAGUUAAUACUGAUUAGCCAUUACAGCUAGCUAAUUUUUUUGUUUGCUUUCAUGCAUCACAUGGGUAUUUAGCUAGCAAUGUGAAAAAAUAGUAUUUGGUAUCCCUGCAAAUAUGUUUUAUUGACAGUUUUUACAGGGGAAAAAAAAGAAUGAGUAUAAUUUUAAAAGUAGUCUUUUUUCGAUUUUCUUUUACUUUGAUGAAAUUGUUGACAGAUGUGUGAACUAGCGAUCGAGUGAUAUCAGAUUUUCAAUGAUGGAUACCAAUACCAAUCAUGUGAGAGCAGGUCAGCUGAUGGCUGAUAUAUAAUGCUGAUAACACAUUAUUGUUGUAUUUGUUGUUGGUUGGAUUUUACAAGAUAAUAGAAUUCAUUGAUACUAACAAAUGAGACAACUGCUAAGCUUGAGUGAUUUUUUAAAUUGAUUUAUAUAAAAUUGAAAAUCUAAAAUCACUAAGAAGGAAAAAAAAACAAGGUAAAUAAUAGGGUUGAAUUAAAGAAAAAAAAGAGAUUUAAUAUGUAGUCAAUGGGGAUGGAAAAAAUGAGUUUUCAUCAAGUAAGGAUAAUGAUAUCAUCGCUCUUGUGAGGGCCGAUGCCGAUUUUGUCAAACUACCAUUAAUCAUCCAUCUUGUGUGCUAACCAAUGUUUUAAUCAUAUAACCAUCAUUCUACGAUGUUUCCCAAAAUACUCUCUUUUUUAAUGAAAAUAUAAAAUAUCGUAAAGCUUAAAAACACCUAAAACACAAACAAGAACUGUGAGGUUUUGGAUAAAGAAUACAUGAUUCUGAUAUGCAGUUUGAAGAAGGUUUUUAAAGCAUGUGCAGCAGUGAAGCUGUUCUGUCCAGACCUCAGCGGGCCUGUUAGCUUGUUUAGAUGACUGGUCCAGUGAAAUGACCCAAAUUAGGUUGUUAGAAGAAUAGCUUUUAUGUGCCAAAGUGCCCCCGAUGGGGACGCAUGAACGAAUGCGUGCACAGCUUUCAAUCUGGACAGUAGAAAGUUUUCCAAUAUCUCAUCCACCAUGUUAGACGUGCCAAGGGCUCAAUGAGGGCUUCAUUUCACUGCUCUGUGGUGACAAAAUGUGUGCAGACAGAUAUCUCAUAAAACCAAAAACAGCCAUAAUUCAGCCUGUGAACUAUAUUCAGUAUCUGAUAUUUGUUGUGGAGAUAUGUCAGGCUUAGCUGAGACUUUGACUGUUCUUGUCUCAUAGUAACUUAGUCUUUUUAUUGUAAAUAUUAAAAAAUGUUGAGUAAUUAUUCAGCCAGUACCAAAUUUGUUUUAUUCACUGGACCUAAUUCAUUACAAACAAACACAACAGGAGGGUCAAAGCACAACAUUUCUUAAUCUUCAUUGUUUGGAGUUUUUAAUUUUUUUAAAACUUGUAAUUAUAUUUUUAAAAGUUAAAUCCCAGUCGACGUUUUAUCUGCUCUGAGGCAUAAUUAUUAUUCAGCAAAUUAAAUGCUCAACUCAAAGCACAGUUAUGGGAAUACUCGUAAGCUUUUCUUUUGUUGCACAGUGAAACAUAAAACCCACAUAUGGAAAGACUGAGAAGCCAUCAAAUAAGAACACAAGUACAUAAGUAUUCCCAUUAAACACCUACCUCACUAUAAUGUGUGUACAGUUGCUGUAAUUGCAUAUGUUCUAUGGAUUGUUUUAAUAUACGGUGUAAUGAACGUGCCAAUUACACUUUCAAUAUGAAAUUAUGACUCCGUAAUCUGCUGGAACCAGGAGAGUGUACUGUAUGGUUUACAUGGGUUGGCACAGUAAUAAGCCUCAAAUGCUGACAGUGCAUCAGCAGCAAAGCACCAUGGCCCUCAGAGAGCCAUCAAGCAGAAAAUGAUAAUUAAUUAAUCAUGGAGUGUGAGGCAAGCUUGGCUCUAUUAGCCCUCUGGUAAUUCCUUCCCCCCCUCGGCCUCUGCACCAACCGUAGAGAUCAGGCUUCUCCAAUCAGGCCUGUUUACCUGGCAUGCCUUUGGUCACUGCACUAACAGCUGGUUGGACAAUGUUCAUGACCUCUAAAAUUUACACUAUUUAGCCACAAAGUAAACAAUCUCAAGAUUUGCCUUGUGCUUGUGUACACAACAGCUGCUUAAUGACUUCCUCCCUCCUCCUCGUUCACAAUAAAACAACAGAGAAUUUGCCGCAGGGGCGACCCAGACUCCAGACCCUGAGAUAGUUUGUGUUCUAUCCUAUAAGGUAAACUUGUGGUUCACAUAUGUUGUUUAAUGGUAUAUCGCUCCACAUAUUGCCUCGGUUCAAAUGUGGGCCACAUAUUGCGAGCUGCUGUCAUGCUUUUGGUUGCCGUCCAACGCCUUUCCCAAGCGUCGAAACCACGUUCUGCUGAAUCAUGCCUCUUUCGUCUCACAAGACUCCGUUAAUUUCAUAAGAGUGAAAUUGAGAUUCAGCAGAUCUUGAUACAUAGGCCAAACGCCGGUGUGCUUUCCCUCUGGAGUUUGAGGUCAGGAUGAAGAAAAUCUUAAAGAAAAAGUGAUGAACUGAGACUGUAUCACUGCACACUUUUGUAAAAGAAGAACAGCACAUUAAACUGUCAAUUAAUGGUGUAUCAUUAUUUUUUAUUUAAGGAUUCAAUUAUCUAGCAAAAAAAAAACAAGCUAAAUACAUUACCAGAUUAGAGUUUGGAUUAUGUUUGUAUAAAACAAGCCACAUACUGCUUUAUUAUCUCAAAGUCCCUCAUGUGCAUUUAUGACUCUAUUGCUGAACAUAUUGGUCUCUGCUAACAACAGAUAAGGAUUGACUUUGAGUUUAUGAUGAUUAACGAUAACAAUUACUGAUACAUACUCAAAAUUAAUCACUUUAAUUAACAUUUUAAUAUGUAGUGUAACUGCAGAGAAAAGCCAUUCACUGUUAAAAUUUGCUCCUUAAAAAUACACAUUCUCUGUUAUUACACUGCACUACUACUGUUAUUGUAUACUGAUAUUGAAAUCAUCCUGCAGGCACACGAGUCAUCCUCAUAUACACAGUCAAGGUAAAGAUCCAUAAAUUGAUUUCUAACUAUGUAGAAUUGACUGUCUGGCACUUACAGCGUGGCAGUGCACACCAGCUAUUACUCACUGGUGAAUUUCGUAUGCGCAAGCGUGCCUGUGCAAUUACAAAGCAAGCCCAUAAAUUAGUCGCUGAAUAUGUCUUAAAUCAUGAGGGAAUGCAUCAAAUACUAUCUCUCCUCACCAAGACGAACGUCUACUCUGUAAUAGGAACUAGAGUACUGUAGUUGUGUGAGUGUGACAACAGAUAAUCGCAGCAGGCCCCCGAGGAGAGAAGAAGAUGAUUCUUUGGGAGUGGGAGGGAACUGAAUUUCAGUGCUUUCAGUAAGUGAUUUUUCUCUCUUUAGCAGCCUGGAGGAAUCUGAAUUUAAAGCUGUGUUUUGACACCUUAGAUCCAUAGAAUUUUAAGUGAUAUAUUUUAGUCCUUAUUUGCCUUACCAGCUUGGAUUGUGUUUUAUCAAUUUGAAGUGAAUGACAAAAGAGGCUGUGUUGGUGGCAGCUGCUGGGUUACGUGUUCCCUCUUAAGUCACUUGAAGCCAUGGAUCAUUGGUGUUCUGAUACCACUUUUUCCUUUUAAUAAGAUUUCAGUUCCUGAAUUUAUAAAAAUACACAUCUGCCACCGAUAUUAACAUGAACCUGACACAAGUAUAAGACUUAAAAGAAUAACUGCUGUGUUUUUCUAAACCUAUACCUGCUAUUAUUUUACGUCUGGCAUGGCUUAUAGGAUGUAUGCCAAAGAGCUGCAUUAUAUUUUGUUGUUUUUUACAGGCUGUAUAAAUCAUAGAGGUAAUCUCAGGGAUGUAUCCCAUUGGUUUCUAAAGAGGAUUGUUGAUUGCUAAAUUAGAAAUUCUGACAACCUGACUUUCGGUCAAACCAGAAAUGGACCAAGAGGAGGAGUGGAGGCGGGCCUUCAGCCUCCCGAUAAACUGCUACAUCGUUUCUGCCUAUCUGUCAACUCAGUCAUACCCCUAAUCUGCAAAUCUGUGCAUAACUCCAGGUUUUCAGAUUAAAUGUCUUAUAAAAUAAUUCCGAAUAUGUACGGAAUGUGGGGUAUUCAGAAUAGACCUUUUUUUUUUUUUUUUUUUUUUUUUUUUGGACCAGACAUGUUUCAUUUUGCCAUAGUGAUGGUUAUUUUAACCUGUUUGUUAUUACUUAUUCCUUGGCUUUUGGAGCCAACUCCUAGUGGACAUUUAAGGAACAGCAGUUUUUGCACCUCCAAUUAACUCCAUUUUUCAUCAUUCAGUCAAAACGUAUAAAGAACAUAAGUGUAUAUUAGAAUAAAUAGUUCCAUAUUAUGAAGCUUUGAUCAUCAUGUCUCUCUUAGGGGUGUGUGCUUAAACCAUCAAAACAGUUCUUGAUUUAAAGCUUCUUUUGUACCAGAUUCAAUUAUGUCUGUGUGUUUUAGUGAGGGAAAAUACUUACUUCUCAUUCAAAACUCCUGAAAGGUCAAACAAUCAAGGCACGCUAAACUAAAUUCACGCUGAGAAUUCGCGAACAAGCAGUGUCUCAUCUUGCAGCUUCUUUUUACUCUCCUGAGGAAAGCCUAGACUCAUAUCUUUGGGGUGAUUUAAUCAGAUUUGCUUUGACUAAGGUUACAGUCUCUGCUUUUGCAACAGCAUUAAUAACACUAUGCUAAACAUGAUUGGAAAUCCCCUCUGCUUUACUGUUCUGAUGCAGCUGUUACCAGAAGCAGCCAUGUUGAUUCCAUGGUAGGUGUCCUGGUUGAAUGAUUUACAGUGGGGAAAAAAAAGUACAUUUAUAUGGAUUGAUACAUGAUACUAAUUUAAGGUGGUGUUGUAACUAGUGUAAGAACGACUGUUCAGAAAAAUACCAAAAAGUCCAUCUAGAAUAGUCAGGUUGAAAUCUUAUGCAACAACCUUUGGAGUCCAGUUUCAGCUGCUCCGAUCCCACGCUUCAUCACAUAACAUCAAACUGUGAGUGCAUUGCAAGCGAUCCACUGCAUUUCUGAUCUUGCUCGUCCAGGAAAAUUACUAGUUGUAUCAAGAAUAAAAGCUAUCUAGAGGUUAUGCGAUUACUCUUGGAUGUAAAGAUAUCAUAGGGCAACCCUACAUUAUUUUCAUGCAAGCGAUGUUUCAACCCUUGUCAACAUCUGAAAGGCAUUAUCUCCAUUACUGCAAAAGAAGACAGCAGCAUGUGCUUUUAUCCCUGCGCGAUGUCCCUGGAGGACUAUGAACAAUUUCACCAUGCUACAAACCAUCUCAUCCGCACAGGUCUGUUUAUAUAUAUAUGGGUAUUUUAUGGGCCUGUGGUCUGGCAAGGACAGAAGAAUUAGCCUGAUCCACAUUCAUUAACCUCAUUCUCAUUCUCCGGAGCAACAGUGCUGCAGAACUAUCUGUCACCACAGCACAAAAAUGAUGAAUUGGUAAUCAGUUGAGAGCUGUCAAGAAAGCCCCAGGAAUGCAGAAUUUACACACUUGUUUGCCCUUGCAUUAACCGUUUGUAAUCAAAUCACUAUUUAUCGUUGGUUCAGUUAGACAUGUUUUAUGACUCAAUAUUGUCAUGUUUAGGAAGGGAGACAACAGUGGUAGCAGUCCUUGUGGGAGGCAGCAUUGAAUACUGGGGAGAGGUGGGAGGUGGCAGUCUCUAUUUCAAAUAACCAGACCUCCCCCUGAAGCUUAUGAUGUGUGUUGGUUGUGAUUCAUUUUUAAUCAUCCUUUUACAUUUUUAAUAACUUCCUCAAUGAGAAUGGCGUGUGUGCACAACAAAUCAAUACGCCUAGCUGCUGUGAAAAAAAAUUAAAAUGAACCUGCAGGAAGGAAUAAAACAUUUGGAAAAAUGGUUUCUAAAAUUGGAUUUAAUUUACAUUGCAAAAAGAAAUCAACAGGCAGUUAAGUUAAACCAUGCUAACGCGCAUCCUCAACCCCAAUUAAAAGAAUGUCGGAGACAUCACCGCUGGGGUUUCAAGCCCAACCUGACCGCUCUCUGAGCAAGAGAAUCCCGAGGAGGAAUCAAUACAGUGACAGCUGAGCCCAAGAAAGUCCAGACUGUAUCCUAAUUAGGGGGGUCAGUGUGUACUGAGAAUUUCUCUCACUCACCUAAUUGUGCUUUAAAGUUCAGACACAGUGAGUGGUUGGAUGGGCGAGUGCUUGGGAGGCCAGCCGAUGGGUAGUCUACCAAUCUGUUAAUGGCUCGUGUUUUAAAAGUUAAUGAGAGCUGGAGUUAAAAGCAGCAUUAGCUAAAGGCUAGGUGGAGCUGAGCUAUGUGGAUUAACUUUUCAUUACCUCCUCAUUAGGUGGGCCUGGGGAUUAGAGAGACCCCUGUAUGAAAUGUAGCAUGAAAAUAUCCAAGUGGGCCUGAGUUAAGACAGUUUGGAAGCGGAGGAAAAGUGGAGGAGUUAAAGUAAGUGAUUGAGCUUUUAGCCUUUCCUUUUCCUCACCGCUGAGAAUCCCUCCACAGUUAGGUUGACAUUGCUUGCUCCCUAUUAGCCAAUAAGAAGGCUUGUAGGAGGAGGCAAGCCCACCAUUUCCCAAGGAGGUGACUUUGAAAAACUGGAUUGGGUCAUUAAAAGUAGACUAAGAAGGCCAUUAUAAUUCCAACACUGAAGUUGCCAUUUAUUUGCAUUGUGAAGUCCCUGGUGUAGUAGUUAAAUGUCACUUGCCAACUUUAAUGAGAGUAAAGUUAGGAAGUAUGGCCAGAGCUGAUUAGAGUGUGUUCCUAUAGCAGCUCCUCAUCCAAUGCAGUGUCCAAAGGAAUCAUCAACACUUAACUCUGAGAGACAGACUGGACAAUGGGGUCCACAGCCCCCCACUUCCCCCACUACCAUCCCUACACCUUAAUUACCCUCAAUGAGGAAAUAGAAGGCCAGUGAUCUUCAAACUCUCAGUAAGUGAUUUUUAAUGUGGUGUGCCAAUGGGAUGUGCCAUUAAAAGUGAGUUUCUGUUUCUGUCUGUGGUCCAUGACUUUUCCUCCUGUAUUGCAUGCAUUCAUUAAAAUAAUGCUAAAGAGGGAAAUGCAAGAAGUAUAGCAUUAUUUUUUUUCCCCCCAGCAACAAUCUGAGGCAAAAGUUUGCAGCAUGCUCGGUUUUUCCAUGCACUUACUCUUUUACGCUACAGUGAAAGUUUUCUUGGGUUAAUUUAGCUCAGAGAAACUCCGAUUAAACUAGCUCCAAAUGUCCUCAAUUAAGUUUCUUUUUACUGCACAGGUUGUAAAUUAAUGGGAUGUAUUUAAAAAGGUAAUUAUCAUCUUCCAUCUAUCUGUGUCAUUCUUAGCUACUGAAGAUUUUACUGUUUAUCCUGUGAGUGAAGUGUUCGUCUCUGAAAUUGGUCAACAUUUUCAAACUAUUCAAAUCUCUUCUAUCCAAUCAAAUAAAUAAUAUUUUGGUUUUUGAAAAUACACAACAUGUACAUGAGACGACUGAGAAGUAGUUUGAGCUCACGAGAGUAGGCUAAUCUUUUUAAUUUGGUCCAAGUUUGUAUGCAAAUUGAUAUUAAGCACACAGAAAUGGUUAAUAUUGAUCAUCUUCUUAGUAUGCAAGUUGGUAUGCAAAUUUGUAUUUAACAGACUGAAACGGUUAGUAUUGAUUGUCUUAUCUAAUUCUGAGGCUCAAAAAGUGGAGGCGGUAAUGUUUUAGUAUUCCUUCCAGCGGAAGUACCAGACUGUGGUCUCACUGUGUUUUAAUUGACAAUCAAGAUGGCAAAAACCCUUUCAUCAGUUUGUCAGUUUGUAUUGAUAUUUUUGUCCUUUGGAGAUUUACAACAUUUCAUAUCGCCGUUAUGAAUCCAAGAGCCAAUAUAGGUAGGAAGUAUGUCAGUAGAAACACAAUAUCUACCCAGGAGUAACUUCAAGGAAUGAGGAAAUGCCUGCCGCACUUGAAGCAAAUUGUUCCUUGCGGCUGCUCCAAUAAUCUUGCUAAACAUUGAUGUGACCAGCUAAGAACAAUCAACACCUCGAGCAAUAUAUCAAAGGGGUACCAUGUUCCAUGCCUGCACAAUUCAACAUUAAAUCCCUUAGAGUUUUCUUGUCCGUUUGUGUGACCUGUCAGGGAAAAAAAAAGAAAUAUAAAACAUGUGAAAACAACCCUGAGAGGUGUGAAUAUAAUCAGAAUUAAUGAGGCCAUAUCAUCUGAGAGGAACAGUCUGGAGUGACUGCGAGUGCGUUCACAUCAUUUGGGUAAUUAAAGCAACUUACUUUGACAUUUACCACACGUUUGUGAGAUUUACAUUAACGAUAAGUGACACGAGGCUGGCCCCUCUGAUUGCGUUUAUGAUCAAAUGAUUGUUCCUCUUUAUUUUGACUCUAAUAUUGUAAUUCUGAUUCCUGAAUAGGGAGAGAAUCUUUUGACAAGAAGACAUUUGUGCAACACCUAUCACACCAUUACGCUCAUUAUAUCAUUAUCCUUGAUGUUUAUCCUGUGAUAAUUAGACGUUAUGUACUGCGGUGAGGCAAGAUAUUCUUUCACCUUCUCUGCAAUUGCAAUCCGUUGUCAUUCCCGCAGAAAAAAAAAGAAAAAAAAAAAGAGUCCCUUUUUAAAGACGCUGCUAAUGCUGGCCCCUGAUAACUUCUUACCUCUUGUUCAUUUGGGGAGUGCACGUUCACUGUGACACCAUUUCAAUAGCUGAUUUCCCUUGCUGGCCAAUUAAGCAACAGCACAAAGGAAGUUAGUUGGAGUCACACAACUGUUUUCUUUCCUGUAGUGGAGUGGAAUGAUCACCCACCAGGAAGGAACAGAAUUACAGCACAGGAGAGUCCAUUUCGGUGACAUUGAGAAUCAUACAACAACAAUAAAAUACUGAAAGUAGAGAUAAAUGCGCUGAUAAUGGCAGGUGAAAAAGACAGAUUGAUUCAUAAUAGGGGAUUCAGAUAUCCUGAGGAGGAAGCAGAUGCAUGAAUUUCUGUGAGCCAGUGAGGGUGAGUCAUGCAAAAGCUCACAAGGAGGUCUGUUAAUAUUCCAAACUGUGAAUGCCAAUUAUCGAUCGUUAUGCAUGUGGGUAUUUAUCAUGCAUUGUAAGCCCCAGGGUAAUUAAAUGCAAGUGCUAUGCUUAUGAUAGCUAUCAUCAGUUUCUUUGCCAGAGCGGUCAAUCAUUCUAUUAGAGGCCUUGCUGGAGCUCUGUAUGCUACGAGGCCAGUGGCAACGCACCGCCUCGGGCUAGCAGAACUAAUUAGAAGGUUGCCCAGUGGAAUUCUAUCAGCACCGUGUCCAAUCCACCCAGCCCAUUUCUGCUUUUUCGUCCCAAUUUUCAUCUUAAUUUCAACACGCUGUACGUCUGUGUUUCUCUUAAUUCCCCCGCCUCCCUCUCCAGGGCCAUCCAGCACAUUUACUUGAUAUGACUGACAAAUUUGAUGCCACAUUACAAUUCAACGGGGAGCAUUAAAAGUGGAGUUUGUGAAUUCAUGCUAUUCUCCUAAGGUUCAGGAAAUGACAGAAAUAUUUCAUUUUUGUCAUUGUAAGGGUUCCUUUUGGUCGUUUCGAAUUUCCAGACUACCAUUAGGAAUACCUUUUCAGACUUAAAAGGAAAAGUAUUUUUACUUCGAAAAAAGUGACCUUCCUUCAGUGUAAGGUAUGUUUUAAUGAAGAAAAUGCAAAUUCCUAGGUGUGUGUUUUAACAAGACUGAUAAUGAGUUCCAUUAUUUUCAAAAUCUGUCAUUUUUAAAAUAAUUAUCCAUUCAUUAAAUGUCUUAAGAUUAAAACAAUUUUAAAAAUUCCUGUCAUGCAUCUGUUUUUAUUCCCCAAACAAUCUGAAUCCUUCCAAAGAGAAAAUUUGAAUCAUCAAAAUCAAAGACAAUGCAGAGCCACACACCACAGAAACUUAAAAGACACUCUUUGACUGCUUUUACUAAUAAACUUGUUGAUUGUAUGUCAUUAGUGUCCUCUUUCACAUUGUCAGACCACCUUGAGAUAAGUACACUCUACAACAAAAUGGGGAUGAUUUGGAGUCUGAUUCCAACAACAGUCAGCAAAGACCUGAUAAUCUCAAGGUUCAAAAGGUUAUCUUGCCACAUUUUCCUGUGUUGUAAGAAGUGCUAAGAGUGACUUUUAGGCCCUGAUCGUCUUGGAAGACAAUCAUGGCUGCCCAUAGUUUGAAAUAUUCAGUAUUACGGUCAGAAAUCCUGUUGUGUUUGGGGAACAGCUGAGCUUGCAUUCUGUGGAUUGUCACAUGAAACAAAAAUGAUAGCCAAUCAGUGGGCAAGCUGACUGCGGAAGAAAGCACAAUAUAUGCAACCUUGGCUACAAUAGUAAAUGUGAAGCAUAAACUGUUUGUGUCAGUAACAGAGGACUAACCUGCUGACUUUGAGCAAAAACACGAGUGCUCAUACUAUGUGUCUUGUAAAACACCACAAUUGAAGUGGAGGGGAAAGGAGAGGAGUUGAACAAAAUUUGCUCAGCUAGCAACAUGUAGCGCCUUUAGCUCAACAUGUUUGUUUACUCCAAAGUCACGUUUGAUGGUGAGAGAUUUUCUAAGAGUUUUGCUUUCGAGACUCUGGACUCUGGUUGCUUGUGAAAAGAAUCUUUUUGUUUGAGGUGUGCUGGGAUGGCUAUACACCUUACACUAUAAGAACAAAACUGUUAAAUCCUACAGAGACCUACAGAGACUGGUAAAAUGCCAUCGAAUGCAAACUUGCAUGCCAAAGGUUCUUGAAAACUUUCUCUCUUCGUCACUAACAUUCAAUAAAUGAUUGAGUUAAUGGCUUAUAGAUACUUCGAUAGGUCACUUUGGUUGACUCUGUUUUACUGUAGAACUUUUGGACAUAUGCUACGUUCCAGUUACCUUGGAAGUCGGAUGUUGGAGCUGUGAGUGACGCUACACCCGAGUUGACAGCAUUACAGUUAAAAAGUCGGAAAACGAAGAUGGAUGCCUACAGUUACCCGUUGUUAGCUGUUGUUUACAAUUGUCAGUUGUUGUUAGCGGUUGUCAGCUGUUGUUAACCAUUGUCAGCGGUUGUUAGUUGUUGUUAGCAAUACCAGUUGUAAACAACGCACAACACAGUAUUUUACUCUGCAAACACUGUAGCACCUUGUCCACAGUUAGACGUUGGGCAGAACAACAUAUACCACUUAUUUAAUUUUACAAAAACAAAACAGAAGUGCUAAUAAAUAAUACAUUACAAGAGCUUUUGCUGUUACUCUUUACUGUUGAUGCACUGCGCUUCCAUCUUGAAUUAUGACAUUGUCGUUAAGUCAGGGUUGACGAGGAUCGUGCAACUUUCCAAGUCAGAAAUCCGACUUCAGGGGGGGUGUUCCAGAUGAAUUUCCGACUCAGAGCUUGGAAAUCUUGACUUUAAAAGACAACUGGAACACAGCAUUAAAACCAUAUGGGGCUUCAUAUUUAGAAUAUCUGAGAAUCAAGAUAAAACAUGUUUCAAUACCCUUCAUAUGUCACUGAUAAACAGGUGAGCUAUCAUAAAUGUACCUGUGAUGAUCAACUUUACUGCCAAUUAGAGUUUUAGUUUUGAACAUAACACACAAUCCUUAGAUUUUGUUCUGAAAAUGCUAAUUAUGAAUAUAUUCCCCUGUUAAGACACUCUGCCACUUAAAUGAAUUUAAUUCAAGCAUUAGAAAUGGUCAACACAUUUGUAAACAGAUGUCCUCUUGUUCUUUCAUAAACACUCUCAGAAACAGGCAGAGCAAAGAGAGAGGGAGGGAAAAAAAGGAAAACCUGCUCAUCUCAAUCAGUGUUUGAUCUACCCCCAUGCAAGAGCUCAGCAAUCCUUCAACUCUACAAUGAAUUACUUUCUCAGCCAGUCACAUGUUAAAGUUAAAACAUUACACAGAGCACUGCUAGUACAAUAAUUAUACCCAAGGGUUACUCAAGCACAACUCCUUUUUUUCCUGUAGGCAUCACUGUAUUCGGCACCUUUGAAGCUGUAUUAUCUUAUAUCCGUGUUGUACUGUACAACUAUAAUCCUGCACAUUAAGUGCCCUUUGUAUUAAAGCCUAGGCAAUUAUAAUUCUUGUUUUCUUUUGAUUUGACAGAUGUGUAGACAUAAAAACAGACUGAUAAAUGUAAAAGCAGACAGACAUUAAGACACGUGGUGAAAAUCAGACAGACAAUGAAAGUGAGAACAAUAAGGGAAUGAUGAAGCAGCCAGAUUUAGACUACGUGACAUGAGUUGUUUCUGUCAGCGUCAGUACUACAGGCCUCCUCUGGGGUUUGGGGAUAGUUCUAUAUACUGCCAAAGAUGGAUAAUUGGUUAUUUUGAGUAUGAUUUAUUUUUUUUUUUUCACAAAGCUCAGCUGCGGCAGCUCAACCUCGAGUAAACAACACACCUUGGGAAUAGCCUCUGUUCAGCCGUCUCAUGUCUGUAGAUUUCAGUCCAAAUGCACAUUUUAUUUCUGCCAGAUGUAAAGAAACGUCCAGACUUGAUGAACGAGGAUAGAGCUAUUUUGAUUUUCUCUGAUCUCUGCAUCUACAUCAGUACAAACGCAGAUCCGCUGAAUAACAAUUUUUCUGCAUCAAGUUAAUAGAAAAGCAGUAUUUUUUGCUUUUUUACAAUGUAACUCUUUCAAUAUUGAAAAAAAAAUUAAAGUAUGUAAUUUAGAUGCAAUAAAAUUGAAUUCAUUGUUUGACCUUAAAGUAAACAGUAUUUUAUCUGCACUUGCACAGAGCCCGGUUUUUAAAGGUAAUGCAGUUAACUGGCAGUUUUCCAAAAUGUCAGCUGUUUAAAAAUCCCAUCAGAAGCAUGUUUGACUUUUUUUUAAUGAUGUUUAGCUGUUUUUUUACUGUUUUGUUGUCUGGGGUUUGUAAGGCUUUCAUGUACACAGGCUCAAAAUGGUCCAAGACACAGAGAAACACAAAAACAUAAAAGGCAAAAUACAAAAAAACUAAGGAAUGAAUACAGAUAAACCUUACUUUGAUGUAUCGACCCACAGAUCCACAUACUGUGUAAAAAAGUAUGGUGCAUGCACUGACUAUAGCCGAAUUUAAUAGAGUUAAUUAUCCUUAUUAGUUUUAAUCGUUAAUAAAUAACAAUGCUAAUAGGGUUCUCAGAUGGAAGGAACGGGAACAGGGUGCAGCAAAAAUCCACAUGCACAGACAGACACUCUCUAGUAUCCCCAUGCUGAACCCUCUCUUCAUGAGAAACAGGAUUCUACCAGAACAUCUGUUAGCACAGCUGGUUUCAUCAUUUAGAUGUUUGUAUGAUAUUAUCCACAGUGGAUCCUGGUCUACAGGCUUUCAUUGUGCUGGUAUUUGUUUGGACAGAGUUUACUUCCUCUAAAGUCAUUAUCCCACUUAAAAUAUAAUAAAAUAUCUCUGGCUGUUUCUAAGAUAUUACUCAAAUGUUUUUAAAAUGUAGUUCAGGGGUAAAUAUCUUGAUUCAUUGUAAAACACAGGAGUGAUAGUAAAAUGACCUCUAAUCGUUUAAAAUAAAUUGUAAAUCAGUUUAAAUUCCACUGAUAUCCCGGUGUCUUUAAGUCAGACAUCCCUUUCAUUUGUAACUGCCUGUCUAUCUUAGCAUCAGAUGGUUCUCAAUAAGCUGAGCAGCCAGGCAUCCUUUCACUCCAAACUCCACCAUCUUUUCCUGUUGGAACCCCUCGUGUGCUGCACCUGGAGCAUCUCCAAAGGGAGCCAUCCAGGAGAAACAAACCAGGUGUCUGAACCUCUUCACUCUCUGGCUCGUGUCUCCAGUAACCGUUCAAUGCUGAAGCCCCCCUGACUCGUUAAAGUUCUCACCUUAUUAUCAUGCAGGCUGAGGCCAGCCGCCCUGUAGAGGAACAUCGUGUAGCCACAAGUAAAUUUAUUUGGGUCUCCAACCAAAAAUCUUGACCUAAGGGCGAGGUUCAGGGUUCAGAGCAAGGUUAGCCAGUUAAUCAAGAGCAGUGCUCAGUGGUUCAGAGGCCUGAGCUGACUGCACCACAGUGUUCAAUCUGUAUCUGGAAACUAGUGUUAAGAUCCGAUUGUAAGAGGACUGAGAAAUAUCUGCAGUACUUUUCUUUGUGGCUAUGUCUGAUUAUGUUUGUGGUUCUCUUGUUGCAGUAUUGUCCAAAAACUUGCAUAAGUUAGUAGACAUGACAAAAAAUGAAGCUCUGCUCCAUCUCGAACAGUUGCAAGAAACGUAUUUUUAACAUGAACAGAUUGGGGUGGGGUGGGGCAAAUAUGUUUGCACUUCUUAGAAACAGCAGUUGUCACUUUGCAACUGUAAGUGAGAAAAUAACACAUCUAUUCAAGUAGCCGUACAUGAUGUACAUAGAAACCCCAAUUUACUAGCUCUUUUGACCCGAACUGGCAGUCAGCCUCAUUUCCUGUACAUCAUUACACAAAAAAACAAAGAGACAUUUGUUCUUCGGAGGAGUUACGUGUUUGUGUCAGUGUGUUAAUUAGAUGACUUACAGAUAUGCACUUGGAGUCUUAUUCAGUACUGGUUGAAAGAAGCUAAUGAACAACUCAGAAUCUCGUCCGUGAGGCCUGAACUUUAAUGAACGCAUAUACGUCCAAGUAACUUGUUACUGUUAUAGAGAUUACUGGUUUGAGCAGUAGAAACAUACAAAAUAACAAAAACAAAACAUCCUCAUUUACUGUCUGCUGUGUGUAAUGACCCUACCUUUUCAAAUAAAACAUUGAGAGCUAUUGUAUAAACCAGAUUUGGUUUUAUACCUUUGGAAAUUCACAACAAAUGGAUUUCAGCCACUAAUCAAACCAAUAAUUGAACAUCAUUCAUUGCCCACAACACUCCUGCAGCUCUGUGCAGUUUGCUCCUGUUAUGUCUGACUGCAUGGAUUAGCUGUCAGCACCUCCACCUUUGGCUCUGCAGAACUGUGUAGAGCUGUGCUAGUGCUUUCAUCUUGGCAGCACUUAAUUCCGUGCACUCUUCUCACCACAUUAUUGCAGAGGUGACCCGUGGAAGAUGUGGCACAAAUUCCCUACUUUGGACACAGCUUACUUAUGAAAUCAGUAAGCAAAAAAGCAGCUUUUUUUUCUAUAAAAAAAGAAAACAAAAACAUCUGUUGUGCAUAAUGACACAGUCUGUACUGUAUGUUUUGGGCCCCAGACUGUAGUAGUGUGGUGAGUUAAUAACAUUGACAUACUUGCUGUCUUCAAAUUUCUUAUUUCAGGUUACUAAGGGAUGAAUUUAUUGUCACAGUCACUUAAUAGUAUCAGCUUGACAAUGUCUACAAAUACUGCGGUGCAGUCACCAUCGGCUCACUGCAGCCAGCAGAAAUUUCACUCACUGCCAACAGCUGAUAGCACAGAUUUUGUAAAGUGGGUGUUUUUUUUUUGCUGUAAGGUUAGAUUGUGUAGUUAGGGCCUAUUUUUCCACAAAUUAAUGCCCACUGGCUCAUUAAUUUGUAACCAAACAGCACUAAGCACUAUCACGUCAGGCCCUCUGUUCACAGUGAAGGGAUUAAUCAAAAUCCAUGAAUUUGGGGAUAUAAAAGGAUAUCUCACUUUAACACUGGGAGUUGAUUUACAGAGGGCGAAUGAUGACUCACUUGUAGAUUUACACCAUACGUAAUUUUAGAAACCUCUUCCAUAGAAAUAUACUUAUAAAAGAUAUAUAAGCUGCCAUCACUACCUUUCCCACCUGACCCUAUUUCUGCUCUGUCUAUUUUCAUUAACCAAAAUAUGUGAUUGAACAUUCCAGAGGGGUUAUAUCAAUCAUUCAAUAACAUUUCCAUUUAGACAUGCCUGUCCCAUAUCUAUAUUGAGUGGAUGAAGUACAUCUUCCGAGUUAGGAUGAAUAUAUAUUCAUAAGAACAUAACAAGGAUGCGAUUGAAUUGACUGUCUGCCCACAAGCUAGUGAAGAGUAAUUGCACACUGUGUGACUACCUACAGUUCCAUUUGUGUGUCAUUGGCCGAUAUCAGUGUGUCAAUAUGCGACGAUGUAAGGCGUCAGAGAUUUCUCUACGUAGUGAUAUCUAAUUAAUGUGCAACAGUAGGUCUGAGUAGUUGAAAUGUUGCUGAUAUUGUUUAUUUGAUCAUUAAACUCUUUAAUUUUAAUGUAAAUAUUUCUAUAUGACAUUGAUCAGUUGUAAGUAAACACCUAAAUUGCAGAAAUGCUAUUCAACAAUUAAUUCAGACUAACAGAAAAAUUUGUUGUUGUAAUAAAAUAUUAACUUCCUAUUUAAUUUUACUUUUUUGAUGUGUGUGGAUCCUUUUCUAUUCAAAUGAUGAUGAAGAUCUGCAGCUAUUGUACAGUCAUACAUAAGCAGCCUUGGAAAAUAUGGUGACGAUUGGAGAUAAAACCAGAUGACACUGGAUAUUUGUCAGCAGGUGGUGGAUGUUCAAAUUUAAUAUAAAUUUGUUUCUCUCACUUUGCUUCUUUAAAACCUCUGACGACAAGUUAAUAGUUGAUAAUGAUAAUGGAAAUUUAAUAUAGAUUUUGUCUUUUACUGUAGAAAAUAUUCUUUAAUCAUAGAGCAGUAGUCCUUUCUCUUAUUUGUUUUGACCCAAAGAUAUAGAUUUUUUUAACCCUUAUGUAACGCUGUUGGUAAAAUCAGGGGCAAAAUUUAGCCACUAAUUUCCACGUAACUUUUUUUUUACUGCAGCAAAUGGGAUGAUUUUUUUGUGCAGAUGCAAUAUUGAUGGACACUUUGAGAAUGCGACUUCAAAAUUUUCACCAGGUCAAAAAUACGCGCUGGGCAAAUUUUCAUCUGUUGUUUACGUUCAGUGGCUAAAAAAAGCCACUGACAUUGACUGCUGUAAAAACGUAUUGGAUUUAUAUUUUUUCCAGAUUUUUUUUCAUAUAUCUCUUAAUUAACUUCUGCUUUGAUCAAAACUAGUAAAUGUUUCAUCUAAAAACAUUUUUUUUACCCUUUGAGGGUCCAUUCAAAACAUAAUGUCACUGAUAUGGUAAAAAUUAAUCUAAUAAAAAUCAGUCAUUUUCCUCCCAUUUUUUCCCCAAUAUUAGUAACUUUAUGUUUUAAAUGGGUCCUUAAAGGGUUAAAAUUUGGAUUCUUAAUGAAACAUUUACUAGUUUUGAAUAGAGCAGAAGUUAAUUAAGAGAUAUAUGAAAAAAAAAUCUGGAAAAAAUAUGAAUCCUAUAUGUUUUUACAGCAGUCAAUGUCAGUGUUUCUUUUUAGCCACUGAGCGUUAAGAAAGGAUGUAAAUCUAAGGGUCACACAAAGUUGUGCCCUUCAGCCAUACAGAAUAAACACAAGUAUGCUGUAUAAGUAAUAUGGCACUGUUUUAAAAGCUAAAUCUUAAUAGAUUAAAUCAAGGAUUUAAAAGGAUUAGUUCUCAAAAAGCAACUUCCUGCAGAUAAAAGAGUUGAUAAUUCUCCUUGUGAAGUUCAUUUAGAGCAACCUAAUGUGUUUUCUUAUAAAGAACCAUCUGCAGCAGGUGUUGUAUAACUUGCAUUUGACUUUUUCAUUCAAAUGCAACUAUUGCUUCUGACAUCUUUAAACCAAAAUUUAAUUCAGCUUGGCAGAAAUACUAAAAACCCUUUAAAUAUUUAAUUUGAUUAAAUUCUGAGCUCUUUACUUUCGAAUCAAAAGAGAUAACCUUGAAUUGUAGUCCUUUUCAUCAUGAUGUAUUAGACUUAUCAUAUUCACAAACCUUUGAUGGCAGCGACCCUCAGAUUCACAACACUAAAACAGAUUCCUCUCCGUCAAAAACCUUCACCACAUUGAGGAUUAUUGGAUUUUGUUUUUCGUUUUGCGUAGCAACAUUUCAACUACUCAGACGAAAUAACCAAUCAAACUUACAGGAAAAGUACUGUAGUGUUCAGUUCUGACUCAGAUGUACAGACUGAUGGUAUUAUUAGGCUCUGGAAAAUGUAGGAAAAGGAGCAUAAUUUCUAAAUUCAUUGUUGGGAGAUCAAAAAAAAGAUCCUGUUCACUCUACAAUCAAAAGCCCCUCUAGUGUGAGAUCACAAACACAACGAACAGUGUUUGUUUUACAGCUGAAUGCUAAUUGGGAAGACUGCAAAAAUUGCUUCCAUGUCAAUCAGAAGCCUGGUUAGCUAUUUGCUUUUUGCCCAAUUAACAAUUGCUAUAACAAGAAAAGUUUUCCCUAAGCUCAGGCACUAAUGAGUCAUAAAGUCAACGAUGGCACUUCAACUUCAAUUUGAGGUGUACUAACUUAUGCUAAAAGCAGUGCUGAAGGUAUAUUGCUGUGCAGCAACAGCCAUUGUGUUAAGUGUUAUGCCCUUUGUGAUAGCAACAUUACCAUGGGCUAAUGUUAGGCAAUAGCUAUUGAAUUGAACCUGAGAUUUAUCUGGUGUUUAGGCUUUCAGGUGAUAUUGCAAGAGUGUAUACCUGUGUCUCAAUAGGUAAAGUGGGGCGAAAGCAUUGAAAAGAGAACUCCAGGAUAGAAUGUAGAGAAGUGCUCAAUCGACUGGCUCAUAAAGUGCCAGACAUCUCAUUAGCAACAAUUACUUAUGAAACAGGAAAUUAUGUAAAAGCACUCAGCACAAAAUGACUUGCAAGGACGCAUACGCACACACGCAUACAAACCAACGAACUAUGCAAACACCUCAAAAAGUAGAGGGACACAUAUUCCUGCUUUGUGCAAUAAGAAGGUUAGCCCUCUUACUAAUUAUGACACUAAUUCAUUAUGAGAGCGAAUUAGAGCCUGGCCUCUGCUGUGCCCAAACUCCAAUCAGGCUGUAAAUGAGGCAGAAAAAAAUGGGCUGAACCCGGUAAUGGAGAGACUCUUCAGACGUGUGAUUUCCAACACCUGCACAUCAGGAACUCAAUACUUUAGAGUUUGGAACAAAAAGACAGCUGAGAUACUGGGAGUGUACUUCCUUCACGUACACACAUAUGACUUUUGAAGAAGUACAACAUUCACACACGUUUUUUUUUGUUGUACACAGGUGGCAGUUUUAAACUAGAAUUAAAAUAAAAUCCUUUUCACUUCACUUUUCACUUCACUGUUAUUUAUUAUGUGCAGCAGUGCAAUCCAUAUGUGUUGUUUUCUGAAGCCUUAUUGUCAUUGACGUUAUGACAUGAUCGCACAUGAAAAAUCUCUGUUAUACAGAAUAUGACUGCAGUCUUUCAAAUAUUAAGUCUGUUCAACACACCCUAACUCGUUCCCUUUAGGUGACAUCUAAUUUAAGUAUAACCUUCUGUGGGUGACCUUUAAAAAACAUAUUAGGAGAAGGAAGGGAAGUGGAAGAAAGACCGAAAUAUCUGCAUGAACCACCUGCACAAAACACAAGCGAAAGUAAUACCAGCAAAAAGACAAACAGCGGGCGAGGAUGCAGGUUUUGUCCCCAUUAUGUUCAAUGUGAACUGCUUUUAAUAGCCUGUUGAUCCUUUAUAAUGCCAAAGAAGAACGGCCUUAUAAAAUCAAAAGUGUCGUCAUUUUAAAUCUUACAGAAACUGUCACACGGCUAAAGAUAGUACAUCUUGUAGCAUGUCUUGUUAAUUCAAAUCCUGGUGUCAUAUCCACUUAAACCUAUUGUUUGUAAUAAUUAUGAAUUUAACCAGAUAGAUUAUAUUUGGACAGUCUCUUGGUGACACUGAGACCUGCAGUAAAAACUCUGAAAUGAGGCAGCUUAAAAAGUUAUGUAUAAAUAAGGAUUUAUAGUCGCUACCUAUUGGAUAAAAGCAAAAGCUAUUUUAAAGCACACCUAUUCAGAAUGUAUUUAACAUGCUCGAUCACAAACUUGUCAGUUUUAGGUCCACAAAGCACAUCAAGGUCGACUUAAAUCACAUUUGACUCUUAAAAUUGACACAAAAAAUAUAAGAAAUGAAGACAUUUAGGUGCUGUCUGCUCCUCUGCGUGUAUGUGUGGCUUCAGGAAAAUCUAAUAACUGAAGGGGGAAUGGCUGGUACUGGGACAUGACCAGACAUCUGUCACAUAUGAUGAAUUUUGUCCCUCACCUUUUCCCCUCUUCUAUUUCCAGUUAAGAUAGAUACAGCCAGCACCCAAGAGGACCGUGGCCUUAAAAGAGACUAUAAAGUAAAAAAAGUGGUGAAAUAUCCUAGACACCAACCUUCCCAUCUUGUCUAUUGUCUUGCGUCAAGGGAAGCAUCUUUUCUGGAACUCCUCUUGGCCAUACUUUGACAGCUAAUUAAGAGGAUGAUGAGUGCCACUGUGCUCUGAUGUGACGGAGAAAAAUUAAAGAUGAAAGCGGAGAUUAUGUGUCUAUUAAUAUAGUUUAGUUUGCUCUUUCCACACCUCACUCUUUUAGAAAGUUCACUCAGAGGAAGAACGAGGACAAAACAAACAUCUCUGGCGUUCAGGUUCACAGUUGCACAAAAAACGUUUGCUUUAUCACCAGCUUUUAUACCUAAAAAUGAGUUAAAUGUUACCGUAUACAAGCCCAGCUUUGAAAUAUUAUGACAAUAUUCAGAAACAUGAGUACAAGAAGGAUGCGAGAACAUCAGUGUGAAAAAAGAUAAUCACCUGAAAAACAAAUCAGAUUGAAAUGAGUCACAGUGUUUAUUUGAAAGCAGCCUCACUAUGAGCUGAAAAUAUAUUCUUCUGUGAUUCUAUGAUGAAUUUGUUUGUGCUUAUAAGGCAAGUUGAUGUAUUGAUAUUCAAAACAUAUCUGUGAAACACUGUGUAUCGGUGGACAUUUUUAUUUCACAAUUUGGGAGCACUUAAAGCUGUUGUUGUUUUGCAUCGUAAAAAUGCAGUUUCCAUCAUACAUUUAUUGUUUUUCUUUUGUAUUUCUCCAUAACAUUAAGAACAAGAUAGGUACGCAUGAUUUAUAUCCUGAGAAGACAGUAAACAAGUAGUGGAGGAAAUGAUAGAUCUGAGUUCAUUUUCCUUUUGUAGCUUCUUUUCGUUGCACUCAUUUGACUAACAGUCCCACAAAUAUCGGGCUUAUCGACCUUCAGAACUCUCUCAGACUGAAGGAAAUGAUGAAAUCAAAUCAAAUCUCCAACGAAUUGAGGUUGAUUGAUGACUCGGUGGCGGUUUUCUGGCCAUUGCAAUUGUGAGUGAAAUCAGAUAGACUCUCCACACAUUCUCAGGGUGAGUCUGCAGCAGUCAUUUGCACACUUGAUGAGCUGUAGAGGUACCAUGGGACUUUGAAUCAGGCAUGCUGUGGAUUCAGAAAGCAGUACUAAACACUAAUUCAUUAAUUUAUUAACAAAUUUUUUAAGUUAUUUGCUUAGUUAUUAGAUGUGAUGACUGUGAAAGUAAUAAAGUUGUAUCUUCGUUUGCUGGCACCACCUGUGUUUUGUAGUGAAAUGUAUUAAUGGAGUCAUUGCCGAGGGUUGUACAUAUAUUCCGAAACCCCCGAGAGUGAAGCAUAAUGAUUUUGGUUUAUUUCCUCACUUUUAUUUACUACCAACACCAAGCUUAGGUUUUUUAUGAUGUAACACAAAAUCAAUUUGAUGGAUUGGAAGAAAGUUUAGGACAGGGCAUUGAUGGUUUUUUUUCUGAUCUUCUGUCUUCUCCGCCAGAAAGAAAAUGCAGUUGAAUGCAUAUGGAUGGAUUAACAAAGAGUUUGUUUUGACUUUCAUGUUCCUGUCAGGACCAAUUGUAAAGGCGUUAGUGUCUAAAAGCCUUAUGAGUUUCUCAAAAGCCUCAAGUGUUAACUGACUUUUUUGCUGAUGGACUGCAUUGUGAAAGUACAAACUUUUUGCUGAAUACUCUUGAUGUACUCAGUUAGUGUUAAAUGUGAAACAGCGAAUAGAAGAAGCAUGCUGUCAAGAAGCAUACCUUGCAAUCAGUCAGUUUAGACCCUCGUGGCUUACAGAUUGUGGAGCUGACAGUGAUUUAGAAUUAAGCCUUUGCUGUUAAAAUUGACUUUUUUGGCUACACCUUCUUUGCUGGUUUGAAAUACCAAGCUUGCAGGCAGGUAGCUUUGUAAAAGCAUGUUUGGUAAAGUGCCUCGUCAGGGUAGAAUUACUCUUCUUGGCUGUAGAAAUAGGCCCUGCACAUCAGCUACAACUUACCAACAUAUUCCUGCUCUUUUCUUCAAAGGGGAAAAACAAUGCUGCUACUUUCUGAAACAGAAGUUCGUUUUUAUCUCUCUGAAAUGUUAAUCUCAAUGGUGAUUACAGAAAAUUGCACAUAUAUCUACUUCAGGUACUACCUGCAAACCUAAAUCUGUUUUUAUGAGGCUAUCAGACAGCUUUAAGCUCCAGUGGACCAUGGCUUUAAACUGGUAUUCAUAUACAGCCAAUCGUUUGAGAUACAUCUACUCCUCAAUAACAGCAAGUACAUUUGUAAGAUAUCAAUUGAACUCAUUCAAAAAGUUUGCUAUCCACUCUCCCUUUGGGUGUUGCUUCCAUUGUGUUUGAGUGAAAGUGGCCCUCAUACCUUAUCUACCCCGUUGGUGUGCAAACGAAGGACUGAUUAUCAUGAAAAUAUUAAAAUAUUUUGACUUUUCGCAUCAGUGAGGACAGCCACCCAGUUUUGUGCUAUCAGUGCUUGUGCAUUGGCUUUUUGGUUGCCAACAAGUACUGUAAAAGUAAAAUAGUAGAGGAGUUUAACAAGUGAAGCGACUGGCAAAUAUAAAGGGAGUGUAUUUUACAACAUUUCUUCAUAUUAUCGUUUGACUCUGCUCCCUUUAACUCUGGGUUAUAUCCCUGCAAAUCAAAGAAACAACCUGGCGUACUUUUUGUACACAGUUGAUCUCAAUUUGGGUCCUUGCAACAUGCAGGUAAACUUUGAAAGUCACUUUCAGUCAAGGCUACCUCCAAAUGUUAUUUGAGGCUUGGCAGCAGCGUUCUAUGACAGGUUGUGCCCCCGCUGCCCUGGUUGCUGCCUGGCCCUCCGUUGCUCUGCGUGGUAAAAGCACUUCUCGGUACUGGCAUGCCUGUGGAGAGAAUGUGUGCAGGGGGUGUAGGGGGUGUUGUUGCUUAUUUUCGUUGUGUGUGGGUUGGAAAGGCUUGGCCAAAAACCUGGUGACUUGAAACGUCUUACUUAAUUUCCUGAAAUAAAUCACAUAUCUGCCAGGUUUACAGUUUUGAUUGACAGGUAAGCGGUAAAGAGGGACAGAUACACUAUUUUUUUCCAUCUGUACAUCAAAGUCAAACAAGCGUUUUGAACAAAGUAAUUAUAAAAAUUAACGAUGACAUUCCAGUGAUUGCUUUCUAAAAUGGAAACGAGUAAAAGUAUGUCUGUCAUUAUGAGACAAAUGCUCAUUUUUUGACAGGGGUCAGUGACCUUCCUUUCAAAUCGAGUCUUGGGUUUGUUUGCUACACUUCAAACUUACACUUACAUCCUACUUUGUAAGUUAGUGAGGCUGAACAUCUGUGAUGAAGCCACUACCUGGUGCUACUUGAUUUAUUACAAGUGUUGCCUGUAAUUUUUAAUUCACUCUACCUUGUUACUUCAGUAACAAGAUGUUGUCCGCAUCACAUUCACAGUGAAUGCACUGCAGCGUGUUGCUGUGUCUGUAGCUGCAUAGAAAAGCAAAUCUACAAAGUAUGGGUAAAGGAAGUUUUUGGGUGUGAUCUAUAACAGGGUAAGGAGAACAUGAUUUUGUUCCCGGUGAUGUAAAAUCAACCAUGACUAACUAAUAAAAAGAGGUAAACAAAAUUAAAUGGUAACUAAUUAUAAAAUUAAUCCAAGCUUAAUACUCAGUUUCUCUAUUCACCCUACUGUGUUGAAUACUUAAUUCUGAUUGUUAAGAACACCAGAACAGUGAUUUUUAAUUUGAAAUACAAAACACAUAAAUCAUAUGGAAACAUAUAAUCAAUAGAAAGGAGUCCAGCACAUAAAAAGCUUAAUGAUCAUAGCUUUUCUCGUUGAAAAUGUGCCAAAAAUUUUAGUUCCUGGUAGUGCUGGUAAACACCAUGGAGGAUGAUUUAAAUAUUACUCCCAAUCUAUUAAAGUGCACAAAACUCUGACCAUUAGCAGAGGAAAGUAGACGAGAAGUGGGAAACUACAGAAAUAAGAUUAGAAUCAGAAGAAGCUCAGUGAAAGAGACUUUGACCAAAUUGAAGAAAACAGACGCAGACCAACCUCAAAUCACAACAUGCUCAUGGCUUUAACUGUGAUACAGAGUUGACUGAGAGGGAGUACCAACAGGGAGGGAAGAGGAUCUUAUGCAGGUGCUACUGUUGUUCUCUGAAUCUGUCAAGAAUACCAACAUGAAGACUACUGUUAUGACAUCGGCCUGAAUGAAAAUACUAAAUUGACUGUUAGUUUGAACCCCAAGUAGGCUGAUAUGAAAACUGUUUCCAUGGAUACGCUACUAGCGAUUUAACCUGAUGAGAUUCUAUGAUUUUGAAACAAGUGCUCUGUGUCAACUUGUUGGAACUUUAGUUGAUAGCCAGGUAAUGAGGGAAAUAACACGUAAGCAGGUGAAAAUCCUUGAAAUGAAAGAAACACUUGAGUAAGAAACAAGAAACAAUGAGUGUCGCUACAAAAACAACAAGUGUGGCCUUGUUCCCGAACUAGAAUAGGAAAUGACACCACAGCAUUGUAACAGCAUGUUACCUUGUGUUUAUCACCUCCUCAGUAGCUGUUUUGCGAGUGUUUUGCCCGUGCUGUUUUAUAGAAAUGUAGCUUUGUUGUUUUUUGAGUCACAGGGACACCGUCACUCAAGGGGACUGGGAGUAGGCGGGGUUGUAGUUUGAUAUUCUUAUUCUAACACUGUCAACACACCCACUCAAGUUAGCAAGCUUGUCAUAUGUGGGCGCCUGUUGACAUGUUAUGCAUGUGCACAUUUGUAGCACAAAGGACAGAGUAUAUAAAUAUUAGAUGGUGGAAAUUUCUCUGAUUUUGACCACCAGGAGCAGACUGUAUCUGAAUACAGCUGUGGCAUUGUUCGCUUGAUGUUAAAUUUGAACAUUGUAUUGACUCAUUGUUUUAAAAGUGAGAAUGAUCCAGUAAAAGAUUAACAAAAAGCUGUAUGUCUUAGUUUUAUGACUAUGUAAUGCAAGUUUUUUGUAUGAAGCCACCAGAAUGUAUGAGGAAAAUCCGGAUACUGCUUCACAUAUUGAUUUUACCACGUAAUUAUGUUACAUUUUAUAUUCACUUCAUUGGUUCUAUUAAAGCAGCCAAUUUGCACUCAUUUAAGAGCUUCCACUGGGAAAAUUAAAAGGUGAGGUUAAGGUAAAAGCAGAUGAAACCAGAACCCACCGACUGUAUUAUUCGAUAAAAAAUUCUAACUGCAUUUCACAUUCAUACAUAUUUAAACAUGGACACACAGACUGUGUAUGCUCAUACAUACAGCGCACACUCCGGCAGAGAGGGAGCACCUGCUGGGAGUGUCUGUGGGUCUGGACAUGACCCUGUCAAGAGUCUUCAGGAGAUUAAUAUUCCUGUGCCUGUUUUCUUAGAUAAAAAUUUGAGACGGAAUUAUAAAUGUGCAACGUGGGGAACCCAUCUGAAAAUGAUAUACAUUUCAAAGGGAUUAAAUAAAUCAGCACAUUUCCCAGUUCCUUCAUUUGUCCUUUGUUUCAGGCUAAUAUUUCUUUAAAGCCAAAAAAAAGGACUGUUAGCCUUGUCAGAAUAUAUGAAGAGUCUGUAAGAAUUUCCAAAGGUAGACAUUGUCCGGGCAAAACCAAGCCAUGGGACUCCAUGCAAAGAUAAUAAGUCCAAAAAAAGAAAAAUACCCUUCUCAGUAAUUUAUCCUCCAAAGUAAUUUCAGUAUUUAUGGGAUUCACCUUCAAGUUUUAAUGUGGCAUGCAGGUAGAAAAACAUAGGGAAUGAGAAAUCCAGUAAGAAAGAGAGUGGGAGGGAGAGGUAAGGCGUCAGGGAGGGGGAGACAAAUCCAAAGUGGGACUCAUAAAGUAAGUAAUCUCUCCAGUCUGCCAUCCAGACGGCUCUCCUGUGACCUCCACCGCUGCUGACCUGCGUCCUUCACAUCUGACAAAGUUCGGGGGGGGACAUGCUGGAAUUAUGAGCCGCCUCCGUAUUUGAAUGCACUCAUUAUGUCUGUGCCUGCAUAAGAGCAUCUGUUAAAUGACUGAAUAGUAAAUUGUGUGCUGAGGACAGCAGACUAGCAGGGCAGAUAGAGGAGCUUUGUCUUAGUUACAUUUCAGCAGGUAGCAGCAUGGCCUGGACUGCCAACAGGUUUAGAUACUGUGCAGGCCUAAUGGUGGAUGACUGAGAGGAGGAGAGAGAGUCGCUGCAGAAGGGAUACCAUUUUACCCUUUUCCAAGCUGUUUUCUGUGAAAUUAUACCAGUGUCCAUGCACUUUGUCCAGGGAACGGAUUGCAUGUAGACGUUAAUGUUUACAUCACCAGUUAAAUUCAGCCUGAUAUACGUAUAUGAAUUUUUGGACAAGGCUUUGGCUGCUGGCUUUAUACUGUUGUGUUUCUUCUCUCAGUAACAAACAGUAAUUGGUAAGGUUGAAUUUGCCGAGGUUAAAACAUGAUAGAAAUUAAAUCACUGAUUUAAUCAAAGCUGCAGCCUAUCAGGUGAUCAUGUGAUCUUCCAAGUGGCACUUUAAAAGUUAUAUUUUCUUACAUGAUAUAUCAAGUUAGACCGUAACACUUGAAAAUUGAGGUCUUAAUGUGUGAAAUGAGUGUGCUUCUUCACCAAACACUUGAUAGAAUUAAAAAAAAUAUCUUUAAAUGUCCUUGAGAACACCAGUUUGUUUAUCUGGUUUAUCUGCAAAUUCUUUUGCAUUUGCAUACUUUUGCACAAACAUGAGAAAAAACAGAAGAUUGUUGCUCAGUUAUAAAAUAUCUGCAAUGUUUGGGACUUCGACUUUAUGACUUUAUGCACCAAAACAUACGAUACACAGAGCAAGUCCUGAAUGCACUUAGAGGUCAUCUGCUAGAUCAGAGGUCCCCAACCACCGGGCCCUGGACCGGUACCAGUCUUUGGAUCAACUAGUACUGAGCUGCAGAAAAAAUAACAAUGAUUUAAUUUUUUUUUUUUCUUUUCAUCCGUCCUCCCAGGAUCUUAUUUCGACAGACCACCACUUCCGCCAUCGCCUCACUUUUGCCCUUGACUCUUCGGCACGUCAUUUUCCUGCAUCAACAACACAAGCUAGUCCUUGCAAAAAUUAGCCAGAAACAGAGUUCACUGGAGAGAGAAAGGGUUGAUUCUGCAUUAUGGUGAGUUAAAGUGUAAUGAAAAGUGCCUAAUAUAAAAUGUAAUUGUUGUAUCCGGAUUACAUACUAUGUACACACUAUGUACUGAUUAAGGAUUUUGUUAUUGGAACCUCCACACCCCUACCCAGUCCUUGAAAAAGGUUUCCUGCAUGAAACUGGUCCCUGGUACAAAAAAGGUUGGGACUGUGCGAGAUGAUCAGUUUACUGUUAUCAGUCAUCACCCAGGUGGUAUAUAACGAGAGUCCCCACAAGUGUCAUAAUCAUGUAAAUAUGCAAAAUGGUUAAAGGUAUAAAUAUGUUUUUUCUUUUUCCUAGAAGAGCAGUGCAGCAUUCGACAUGAAAUCCAAUUUAGAUCCAUUGUGCAUCAUUUUAGUAAUUAUGCUACAGUAUCAGCCAUUAGUACAGAGCAUUAAAAAAAAGUCUUUUUUUUAACAAGCUUUAUUGACAAAAAUGCCCCAUGUUGUCAUUGUUUGUAAAUAAGUCACCCAGCUGUUCUCCACUGUUGACCUGAUAUUGAUUAAAUCACAGGGAAGCAGUUAUUAAUACAAAGUAGGGUAUUAAUUCAUAAGACUCACUGAACCCCCAAAUUUACAGACAUGCUGCCUGGAUAAACACUGAUGGUUAGAAACAAGCUUAUGUAGAAGGGGAAAAGGAAAUUUAAUUUUUUUUUCACUUCUGAGGAUUGUGUGUUUGAAUUGAACACCAUCCAGAACAGUUUCCUUGCAGCUGAUCAGAAUUCUUGGCUCACCCUGCUCUUCCUUCAAACCUUCUAUUUAAGGAUUGCACCCCCCUCCAAGCUAUUGUACCAGUGCCACUGUGCUAAUCAAUCACAGACUGCUGUGUGCGGUUCACUACAUGUGUGCAUGUUUUUGUGUGUGUGUGCAUGAUUGCACAUUCUUGAAGGGGUGUUCAGCUGAUGGUAUUCCAAUGAUUAUGAGUCCUUAAACAUCAAGCCUAUUGCCAAAUUGCCCUUGACAAGGAAAUAUGUUGUUAGCUAAGAUAAUGUGCUGCUCAUUAUUUUAGGGCUAUAGUGCUCUGCCAGGAUGCAGGAUUAUUGGGAGCUUGCAGGGCGGCGGCAGCUGCAUGCUUAGAGAUACACAGAGCUGAAACGGGGAGCAUCUCCUCCAUUAUGUUGCCAGUUAUGGAGACAAGAAAGUAAAUUGUAGGUUAUACAGGCAAAAUGAAAUGCCUCUUUGCACCUUGCUGCAUACAGCACUGUGUUAGACAUGCUGCAGUCCCAUUCUUUAAAAAAAAAAUAGCAAAAGUAUUUGUGGAAAUUCCUCAUUAAAAUAUUGUUCCAAAAUUAGCAAUAAUGGCACGCUCUUGGGCUUUAAAAAAUAACUUCCACACAAGGUACAGUAGCUACAAAGAUGUGCUUUGAGCUUUCAUGUGGUCCAAUUUGGGAGUUCUCCAGCUCCAUUUCCCUCUGAAUCUAAGAAAACUCUGUGUUUUUUCCUUAUUUUUUUUCCCGCCUGGCAAGUCGCAAAUCAUUAGAAGUUUGAGGGGGAAAAAAAAAAAAUCCUUCCAAUAAAAACCAGUAAUAAUAAUUUUAUUUCAUUUGACAGUUAUACACGGAAGUGUCCUCAUAAGUUCACAGUUUUUUUUAUCUUAUUAAGCCACUGAAAUGUUGCCCCCUCACUGGUGGAUGUGCAUCUUCUAAUCCUAAUAUAGCCAAUAAAGUAUUAAGAUAAGAAAAAUUACUCAGACAUGCUUCAACUGAAUGUCUUUAUGAAAUAGUGCCUUUAUUGCACAGAGUAUCUUGGAUUGUCCUGUUUGUUAGUCUGCUUAGGUAUGUCCAAAUCAGCUGUCUCAAUUCCAUUCUAUGAAAGCUUAUAAAAGCAAUAUGUCAUUCUAACAAGGCUUUUAGAUAAAACUGGAUUUACACUCUAAUAUCCAUUGCUCUCUGUAUUUACGUCAAUCAGCAUCCAUCAAAACAACACGGUGCAUAAGAUUGUUUGUCUAAGUAAAGACUGCCACAUAAAUCAUUCUCAUUUUUCUACUUCUAACAGUUCCCAUAAACAUGGAUACGUAUGAUAUUAGGAAAUCUCAACGUGUCUUGUGCCAUAUUGCAGGGUGUGACAGUGUAAAAAACGAGCCGUGAUGAAUAUAAAUACCUGCUGACAUACAUGCACAUAACCAUAAAAGCAGCUUGAGAGGAUGCAUGUUUCACAGUAAAUCAAAGGCAUUCAAACCAAACUGUCAGGCCAGUGUCAGUUUCUGAAGGUUCAAGUGAAUUGAAAAGGAAGAUAAAGUGCAGGGAGAAAUGAAGAACUCGGGUUAGAAUUGUUUUUAAGAAAAGUUAAGUCAGAUUAAUGUUGUGACGGUAAAUGAAACAGAAAAGUGUUAUUUUAUUAGAAACUGUGUAUUAAAAAUCUGUCGGAAAACAAGGAUCCUGUGAGGGAUCUUCCCUUUGCUCCCCGUGUGGACGAAGCAAAAUGCGUUAUUCUCUUUGCAGACAUUGAACUGUACAUGCACGCUGCAGGGCAUACAUGGCAGCGUCAUUUUCAGACUGAUUCGAAGCCAGCCAAAACUCCCCAAAGAAAUUGUCGAGUGUCUAAAGAAUCUUCAUUUGCAGAUACGUCCAAGAGCAAAAACAGUAAAAGUUAGAAAAUAAAACAGAGCUGUUGGCAAAAUGCAGCCCUGUACAGCAGACCUCAUUUUUCAUCUGAGCAUGCUAGUAAUGCAGAAGAUGAGAGGAGAAGUUGGACUUCUUCUCUUUUAGAGAUACAACUGUUUCUUAUUUACAUUUCAGUCUUUCACCUUUCUCCCAGAGCACUUCGUCUUUCCGCUCCUUCUCAUCUGGUUUUCUUCUCCCUUUGAGUGGAAACAAUAGUGAAGCAAACUCACAGCUUACUUUUAAAGCAAUCGCUCUCAACAUCAAAACAAAAUCAACACUAUUCGCUGUAGUUAAAGUCAAAGCCAAAACAAAAAUGGCAAAACUAAGAUUUUUAACGGCAUGGUUUUGUUUUGAAAGAGUAAUGUUAGACUAAAAUGCUGUUAGCUAAAUAAAUAGAUGAGAGCCAGUAAGUUAAUGUCUAAUUCAUGAUGUGAUUUAAAAAUCAGAAUAUAAAGUGCACUUUCAAUACUUUUUUUUUUAAUCCAUGAAGGCAGCUGCAUCUUAUCCACCAGUGGAACCAAUAAACCAGUAUGAAGUGCAAAGAGAGGUUUUUUAUUCAGAGGGGUGGUACACAAAGAUAGAAGUGACUGUUUCAAUAAGCGUGCUGGAUAUAUGGUGGUUCAGACUGGUCUAAUGGUGCUAAUGUUUAACACUUUACUACUUCAUUAGCUCAUAGUCAUCCAGUCAAAGAAAACAGCUGUAUACCACUAAGUAACUCAACCUUAUAGAGUGCUGAUUUGAUUGAAAAGACUCCUUAAUAAUAGGCAACAAACAAGCAGCAGAUGGGAGUGGCAGAGAUCUUGGUGAUUUGGCAAAAUGGGCAGUAUGUUGGUCUUUAAUCUAUAUUAGUGUUACCACAGACGGUGUUUUAGUAUUGCACAGGCAACUGGCAGAGAAAGCAAGAAAACAGCUACACAUCUGCGUACUACUGAACACAGUAGAAAUCUUCACAUAGGAGGUCAGUUUCAAUCUUAUUUUCUUCUAGAAGGUGAGAUCCAGUUCUAAAUAAGAGUUGCAGUAAUUGGACUUUUAAUAACACUUGCACCACUAAUGACAUUGUUCGUAUGUUGUACUGUCUUUCUUACAAACUUGCACUCAGAGCUGUAUGGUAGAAAAUGUCACUGGUGAAUGUCAAAGACCGAGUCGGUGAAGCUAAAGGAGGUUGUAGCAAUUAACCAGUUUGUGUUCUGUGGAAACUGUACAAAUACAUGUCCAAUAGAUGACAAUGAAUAAAUGGGAACACAGCAGCUGAGGCUCGCCAUGGCUAAGACGGUGUCUGCAGCACUAACACAACAGAUAUGUUUUUACAACCUAGCUGGUGCAUCCCACAGAAUGCAUCAUUUAAUCACCAACCCUGCGGGUCUUGAAAAGGGAGAGAAAGACUAAGUAGACCGAGAGAGGCAGAGACUGAAAUAAAUGCCUCAAAAUGAAUUCUGAAUCCAUGAGAUGUCAUAUGUAGCUUUAAUUUUAGAAUCCUCAUGAAGCAAAAUGACCAAGUGUAUUACCAGCCAAGACUAAUCCUUUUCAUAUAAAUCCCUACAUUUCCCCACUUUGUCUAGUUAUGAGAGCCCCCGAGUGUCUGCUGGAUGUGACUUACUCUCUUUCUUCUCCCUUAGAAAGCGUCAAACACUGCAGGAGGAGAGCAGCACAGUGUCAUCCAUCAUGAUCAAUGUCUGUAUGUGACUAUCACAUUGUUGGAAAGCAGAAACCUACUCACCCUACACGCAGCUCCCAAUGAAGCAGAAAAUAAGGGCAAAAUGUAAUCUGAGUUUUCCUGAACAUGAAAGUGAAUCAAGAGGCUUUGCAUGGAAAACAAUAAACAUCAAG